rnacentral:lncRNA from 1 species
GUUCUAAAAGUGGAUGGUUGUUCAAGGAUAAUCCUGUGCUGAUCAGCUGGUUGUUGCUGUUCUUCCUGUUCUAUAACAGGUGUUGAAAGCCUGAGCAUCACCUGAUCUCUUUUAUUUCUCUAGUUUUACCUUACUCUUAGGUUAUAAGUCAUUAUUAGAGUCUUCCUCAAAGAAAGUAAAGAAUAUUUCUAUAAAUACAUUCCUAUCUUGAGGACUAUAAUUCAGACUUUCCCUUAUUCCUUUAAGAUACCUAAAACAUGCAAGCUUCCUGAACACGAAUCCAUCUUGUCUAUCUCUGAUUCUAGUAGAAAUACUAGUAAACUCCAAAUACGAAUGUGUCUCAAACCAUGUUUGUGACUUUUUCAUAAUUUCUUAGAGUAGUAGACACCGAGAUAGAUGAAACUAAGUUCAAUAAAUUUUGUAGUUUUAAAUACUAGUAUCUGGAAUCAAAAAAGGUAAAUGAUAAACCACUUAGUAUAUAUCUUGUCUUAUCCAAAAGAAUCUUGUUUUCUCCAUUUAAUUACACUAUUGUAUUCAUAGUGUUCAUUGACAACCAAAUAGUGCUUGAAUUCUCCAUAGAGAUAUUCUUUGUUUCGAUCAUAUCGAAGUUCUUUUAUGUUCCUGUCUAAUUGCUUCUGUCUUAUCCACGUACUCUUUUGAAUUUCAAAAGCAAUGGAAUCAUGACGCAUUUAGACAAAACAUAAAUAAAAUGAAUAUUCAUCAACAAGAUUGAUAGAAUACUCAUAACCUCUUAUAACAUGUAAACUGAUUAGUCCGUAUACAUUUGUAUGCGCUAAAUCAUCAAAUACAUAGUUAUGCUUUUAGCUCAAAAAAGAGCAUCCUUGUCAUAUUACUUUUCUAAAUAAGAUUUUAUAGAGUUACAAUGAUCAAUCUUAAUAGGCCAACAAGUCUAUCAUUAAUCAUUUUCUUAAAAUCUUAUUAUAGUUUAUAUGACUUAAGCAUAAUAUCAGAGGUGAUUUUUGGUUAGAAGAAACAUUUCUUUCUUAGAUAAAUGCAUAUACUUUUAUCAUUAUAUCUUACUUUGAAUAGAUCAAUGUACUUUUUAUGAUAUAAAUUGUCUUUAUAAAUAACCAAAAUAAGUAAUAAACAGAGGAUCCAAAAAUAACAGUGUACUCCUGUUUAUUAAAACAAGCCACGAAAUUAAAUUCCUCUAAUAUUUGGAAAAAUAAAGACAAAUAUCAAAACUAAAGUCUUGUAAAAUUGAUCUAGUCUUUCAAUUGAUAUAAACUAGCACAUCCUCAACUGCUAUUUGAAGCUUUCUUCACUUAAUCUCUUGGUUUCCUGAAAACCAAAUAAAUGAAUUACAAAUAAGAUUAGUUAUCUCAGAAUUCAUUAUUGUAUGAAUCAAUAGAAAUCUGAACUAAUUAGGAAGCUUAAAGAUUUCCUAUACCUGAUUUUAAUAAUCUUAGGACAAUCUUUCUUCCAGUGACCCUUCUGUCCACAUUUGUAACACUUGCCUUUUGGCUUGCCACUUCUUUUAAUGGACAGUUUGCCGAUCCCAACUCUUGCUUGCUCAUUCUUGUCUUUUGACUUAAGCCUUGAAGAGAAUCCUUUUUCAGGAAGUUUUCUGCUAUGAUAAAAUUCUUCUAUAGCAUGUAGUUCGUGCAUUAAUUCAAUUAAGGUCAUAUCUUUAUUGUUUAAGAUAUAGCUGACCUUAAACUCUUUGAAUGUAUCAGGUAAAGAUUCAAUCACCAUGUUAAUCUUUGAUUUAUCAUUGAUUUGAACACCAUGAAUCUACCUCAUUCAAAUAGUCCAUCAUUUUGAGGACAUGAUCACGAACUUUUGUGCCCUCUUCCAUCUAGUAUCCGUAAUACGUUUUAAUGCUGCUUCUCUGGCAAAAUGGGUAUUUUGCCCAAACAUCUGAUGAAGACUAGCCAUUAUUUCAGUGGCUGUUUCCAUGCUCCGAUGUUUCUUAUGCAGUUCCACAGAAAUCGAAGCCAAUAUAUAGCGCUUAGCCAUUUUGUUAGCUUCGCACCAUUUCUCUCAUAAGGCUCCCUCUGAUUUCUAUAAUCGUAUAACGAUGGUUCAGGAGGGCAAGGCUGGGUCAACACAUAUUUGCUUCCCUUAGCAGUGAGAAUAUUAAAUAGAUUGCGUUUCCAAUCUAAAUAAUUUUCGCCAGUGAGUUCAUUUUUAACAAGGAUAAAUAAUAAUGGGUUUGAUGGAAGACAUUUUCUGAAAAAAAAUAAAAUACACAUGCAUAAAUACUUUGAAACAAUAUUCACAAUAAAUGACAAAAAUGCAAAAAACCAUAAAUGCAUUUUAAUUUAUUGUAACGAUAAUCUAGUACCGCUUUGACAAGCUAUCCGUUGGGGAAGUCAUGUCUACACUUACUAGACCAAUUAUCCAUUGGAUUAUUUACUUUCAUGUAGAGACAUGAUAAAUAAUUAUCGUUAUCCCUUUGGACCUAAAUUUGUUAACAGAGCUUCGUUGGGAAGGUUAAUAACAAACUUUAGUUGAGUGUAUAACCAUUGUUUCAAUCUACGUAUUUUUCAUAUCAAUAGUCACCGUUGGGGUGAACAAUCGAUUGAAAAAUAUUUCAAUUUUAUCUUUGAAGAAGUUCAUCAAAUAAAAUAUCUAAUAUAUAUACCCUCCGAAGGGAGCAUCACCGUAUCAUGAAGUCGAGGUAUAUAUAUAAUUUUAUUAUUGAACUAACAAUGGAGCCCGUGGGAAAAAUUAUCUUGAAUUUUCCCUCUCCCACUCAAUAUUUUAAAAUUGGUUUUUCCUUUUUAAAACAUACAUAUUGUUAAUUGCAUGCUUCCUAUAAUAUUAUCUAGAUGAUAUCAAAUAUUAUUAAGCAUACGCAAAUUUCAAACAAUAUAAUGAAAUUCAUUAUUAAUGAAUGACAUGUAUUUAUGCAUAGAGUGGCACUACCUAUUCUAUAUGACAUGUUAUCAUGGCAUGUAUCAUCCAAAACAUAACAUAUAGAAAAACAAUUAAAUAAUCUUAAUUCAUGGCUUUCCUAAUAAUGAAAAAUACAUUAACCCUAAGCCUAAUCUUCAUUGGGCUUCUUGUCAAUGUCCAUCUUCCAUAAGCUUGUCUUUGUUAAUGGACUAGGGGAAAUUGGGCUUUUAAAUUUAUAAUUGGUCCAAUUUUAAUUUUGAAAAGAAAAAUAAUAAUAAUUAAUUUUUUUAUUUUAUUAAAAUAAAACUUUUGGACCAAAAAUAAAUUUAAUGUAUUUAAUUUUGUCUAUGCAUUUUUUAAUCCAUUAAGCCCAAUUGAAAUUGGGCCUAAAACUAGGAUUCUUUAAGCCCAAAACGGUUUUUGGACUUAAAUGCAAAAAAUUAAAAACGUUUCUGCCCAACUGAAAAAUAUGAAGCUAUAGGGACCUCCACGAUAAAAACCAUGGAACCCUAAAAUCACAUUUUCUUUUCCUCUUCUUCCCCAGCCGCCACCAGCACAAAAACCCAGCCGUUGUUUACUGUUUCCACACCGACAGCGUCAUCGACGCCGGAAAGACGCCAACCAGAACGCUCCGCCAGCUGCCUUCACUCGCGCGCCUCCAGCCACGUUCGCGGCUUGGGCGCUGCAGCUGCUGCUCGCGCGCUGCAGCUGUGUGUGCAGCGCUGGCAGCGUGUGCUGCUGGGCUGCGCUCGCAGCGCGCGCUGCUGCAGCGAGUGCUGCUGGCCCGUGUGCUGCUACUCUGGUUUUGUUGCCGCAGUUUCCAGCAAGUUUCCGCAUUUCCAGUAAUUAAUUUACAAAUUUCUUAGGCCAUUUUUGGCUUACAAAAUUCUAUAACAGUAAAUUAAAUCAAGAGGGAAACAUGGUGAGUAAAAACCACCCCUCUUGUUACAGAUCCAAACGAAAAUACAGUAGAAAAUCUAACCAUGAAUUAAGACAAACCAUAACAUGCUUUAUUCAUAUAUUAAACAAAUAAUAUAUAUCUGAAUAAAUUGUGCCACUCUAAUACAUAAAUUUCAAGAAUGAUUUCAUACGAAAUUCUUAUAUAUUAAUAUGAGACGGCUCUGAUACCAAUUGUUGGGGAAAAAUCAGGUUUUUAAAUUUUUAUAAAACCUUUUGAAGAUCGCUCUCAUAUAAUAUAUAGGAAUUCGUAUUCUAGAAAUCGUACCUUGUAAAUCUGAGUUUGCUUUUUCCGUUGAAGUGAUUUAGGCUCCUAGAUCACGAUCCGCCACCACCACUCCUGUUAGAUCACGAUCCGUCACCACCACGCUUGUUAGAUCACGAACUGUCACCAAUGAUCUUCCAGGUUAUGACUCAGGUUCGAUCUGCACUUGACGUGUGGGCGCCUUUAUCACUACCAAAGCAACUAGCACGAGAAAAUUUUUUCUCUCAACAAUAGAGAGAAAAAUCUUAUUCUCCGAUCUGUAUAAAGUGGCUUCCCUUUUUCCUUUUUGGGAAAAUAAGCCUUUAUAUAUCUCCCUUUAGUGAAAACCCUAGGCUCCAAGGAUUCCCCCAAAAUAAAACUCACGUUACUUUUCAUUUAAUAGGGGACCCACCAUGUAAAAUAACAUAAGGCCCCUUACACAUAAGCUUAUUAAAUGGAGCCUCCCACUAAAUGAUAUAUUUAGGCUUUUGACCCAAAUAGCUAGUUAUCUUGCUUAUUAGUCCAGCAGUGGUGCAAUCAAUUAAAUGAGCUAACCCGGGGAUCAUUUGGGAACAUACAAUAGUGGCUACAAUAAUUAGGCCUGUAAUUAAACUAGCCCAAUUAUUUAAUUCCAAAUCUACUCCACUAAAAGAUUGGAACUGACUUCCAUAAUUGUAUGCUCGAAUAAUAAUUCGUCCCAAGCCACAUUGAUUUCUUUACUGCACAAUCCUUUGUACCACAUCGUUAAUUAAAUUGAUAUCUCAACUGUCCAAUCAAUUUAAUAACAUCUUAUUCCUUGAUCCUUACUGGUUUUCUCUAAUGAUCAUUUUCAACAUACUAAAUAUGUUGACACACUCUGGCCAGAGAAUUCUAUGAUCAAGUACCGAAAACCUAUCAAGAGAUGUGUUGUACAAAUUCUAUAUUGUUAAUCCAUAACUCCAAUACUCAUAAUUGCUCCACCAAGAUACCGGGUAAUCUUGACCACAAGGAUGUGUCGUGUCCAUUGGUAACUCAAAUGAAAUAACAAUCACAAUCAUGAAAUCAUAAUUAACUCAAGAUUAAGAUUACAGUAAAAUCAACGCCUAUGAGAUUUAAUAAGUCUGACAGUUAUUACAAAGUUAAUUAAAUCUCAUAUGUGAUCCUGUUCAAUGUAGUCGUACUACAUCAAUAAAUUCAUACAUGAUUAAGACAAAUCAUUCAAUGAAUUUAUUACAGUCUAUACCUAAAUAAAGUGCCCAACUUUAUUUAUCAACUGCGAACUAAAUUUAUUUAAUCAUAAGAUAACUUGUAUUUAUGUCUUCUGUGAAUCCACAUGGUGAUCACAUAAAUACAUAUAAUAUGAUUAAAUGGACUUUAAUACAAAUAUUAAUGCAAUUAAGAUAUUUGAAUAAAAUACCUCAUUUAUUUUAUUAAUCAGAAAAAUUGUUUAUUACAAUUAAAUAAACACAUAUGCUUUUAAAGAGCAUAUUUUCCCAACAAUAGGUUCACAAAUCGUGAGAUAUUUGUUGAAUACCCAUCAGGAACUUUGACAUUUGAUAAUACUUGACAGAAGAUGUCUUUUUCACUCUGAGUCAUUGAGUAGCAUGCUUGUGGUAGCCACUGUCUUUCCUUCUUUAUAUUAGAGAUGAAGAGACUGCUUUAUUCUCAAUUCUUUCAUAUCAAGACGUGCUUUUGAAUUGUCUUUGGUUUUACCUUUAAUAUUCAACAAUGUCCCAAUAAAUGCCAUCACAAAUAUUUUUCUCAAUUUGCAGAACAUCUAAGUUAGGGCGAAUGAGGUUAUGCUCCUAAUAUGGCAACACAAAAAAAAAAAAAAAAAACUCUUCUUUUUCCAUAUCACAUUAUCCUCAUCAUUGACAUCAUGCCGUUUACGUUUUCCAUUAGUAUUUAAUUUUUUUUUCCAUAUAUAGUGUGCACUUGAUUCUUCUGUUCUAGAACAUCAGUCCCCGUUAAUGGAGUUGGAGCAUUUCCCUCUAAGAAACGACGAUGCCCUAAAUAACAAUACUUAUGUCAAUACUCUACCCUUUGAUAAGAUGUGUUUACAUUAAAAUACUCUAGCCCUUUGUAAUAAAAAAAAUAUUAUCAAAUAAAUAUAAUAAUUUAAAAUUUUAAUAUUAUUUUAAAUGUUAAAAAUAAUUUAACAUUAUUAAUCUACUGCAUUGAUUUAUAUUAUUUAUAUUAUAUUUUUUAAUUAAAAAAAUUUAAAGUCAAUGUUCUAAUUACUAUAUUCCAAGAUUAUUAUAAUAAAAAGAGGUCUAUUAAAAUUAUUCUUUAAUAUUUGACAUCAAUCGCAUUAAUCGAUAAAACAUAAAAUAGUUAAAACUAUUUAUACUAAUUCACAGUAUGUGAAAAUAAAUACAAACUUUCAGCUGAUCAUAUUCAAUGUUAUUAGUUGGAUUCAUUAUGCUUCAUCAAUUUCAGCUUGUGGAUCACGUUUUUCACUGAAUAUAUAUAUUUGUGGUUGUUUAAUUAUGCUUUUUGUUUUUGGUUCUUCGACCACGUCAAUACUACGUUUUUAUUUCAAGAUAUAUUCAUGUCAAACAUGCAUGUGCAGUGGGACUACAUAAUAAUCCGAGUUAUUUAUUAAAAUAAGAAUGGAAGUUAAAGCAUUUUUUAUACUUGAUUAAAAUAGAAUUUAUAGAUUUUGGGCAUCCUUUCUUUUAAGGCUAACCGAAAAAUAUUUAUGUUGAUUUAGAAUAAUAAUUGAAAUUCUAACAGUUAUAUCUUAAAAUGAGUCCCAACUAUUUUGUGUCUUCAACUAUUUGAUAGUAAAUUUCAUAACUGAUAAAAUUAAUAUUCUAUCAUCAAUUAAAUAAAUGUUACAUUAGUUGAACUCAAUUAUUACUUUAUUGGGAUAUUUAGUAUCACUUUUUGUUUUAAUAGUAGCGCAUUUUGGAAAUAGUUUUUUUUUAAGUUAUCAUGGCACCCACCUCACCCUCCAAAUUAAAUGUAUCUAUUAGAAAUAAACACAAGAAUCUUUACCUUGACUUCAAGAGGUGAAAUUAACUAGAUUAUCCUUUGAUUUAAUACAUUGAUGUCGGGUUACUUUGUGUCUUUAUUUUAAUAAACAAUGGUUGGUAUCCUGUAAAAGAGAUUAUAAUAUUUAUUAUAUUGGUGCUGUGACACUAGAAAAACUAUGCUGCAGCAACAAAAGAUAAGAGUUUGGUGCUGCAGCACCAAAAGAGCUAUGGUGCAGUCCAUAAUUAAUUAAUUAGUUUAUUUUAAAUAAUUAAUUAAAUUAAAUGAUGGAAAGCGUUAAAAUAUACAUUUGAAGAGGAAUGUCUAUUCUAAAAAGGUGUUUUGUUUGAAGGGUUGUAUUGUUUUGUGAAUAAAAUAUGAAUAUAUUGCUUCAUGAAUAGAUACUUAAAUUCCCACAGAUACUCCAAAUUAUUACAAAUUCAUAACUUGUUCUCGAAUAUAAUUUCAUUGUUAGAGAUUGUGUUCAGAGUUUGUGGUAUCUUGGGGGUAAUUUGCCAUUCAACUUUAUAGCAAACUAAGUGUAGUGAGGGCAAAUAAAACCUUAAAGAAAACUAUCCAAACACACCUCAAACUAUUUCAAUUUUCGAUUUAGGGAUUGCUGAGAGUGUGUGUUUUGAUUGAGGUUUUGUUGAGAGUAUGGGUUUCGAUUUACUUUUAGUUUCUUCAAAAAAUUUUCCUUGGCUAUUGAUUUUAGUUUUAGGGUUUCUGUACAAAGAGAGGAGGGAAUCGAUUUUUAAGGAGAGAGAAAUAAGAACCCAAAACAUUACCAAAUGUUUAAUUUAUAGUGAUAAUAUUUUAGCAAUAAGAAUGACACCAUUUAGAUUUAGCGAAAUUAAAAAAAUAAAAAUUAAAUUAAACUACUUCUCUAAUUAGUAUCAAUACUUGAUUAUGACACUAUAAUAUCAACAAUCACUUAAACUUAUAUGUAAAAGGUAAUAGAAAUCACUUAGGUUGUCAAAUGCUGAUACUUUUUAUUAGUAUCAUAAACUUAGGGCCAGUUUGGGAAUAUUGUAGCUUCUAAAAUGAUUUAUGUUAGAUGUACUAUAGAAAUAAUCAGCUAUGAAGAGAAUCAAUUAAGUGUUUAGCAAAUUUUGUUUUCAGAAGUACUAUGAGCUUUUAAAGCAGUUAUGGAUGUUUGGUAAAUUUUACAGUCAAACUGCUAAAACAAAAUAAAUAACUAAAAUGUACAGAAUGUAGUAUAAAAUUUACUUAUACAUAUAAAAACAUGUACAUCUAAUAUUUUUAUCUUCCUUUUUCUUUUUAUUCUUUUGCAUGGUGGUAAUGGCUCUCUUGUUGCCGGGAAAGCCUUAACGUCGGCGGUAAUGGUUCCUUAAUAACCCAGAUUUUUUUAAUUAAUCCUUUAAAAAAUACAAAAAAACAGCCACAAUUUUUAUCAAAUUCAAUGAUACAAAAUUCGAGAAAAUCAAAACUUUAUUUCUUAAUCCAAAACAAAUUUGAUGCUCAAAGACUUCAACAUGAAGAGGCUUUGAUAGCACCUAUUAAAACAAGAAAUCCUUUGGUGAAAAUCAUCUAUAAUCCGGGCACAUUCAUGUUGUAUCACUAAGAAUCAAUAAUAAAUUAUGCGAAAGCGUACUUGAAUAAAAAAUGCUUAAUUGCUCUUGAGUCAUGUGGUUGGUCUUCCAGAUCAACACGUUCUCCUAGGGAAUCUUUUAAUUUUCUUUGUACUCUCUCUGAUGAUUUGAUGUCAGAAAAAAUAUAAUGAUACGUGUGACCUGGAGACCAUGACUACUUAUAUAGACUAACAUUUUUUUAUUGUUUUUAAGUAUUCUUAUUUCAGCCCAUCAUAGAAAUAAAAAUUACCUUUAAGUCUCUACACAUUAAAGAUCCACACCUAUCAGAUACAUUAAAGCUCAUAUUGCUGAAAACCUUAAUAGAUCACUUUUAAAUUGGGCUUAAAAGAGAGAGGAAAAGGUUUAUUAUCUUUAUUAUCAAUUUUCAAACAAGGGUACGUGGCGUUGUUCUACCGGAUCGAUGCAGAACUUAAUCUGCCUUUGGACCCAGAUCUGGCUUAGAACAGAUCAAUUGUCCGCAUGUUCUGGUUUCCAGCCGAUAUACUUCUUUAAAUUUUAAAACUUUUCUUUAUUAGCAAGCUUAGCAACAGAUCUAAAGGCUCAUAAAUAGUACUAGAUCUGGAUCCCAAAAAUAGCAUUCUGAAUGGAUGGAGGGAGAAGAGAAGAUACAACUGAGGAUAGAGAUCUGGUCUCGUUGCCUCAGAGGAAUGUUUAAUUUGUAUGGCAGAUCUGAUACAGAUCAGUCUGCAAACAUGCUUGUAAAAGUAAAAUAAUUUAAAAAUAAAUUGCAGAAAUUAAAUUAUAUUGCUAGAAUUUAAAUUGAAGAAAGUAAACAUACAUGAAUUUAAACUUUAUUACAAGCUUUAAAAAGAAAAUUACAAAUCACAAAGCUUACAUGUGGAUUUUCUUGCUUUGGUUCUUUUAAGGAAAAAUUUACAAAGGAGAUGGGAAAUUAAUCUGAAGACAGGGAAUUAUUUCCUUGACGUCUUCUGAUUCCAGAUUCCCAGAGAGAGAUGAGAGAAUGAAGAGAGAAAGAAGAGAAGAAGAGAGAUAAGGAAAACUCAAAACUAAAAACUCUGAGGAGUCUAAGUCUUUCCUUCAGCUUUAUAUAUAAAAUUGUAGCUUUAAACUGUAGCGGAGCUGUAGCUUUAUUAAACUGUAGCGGAGCUGUAGCUUGAACAGUAGUCUAUGUAGAAAAUACAGAAUACAAAUGAAAUUCGAGUGAAGAGACAUGUGCACCCUCACUUGUGUCCAAAGGACCACCCGAAGGUACAGAAAAAUACAAUGAUAAUACUCUUUUUUUUUUUUACUUUAAUGCUUUAUUGGCGAGAAAAUGCCGAAGCAGUCAUCUUCAUUUUCAUCUCCAAGGGAAAUGAAUGGUUCAGCAUCAUUAGAGGAGCUUGAAGAAGAACUUGCAACAGAUGUCUCAGAUCUUGUGGUGAGGAGCUGCUGCAUCACUUUGAAAUAUUCAUCUUCUGUUUUGGCACUGGCCAAAAGAGAUUGGGCUUUGGAUUUUUGGGUAAGAAAGGUCUCUUGGGCUUUGACUUCUUUAACAGUAGGAGGUAGAAAACCUUUGGAACAGAGCCAAUUUCGGAUUAAAGUAUCGGUUAAUUUGGUCUGCUCAUCAAAUUUUGACCACCAUUUGACUUUAGAGGUUCUUUGCAAAUAAGUUGAGUUUCUUGGGUAUGAUAUCUGAGAUUCCACAUCCAGAACCAUGGGAGGAAGAAAUUUGUACAGAAACAGAGAAAGGGGGAACCGUUUCGGAAUCAGAAGAGACAUAAUGGGUUUUGAAAAGAUUUAAACAAUGGAUGGCAUUUGGAGUCAAGAUUUCUGGUAUUGGGCCAAAAAUAUUCCACCAUUGUUGAAACCAAUUUGGAAGGCUUUGAACGGUUAUUUUUGAAUUAAAGAAAAAUAACCAUGAGUGGGAUUUUUUGGGGUUUUGGAUUAAAAAAUGUGUUAAACCAGGCUUGUUGAUAAUCCCUAGGAAUAGGUCAAACAGUGUGGUAAACGCAAUUGAAAAUUUAGAGGGAAUCUUUUCUGUGUGUGGAGUUGGUCGCCCCACUGGUUUGGGCUCAAGACUUUUAAAAUGGUAGCUGUAGAAUAGGCGGGUUCAGAAUGGGUUUCACUGAGAAAGAAAUGUUUGAAUUUGACUAACUCAGUGGACUCAAGGAUGCUUUGGUAAUAAGACUGGGGUUUUGUCAAAUCUCAUGGUUUGAAAAACCAGCCUUUAGGGAAAAACUUUGAGAUAGCUUGAAAAGGAUCAGUGUGGUAAAAACUAUCUUCCAAAGUUAAAAUAUUUUGAAAAUGAGCUUUAUCAUACCAAUCCGAAGUUUUCUUUGAAAGCUUUGGUUGUGAAAGAACAAUCUGAAAUGAUGCACUUUCACCAGAAAGAACCACAUUUUGAGAAGAAGCUUUAAAAAUUUCUUUCGAAAUAGAUUUUUCUUCUUUAGGGGAAAUUUGACUUUGAGAAAAGCUUUGUAAUGCAAGCAUAAGCUCAGGGGAUUUAGAAAUGGAUUUCAUCCAUUGAUUUACUUGUUCUUGAGAGGAGAUGGGUUUGGAUUUGGCUUUCGUCUUCAAUCAUGUCAAUCCAAGAUUUAAUGGGCAUGGCCGAAGAAGAGCAGUUUUUCUUUAGGAGGAGAGGAAGGUUGAGAGGCUUUAGAAGGUGUCUGGGACACAGGGUCUUUGAGGAUCCCUUUCCCUUUGUCUUUCUUUUUGGGCGGCAUUUAUCUGUUUUGAAGAAAUUCCUGGUUAGAAAAUCAGGGAGAGAAUUUGUAUCUCCUUUAAUAUAUUCAAUAUCAAAAUCAAAAACACUUAAAAUAGCCUGCCAUCGAGCAAAAAUCUAUUUAGAUGCAAUGUUUUGAACAUCUUUUUCCAAAACGUGUUUUGCAGCUUUGCAAUCAAUUCUAAGAGAAGUUUUUGAUUUAAUAAAUCGCUUUGAAAUUUUGAAAUACAUAAGACAAUGGAUAAAAUUUCUUUUUUGAUAGUAGAAUAAUUUUUCUGGCAUUCAUUCCAAUGUGCAGAGGCAUAUUGUACUAUUUGUUCUUUAUUAUGGUCAAUUUGCUUUAGUAUCCCACCAUAACCUAGAUCUGAUGCAUCAGUUUCAACAAUUUUAGGUAAUGCAGGAUUUGCAAGAAAUAAACAUGGAAUGUUUUUUACUAUGGUCUUUAUGUGUUUGACAAUUUUUGUAUAUUCUUCCGACCAUGCAACAUGAGUUUUCUUUAACCGAUCAUGCAAUGGUUUGGCGAUCCUAUUAAUAUUAGGACAAAAAUCAAGAACAUAAUUUAAACUGCCCAAAAAUCUUUGCAAUUGGGUUUUAUCAAGAAUUUUAUCAGGAAACUUGUCAGUGAAGGCAAAUGAUCUUUCAAUGGGAGUAAUGGUUCCUUUGGAAAUGUAGUGACGAAGAAACCGGACUUUAGUUUGGAAUAAAGAAACUUUAGAACUAGAAAUGGCUAGGCCAGCUUUUCUAGUUGCCAAAUAAAAAGUCUUUAGAUGUUUGAAGUGUUGGUCAAUUGAAUGGGAAAAAAUCAACACAUCAUCAAUAUAAACAAUGCAAAAAUCAGAAAAAUGAUUAUAAAUAUCGUUCAUAAUUCUUUGAAAUUCUAAAGGUGCAUUCUUCAAACCAAAAGGCAUUACUGUCCAUUCGUAUUGCCCAAAUGGAACAGUGAAAGCGGUUUUGUAACGGUCUUUAAGGUGAAUUUGAAUUUGCCAAAAACCAGAUUUCAUAUCAAAUUUUGAAAAUAUGAAUGCAGAGUGUAGUUUUUGGAGCAAAUCUUUUUUAUUAGGUAUGGGAUACCUUAUCCAUUUUAAUGCUUUAUUCAAGGGUUUGUAAUUAAUAACAAGUCUGGGUGUUCCUCUUUCUAUUUCAGAAUUUUUAUUGACGUAGAAAGCGGCACAAGACCAAGGAGAUCUGAAUUUUACAAUGAGUCCUUUGGACUCCAAUCUUUGAUUUCAUCUUUACAAUGUCUUUCCAAAUCCAUGUUCAUUUGGAUAUGACGAGCUUUAGUGGGUAUUUGUUUUUCAUCGAAUGAAUUUUCAUAAGGCAAAUCUACCAAAUGUUGUUUUCGAUUCCAGAAGGCAGUUGGUAAAUCAGCACAUAUUUCUUUUUCAAUUAAUUUUUGGAAAUCAGAAAUUCUUGUCUGUAUAAACUGAUUUCUCAAUUGGUUUUCAAUUCUUUGUAAACUCAAAUCUUUUUUCAAACAAGUUAAAUCGGUUUGUUUUGUUUUAAGCAAAACAUUUAUUUGGUUCUGGUAAACAGAACAGGCUUUAACAAUAUUUAAAUUUCUGGUUUUAGGUUUCUCAANNNNNUUAAUUAAUUAANNNNNUAUUAAUGAUUCACUUAUUUAUUUUAUGUUUUAUUUGACACUUGUUGAUGAUUCAGAAGUUUUAUGUAAUAUUUAUAUGCUUUUGUUUGUUUACUAUUGAUAUACCAAUUUAUCACUCUUAUGUUAAUUUACUUGUUUUAUCUUCUAUUUACAAGUCUUAUGUUCCCCUUACUUAAUUUAUGUUUUAUUUUACACUUAAUGUUAUUUAAAAAUUUUAUAUUAAUUUACAUUUCUUAUGUUUCAUUUAGAUAAUUUAUGUUUAAAUACAAUAUCAAUCAUGGCAUCAUAGAAUGAAUUUUUUUUUAAUAAUAUUUGGCUCUAAAGGAAGUUCAAAUUGUUUCAUGCCCCCCUCAUUUCGUGGCCAAAACUAACCCCUGUUAAACGAUUUAUUAGGUAUUACUAUGGAUUUAUGAAGUAAGAAAUAAAAUUAUAAAUUAAUAAGAGCAAUGACAAACAUUUCAAAUGAUAAUAAAAUUUUAUCCUAAAUAAUGUGACAUUCACCAUGUGAAUGAUGAGAUAAUGUAAUUAAGUUAGGAUAUCUAAUACUGUUUUAAUAAUUACUUUAUUGAAUAAUUUCAUGUGUUCAAUAUAUCUCCAUCCUUACAUUUAUUAAUAUUAUUUUAUUUAAUAAUAUUACAUUUAUUAAAAAUAAUAAUAUUAAACUUAUUUAAAUGUAAUAUUAUUAUAUUUAGUUAAAAUUAUAGUAUCAUAUUUAUUUAAAUAAUUAAUAAUAAAAAUAUUUACCAAUAUAUUUUUUAUUUACUUUGUAAUUAAAAAUUAUAAUUUUUUAAAUAAGAGUAAAAUUGUUAUUUGAAACAAUUCACUCCUAAUUCAAGAUAAAGUAAACACAUAAACAAGAUUUUGAUCCUUAUUCCAACUUUCAUUCUAAUGUAAUAAAAAAUCUACUGCUACUCUUACGGCACACUCUCAAUCUCAGAAUUCUCACUCCAAUCCAAGAAGUAAACGUUACCCUAAAAUAUUGGACCAUUUGCAAAGGGAUCUAGUAGUCCUUGAAUUCGGCCCAUACCAGAAUAUUUUCUUUGCAAAAAUCUAGUAUCUUCAGCAGGCUCUCAGUAGUGUUCCUGAAGAGAAAAUUCCCCCUGCUGGCAAAACAAAGAAAAUACCAUGCCACUUGGCUUAAGUGUACAAACUUUAUUUAAUAUUCUUUCAUUAACGUUCACUCACAAGAGUACAAAAAUCAGUUAAGUUAAGAGAAUGAAUCAUAAAAAUUCUGGAAUUAGAACAGACUUUAAUUAGUCAACACAAAACAUACUAGUUAUCCACAAUGCAUUAAGCUAACAAAUUAGAUUGAUCAACUGAAAAUAAACACUAUAUAUCUUAUAAUGUAUAUCCGUAACAAUAUAAUAUUAAUGGACAUUAUUAUAUAAUUUAGCUUCACCCAAUAUUUAAUUUGAUUAAGCUAAAAAAAAUUUCUUUGAUUAGCAGUCUCUCACAAGACACUUGAGUUAAUAAAAAAAAUUAAGAUAAAUUUAAAUAUAAGGCAAAAUUUAUAAUUUCAAGCACAGUAAAGCAUAAAAGGUACUAAUUACCAAAGAAUGGAAGCGUAUAGUUAAUGAAGCAUAGAUUACUAAAAAAGACCCAUCUACAUCUGCUACUCACUUUGAGUGUAGAUUAGAAAAUGGUGUUGCCAUCUAUCUCGUUCACUUGUCAUUAGUUAUCUCCAUGAGCCUUUCUCCAAUUACUGCCAAGUAAUUAUUUUUCCUCAAUACAACUUUUAUCUUCAUUUUCCACAAUGAAAAAUUAUUUCCGUUGAAUUUCUUAAUUUCGUAUUUUGCCGUCAUCGCUUUUCACCACAAACUAACUUUGCUAAGAUUGGCUCCCACCAUCUCACGUGAACAGUACCGUAUACGUGAAUAGUUCCAUAUAUGUGAAGAGUACUUUUACAUGAACAGUAUCACCAACUCCAAAAAAAAUACAACCAAUAACUCUGAUACCAAUGUUAGGAAAUUGGUGGGUGAAGCAGGGCCACAGCUAAAAUGAAAUUGGAAGAAAAUAAAGAACAAGUACAAAAGAGGACACCAGAAAAUAUUGUAAAUAUUUUACUACGUCCACGGGCGAAGACAGAAGGAAAAUAUUUUACUAGUAAUAUGAGGAUUACAAGUAUUGUAAUAUUUUGGCUCACUUCCCAGAACUCAAAUACACCCAAUCUCUCACUCACUAGACUCACAAGAGCUUUAUAAUUUUAAGCUCUUUAAAUCACUCAAACUCUCUGCUUUCUCUCUCACAAAAAAAAUUGAAUUGCUUCGCUCUCAAUGGGAUGCCUAAAUGAGGGUGGGAAGCCCUCUUUAUAUAGCCAAAAUUUUGGCUUUUUUUUUUAUAAUAAGUCAACAUGGCACCACAAAAAAUGGCGGGUUGUGUUGAAUGGCAAGGCACCGCCCAUCCAGCCAUGACUUUAACAUAUCGAGCGUGUAACAGGGACAUGCUAACAAGGAAGAAUUCUAUUAUCAAAUUAUGGUUAUGAGAUGAAUUUGCAUCCAAUCCUCAAUCCAUUUUUGCAAUUCUUUUUUUUCAUAUAUAUUCUUCAAUUACUCAAAAAGGAAACAAAGUGGACGCACACAAAAUCUGCCUACUUACAAAUUUUUGGCAAAGUAUGUUUCAAAUCAAUUAACAGCAUCAGCAUAUCUUGAGAUUUUCCUUCUACCGUUAAUUGUAACACAAAAUUAUAAAAACAAAAUAAAAGGAGGAUAGAAGAAAGAAACAUCCACCCAUACCUUUGACAAGAAUGGUUCAAGAACAGUUACAACUUCCACGGACAGAUUGAGAGCGAGCACGACAGAGAGUGGGGCUGCUGUUGCUGGCUUGCUGCUGUGUGUGCGUGUUGAGAGAGAGUAAGAGCGAGUGUGAGAGGGACUGCUGGUGGCCUGGUGCUGCCGUACUGGCUGCUGCUGCGGGCUGCGAGUGCUGGCAUGCGUGCUGCUAAGAGGGAGGCUCUGCUGUGGCUUGAGGGAGGGGCUGCUGCUGUUUCGUGUUUAGAGAGUUUGGGAUUACAAUUUAGGGUGCGUUUGGGAUUAAGGUUGGGGAGCUGUAACUUUUAAGUUACAGCAUUAAAGUGUUUGGUAAACACUAGCUGCUAUAACUUGGAAGUUAUGCUGAUAUAAUUUUUCACUUGUAUGAUGGAAAAUAUUAUAUCUUUAAUAAUUUUGUCAAAAUUAUUAUUUAAAAUUUAUAUUUACUAAAUAUUAUUAACUUUUAUUUCAAAAUUACAAUUUUUUUUUUCACAAUAGCUAUAGCUUAAAAGUUAUAGCACCUCAAUCCCAAACACACCCUUAGUCACUUGGAAUUUUAAGGAUUUAGUUUUAGGAUCAGGAUCCUCUCCUGAUCUGAUCUUUAUCUGAGCAAGUGCUAUUAAUAUGAUUGGUGGUUAAUAAAUGAAAAAAAAAGUAGUUAAAUCUUAACCAUUCACUAAUAUUAAAAUACAGGUGGCACAAGAUCUGUCAAAGAUUAAGAGUGCUCAGAUUAGGAGAGGAUCUCAAUCCUUAGUUUUAGGGCUGGUUUUUUUUUAAUAUAAUUGCACAUGAACCGAAGAGUUUAUCUAUUCGGUUUGGCUCUGAAACCGAACCGAAUUCAUAAACCGUUUGGUGGAAGUAAAAUGAAACCAUCCAGUUUUUUCCCCUUAAACCGAACUUGCAAAUAGAAAUUAUUCGGUUCGAUUCGCCAAAAAUCGAAUCGAAUUUGAUUUCCAGAUAAUUUUUUCCAACCGAACAAAAGAAAAUAAAGAGGAAACAAAAAAGCUCUCCUCUCCUACCUUAAUUUCUUAACCGAACAUGGCCUAAAGGUAAUCAGCACCCUUUAUGCUUUACUGUAAUAAGAAUUAUAAAUUUUGUCUGUUAUAUAAUCCGAUCAAAACUGACCUUAUAUUGAUGAAGAUCAAAUCAAAGAAGCUAAGAUUUAAUAGAACCAGAACCAAGAACAAGCAAAGCAUUAAAGAAUUUGACAAGACCAUAUAACGUGGUUCGGCAACAAGAUGCCUACAUCCACGACUGAAAUCAGCUCUGCUCUGAAACGGUUUUUGAAUGAGAUGUGUAACAGAUGAUUUUUGAGAUUACAGAAAUUAAAACUUCCCUACCUGAGAUUUUUCCAUCUCUCUCAAAAUCAAUCACUAAGACUUUGUAACUGCCAGCUUUUCUUUUAUAAUUCCAGGCAACAACUUUAACAACUGAUGGCCCCACACCAACGCCAGCUCAGCACGCCACCUCAUUCACUCUUAACAGAAUAUAACUACCCAGGCUUCACAAUGUCUUACAUUUACAUUUAUCUUAAAGUUUUUAUUAACUCGAGUGUCUUGUGAGUGACUGCUAAACAAAGAAUUUUUUUUUUUAACACAAUCAAAUUAGAUAUCGGUUGUGGCUAAGUUAUAAAAUAAUGUCCAUAAAUAUUUGAUGCUGUCAUGGAUAUACAUUCUAAGAUACAUUGUGUUUGUUUUCAGACGAUCCAUCUAAGUUGUUAGCUUAAUGCAUCGUGGAUAGCUAGUACGUUUUGUGCUGAUUAAUUAAAGUCGGUUCUAAUUCCAGAAGUUUUAUGAUUCAUUUUCAACUUAAUUGAUUUUUAUACUCUUGUGGGUGAACGGUAAUGAAAGAAUAUUAAAUAAAUUUGUAAACUUAAGCCAAGUAGACUGAUACAUCUUUGUUUUCCAAGCACGGGGAAUUUUUCUUUAAACAAAACUAGAAGAUAAAAGCUUUAAUCAAUAAUAAUUACAACGGAAUUCCAGCUUAUGUCGCUGCCCCUUGGACGACUGAAUUGGUAAUCUGAAAAGAAACAAACGGAACUUGCCACGUUUAAUAUAUCUGAAAUAUCAAUCAUUACAAUGCCACUGCGCUCAGAAAUUCAUUUCAUCGCUGUCAAGUGGAUGAAAAGGCUAAUAACUUCCAGAUCAGAGAUGAAAAUCAUCAUCUAUCAAGUACGUUGUCAUUGAAAUCAACAAGUACAGAUGGAGUGGACACACCUUAAAUUCUCUGUCUAAUGGGUUCCUGCUGCCUUGCACUUGCUAAAUUGAGUUACCUUCAACACCAAGAAAGAAAAGCAAGCCGAAGCUGCAUUGAUUUCAUCAAUCCAUUCUUGGCAUUCAUGCAAUCAGACAUGCUUCCUGAGAAAGAAAGUCAAUGGUGCCAGCUUAAGGAAUAAACCACAAAGAAAAACCCACUCUAGUCUUCCGCUUAAUAUCAGUCAACUGAGUUGCUAUUUGAACAAGAAAAUGGAUCCAUCAUCUGAAAACAAACGCAAGGAACUAUAUAUCCAAAACAGCAAAUAUCCAGAAAUAACAUUAAUCAAAAUCUGCAACUCUAAAACUAUGACAGAUAAGCUUGCAAAUUUCUUUUGAUUACCUAUUGUUGUUAGCUGUAAGGUGAAUUCAAACACCUGGUUACUAAACGGCGGCGUUUCAAGUUUCUUGAUGGCUUAACAAACUCACAUGAGAAGCACGACCUUGUUAUUACUUUGAAACGGCAAAGAGUGCUAGCGUUUUGGAGUCACUUGAAUUAAGUAAAUCACACAAGCAGUCACGUGAGAUACAAUUGAAGCCAAGUUCAUUAUACCAGAAUCUUUGCACACGUGUCAUAUAGCUGUGCAUUCUGGGCUGUUAAGUUUGUUAAGAGACUGGUUUAUAAGCUGAUGAAUCAGGAGAAGCUGCGUGAAUUCGAGAGAAAUACUGAGAGGAAUUGUAGAGAGAGAGAGAGAGUUAAAUCUUAUUCUUUGUUCUUUUUUCUCAACUCUCUGUAACAAACACCUUGAAUCUUUCAAUGAAAGCCUGCUGGUGGAUUCACCCGUGGAUGAAAGCCAUUAAUGGCUGAACCACUUUAAAUUUGCUGAGUGUUCUGUUGAUUGUUCUCUGCUCUUAGUUGUUCUGUUCUUGUGCUGUUAAUAAUCCUUUGUUUGAUUCAAGUGAGGUUUAUUGAUUCUUCCAAAUCGAUUAAUCUGUUACAUGCAACUCGAUUGAUCUUGACAAAGGAUCUUGGGUAGAAUCUGAUUUUGUUGUGUGAAUCGAACGAAUCAGAUUCUACACCUAUCAACCACGGUGACAAGAUUAGAAAAAUAAUUGAGUUGAAAAUGCUGUAUUGACAAUCCUCAUUUGAUUUUUAAAAAAAAAUAGAGGUGAUGUGAUAUAUCUUUCAGUAUGUAAUCUAAACAAUAAAUUUUUAAAAUAACAAAAAAUGGCAUAUUAUAAAAUCUAGACUAGGACAGAUCGACUAUAUUCUCUCCAUGGUAGUAAAUUUAAGAUAAAAAUAAAAAGUAAGAAGCAUUUUUUUAUCAAUUUAGCUAAUGAUACAACUGUAUGGGGGAUAAAAGAAAGCACAUUGUUGUAGGGGAUAUGAGAUGGAAUGGAGCAAAAAAUCUACUCCUCUAAAUACGAUUGUUACUCGUAUAAGAAUUUCCCAUCUAUUAACGCAAGGAAUGUUUGCAAUCUUGGGCCACUCUUUUCCUUUAUCCCUUUUGCACUCUUUUUUCAGCUUCGGACAAGCUUCGAUUGUUAAAUCCAGGAGUGAGGUUGGAAGGCCCUCCUCUGGAAAAGAUUUAAGAUUUGGACAUUUAAUGAGCAGCAAAAAUUCAAGAGAGGUUAGGCUUUGAAAACCAUUGAAGAUAGGUAUUUCAAUUUCGACAACUAACAAUAAAGAGGUUUCUGAGAGAGGUCGGCAACAUCAUUCCCAUCUCCUCGUCCGGAAAACACUCUGCUUCAUCACAUCCAUAAAUAUCAAGGCUUCUGAGAGAGGUAAGCCUGUGCAACCCCCACUGAAUGAGUGGCUUAUAAAUUUUCACAUCAACUCCAAUACUAAGUGUUGUUAGAUUGGUGGGAAAACCUUCCUCUGGAAAAGAUACAAUGCUCGGACAUUCACUUAUGUAAAAAUGUUGAAGAGAGUUGAGUUUGUGCAUGUCACUGGGCAGGGCUUCAAGCUUCUCACAAUCGGCUAUCCAAAUGCUCUGUAAAUUAUGCAGGCCAUUGGGUAUUGACUUCAGCUCUGGACAACUACUUAUGUGGAGGUAUUCAAGCCCCUCAAGUAGCUGGAUUCCUGAUGAUAAACUUGUGAGCUCUGGGCAGCGCCUUAUCUCCAGAUGUUUCAGCUUCACUGAUGAAGAAGAAGAAGUAUCAUCAUCUCCACCAUCGACCAAAUGCUGCAAGUUCUUACAAUUCUCUAUCUCAAGCCUUUUAAGAGAUGCUGGUAGCUUGCUUCUUGCAAUGAAUGUUACAGAAUCACAAUCUCGGAUGUACAAACUUUCCAGUUGUGAAUUGUUGCCUAUAAUUUCCUCAGGCAAUGUUUUUAAAGCUCUGGCAUUUCCAAUUUUAAGAGACCGCAGAUUAUUGAGAAAAAGUUUAAUCUCUGGAAAUGAAACUAGACUUACGCAGCUUUCAUCAAUAGACACCUCUUCAGGGGAGGUGAUAACAUGCAACCCUUUCUCUGGCUGCUCAAGUUCAUGCCAUGACGUGAUCCAUUCAAAAUUUCCAAUCCGCAAAGUCUCUACUUGAUGAAGUCCUUGCUUUAAAAAUUUUCUUAACUCCAAAAUAUUGGAAAUAACUGUCACAGAGUCUGCUUCUGUACAAUCACUAUGUAUCAUCCCCUUGCAUCCGCGUAUCUGCAAUGUAUCAUUUGAAAUAGUCAUAGCCUCGAUCAACUUUGAGUCAAUUGGAGUGCUGCACACAAGUCCCUUGCAUUCAUGAAUUUCUAAUUUGCAAAGAUUCAGAAAGCUUGAGAAUGAAACUACCAAUUCUCCACAUUUACUAACAACUAGUUUCUAUAAUGAAGGGAGAUGCUCUGGCAAUUUUCCAGAGAAUAUGGGACAUCUGACCAUGGAAAGUUCACGGAGGCUAGAGAAUCCUGCAACAAUACAAUUUUCUUCCAAUUUAGUGUCUCAAUACUCCCACUCUGGUAAAUUCUCGAAACAGAGAAUCUCCAAUGAUUGAAAAGGCUUUGAGCAAUCCUCACCAUAAACCUCAGCACCCAUGCUUUUCAGUUUCAUCAAAACCUUUAAUAGUAAGAUGUUUAAGUGAACUCAACAACCCGAGCGAUGGCAAGGAUGUGCAAUUUUCACAGUUUUCUAAUUUAAGAACUCCAUCUUGGAGAAAAAGAUGUAUCUCCUAUCCAAGAAGGAAAUUUUUUUCCACCAUAAGCCCUCGAUUGCAAGUUUCUUGAUGUUUGUACAAGGUUUUAGCAUGCCAAGUACAAGUUCUUCUCCAUCCUUAUUUUCGUGAGUUGUCAAACUGAGAUCCCCAUUGCAAUGACAAUGCUUCUAGAUUCUGCUUCUCGCAUAACAUCGCUUCGCUUGCCUCCCACGUACGGUCCACAUUUUCCAAUCCUGAGAUGCAAAGUUCUCCGCCAAGAAAAUUUAAAUUCUUCAAAUCGUCAAAGUGGAAACUUUUCCCUUGCCCACAAUAAAAUUAGACAACGUUUGAAGACACUUCAACUCCUUCAUUCCCGGUGGCAUCCCUUUUAGUGAAUUUGCACCUUUUAUAUCGAGAUGACGUAACUGAAGCAAAUUCCCCAUUUUGGAUGGCAACUUAAUCAAACAAUAACAAUCUCUUAAUAUCAAUAUUUGCAAGUUCAGUAGCAAGCUUGUUUGACUCGGGUAAAACUUUUGAUACUAGAGCCUUCGAGGUUGAGAUACCUUAGAGAUCUCAUAGUGUUCAAAAAGAAAUGGGUAACUGGGUGAUGUAGUAUCCUUUUAAAGAUAGCACCCUUAGCUUCUUGAAUUUGGCAACAACUUCCGAUAGAAACAUGUUAGUAAUGUAAGUGGUGGCUCCUAUUGUGCUUAUUUGCAAGAAUGUCCUCAGCUGUGCAAGUUGAGCAUUACCGAUAACUUCAAAUUUAUUUUUACCAUCACACCAUCCUUGAUUGUAAGAAUAAUGACGAACCCUUUCAAAUCUUCUCGAUGGCUUAUUGACCUCUUCUAACCUGAAAAUAGUGUCGCCGGAAAACCAAUUGAGUGAGAUCAUGAACUAGGUCAUGCAUUACAAAUUUAGAGCUAUCAACACAUGAUUGCUGGAAAAUUGACCUUGACACUAGACCUCGAAAACACUCUCUUCCCCAUUUUUCUGGCUGCUUAUUGUUUUCGGAACAUUGCUGGAUGACACCUUCAGCUAUCCACAAAAAAAAAACAAGCUCAUUCUGCUCAAAUUCAUAAUCUUUAGGGAAAAUAGCACAAUAAGCAAAAACAUCUCUUCAACUGAGAAGGAAGAUAGUGAUAACUCAAUCUUAACACUGAGAGAAUGCCAUUUUGUUGAGGAAGAUCCAAUAUAUUGCUGUUCAAUAUUUCAUCCCAUUCAUCAUGUCUCUUGGAACGUAAAAGUCCCCCAAGAGUUUUUGCUGCUAGGGGCAAGCCUCCACACUUUCCAACAACUUUCUCGCGAAAUAAAUCUGAAAUUGUUGUGCAGUUAAUAUCUUGACCCACAAACGCGUGCAUCAUGAAACAGGGACCAGCAAUCUUCAUCUGACAGGCACUGUAGGUUAUAUUGUUGAAUUGGUUCCAUUGUUGAUUGCAACAUGUGCAUGGCGAGUGGUGACAAUAAUUUUACUGUUUGGUGCAGCAGCCAGGAAUGGAGCUUUCAGAUCUUCCCACAAGCAGUAGUCCUCGUUCCAUACAUCAUCUAAGACCAGCAAUAAUUUUUUCCCAUCAACAGCCCUUUUUAUCUGAACCUGCACUUCGUUUAAAGCCUUGAGAUCACAUGAUGCGAAGGUGAUUGACUCAAGAAGAGCCCUUGAAAUGUUCAACACAUCAAAGUCAUCAAGAGACACAAACCCAUGCUUUUACAUCGAACUUGGAGUCUUCAAUGGCCCUGUCAUUGUAGACCUCCCGAGCAAGGGUUGUUUUUCCGACCCCAGCCAUGCCAACGAUUGGUAUUACAGCAAGGUUGGAAUGAUCACUUGACGUAUCAGUCAGUACCAUUUCAAGCAUUUUGGCCUUAUCUUGCUGCCUCCCAAAAACAGCACGUUCAAUUGACACACUUGAAGUGGGUGUUCUUCGUUGUGCAGUAGUAGUUGAUGAUGUCCCUCAGGAGUCAAUUGCAAUCCAAGAUGAAUUCUUUGAUUGCAGAGUCGAUCAAAUCGGCCGGUGAUAUCUUUUAUGCUGGACCGCAUUUUGCCAUUGAAAUUAACAGUGUUCUGAAUUUUGAAACAACCGAAACAAGCUGCCGGACGAGCAUCUGAACUUUGCUACUGCUGGCUCCAUGAUCACGAUCUGCAAUGAACUUGCGAUCCAAAGCCUUGGUGGCAAACUCAUCAAGAAUGUCCUCAGCAUCAUAAGCCAAGUCUCGGAGAUCGUCCAGCCACAAUUUCACAGCCUCGUCCGUCAGUUGCUUCUCCUCUGCGUCCCUCAGCACAGCCUGAAUCAUCAUCAAACAGUCUUCCCAUUUCUUCAACUCGGAAGCAACCCCACCUCCAAGUUGGCUAACAAAGUUGAGCAAAUCACCACCAUGGGGAGCCAAUCUGUCAAAAAGCACCUGAAAGACAGCUGAGAGUAAGAGCUCUCCAACAGCCAUAGUUUAGUUUUGUACUUUUGUUCACAGGAAAGUAAAGGAGUGGAGUGUAGGAUCAAAAUGGGAUUGAAUGCAAGUAGAGCAAAAAUCGGAAGCAGUGCAUCAAAAGCCUGCAGAAAUGGUUAGAUUCAAAACCGUGGACUCCACAUAUCACGAUCAUCAUCGAAAUUUUGAGAUGGCCGUAAAAUAAACUUCUUUUUCUUCGUUUUUCUAAAGUCAAGUCUUGCAUUGACUGAUUCUAGACAUUUCCAUUUCACACUGCGGUCUUGAAACAGAUUUUCUUUAUUCAUAUAAUUUCGUGUAUGGGAUUUUCAAGAGUAGCUGUAGAAAUUUACUUUUGAGGCGACCAACUUUUUUUUAGCAUGCCGUAGAGUGAAUUUUUUCACAUAUACACAAAAGGUUUAUCAGAAAAACUUAAAGAAAAGUCAGUAUUUGCUUCUAACAUAUAUUUCCUGCACUGGCCAGUCAAAUAAAGUAUCUUAGAAAAUCUUAAAGAAAAGUCAGUAUUUGAUUUUAACUCAGUUCCUCCACUGGCCAGUCAAAUAAAAUUUCUUAAGAAUCAUUCAACACCAAGAAAGCAAAUUGCAUCAACAUGCCAUCUGGCAUGUGGAAAUGAAAAUAAGAGACUCGGGAUAUUUUAAUCUGACCUGUAUUUUGAUCUCAGGCAGUACUGCAGGAUGUUAUAAGAAAUUUAAUUAUAUAUAUGUUUUAAAUAUUUUAUCUACGACUAUUAAUUAAUAAUAAAAUUCAGCCGAAAAAAUAUUAUACUUGAAUCUUGAUACAUGCAUAUGAAGAAAAAGAAAUUAAAGCCCAUAAAUCAUGGAAUAGUUUUCAUAUAGCUAUAAAGAGUCUGAAAAUAAGCCUGAAGGAACCAACUACCAAUAAUAAAUUUCUCAACAUGAUGAAAUUGCCACGAACUUUUGUAACGGUUCAUUAUAAUCUUGAGUGAAUUCUAUAUGUUCCAGAAAUCCACAGUGCUUAGGAAUAUGACACCUUUUAUUAUCCAACACUUUAAAUAUCAAUUGGAUUAGAUAGAUUCAGGCAACCUUUUAUCUUCUACUUUUCUUCAGAAUAUGUGUUUUGCCAUUUAUCUGAUUACAGGUACAGCAGGAGAUACAAUUUAGGUUGCGGCUGAUAUACAGCUGCCUGUGCAAGGGUGUGCUUCCUUGCCUCUUCAAUGAUAGUAGAUAGUAGUGUGAGCAAUAGAUAGCAGCAAAGCAACAUUGGGCCUUUAGAAUCUUAUAAGAAGGAUACAAGGAUUUACACUUUUCAGAUAUUAUUUUUACCAAAUUUGCUUGCCUCCGUAAUCCCCUAGGGGAGAAAAAAGGAAAAUAAAAGUUAUUUUCUUCUCUUUGGUUACAUGAGUGAAAUUUUCUACCUCUAGCCCUUGGAUGGGAUGGAAAUUGCAGGCUAGAACAUAUAUCAAGGAAUUUGUUCAUGGGGAUCUAGGGCGCACCAAUCCAAGGUAGAAAACACGAUUGAAUAGUGUUAUAGACAAAAAUCCUUGUUCCAGUUCAUUUUUACCGUCGUGCAUAAAUAUUUUAUGUAGAGCACUGAUACCUAGACACAAUCAAGAUCAUCAAGGUAGCAAAUAAGAAAUGUUCAUGCAACAAUUCCACUGUACACACAAAAUGACAGCACUGUUUAUACUACAGUGCCAUCUUUUUUGUCAUGGCCAAAUAUCAAUUUUCUUUUAUUUAUGUUGAACUUUUUGUUUCUCUUUUUUCUACAGCAUUGGAUCAAUUCUAGGAUGCAGAGCAAAGACGCGCUGCAACGUGAUGUUACAAAUGUAAAAAUGGACUGUUUCCUAAUUGAAUGAGGUUACUCAUAAAUGACAAUGCAAGUUAUUUAUGGCCAAUGAUGAUCAUUAUUAUCAUUUAACACCUGAAUUACAAUAUUGAAAAUGAUUAUUAUUAUUAUUUUGAGAAGUGUGCCUUUAUGAAAAUUAUAGCACCACUCCACGAGCUCUUUUUUGACAUUAUUUUAACCCAAAUGGAUUGUCUUUAAAAGGUUCAAGAAGUUAGAUCGUUCAAUAAACCGCAGGCUCAACUUUUCUUUUUUACCAAAUCUCAUAAGUUCCUUUAUCGGGGCUACUUUAAGGAGAAAAUUCUAGAAUGCCUCUGAUAUAUUACAACCAAUUGAUGCAUACAUGCCAUGUAUAGUUGAAUUUAAUAUAACCACCACUUGUAUGAUAGUUUUUCAAAGUAAAUGCACACAUGUCAUAGCAUCAUUUGUUUGUUGUAUGGCUGACAUGGUACCUCCGAUGUAUUCUGGAAUUUCUCUGCUUUAAGAAACACUUUAUUGCCCACUUUAAACUCUAAGUUCCUCUUCCGAUUGUUUGCAUAGCUCUUUUGUCUGCAUUGAGCCACUUUCAUUCUUUCUCUUAUCUUCACAAUGGCUUUACAAGUUUGUUGAAACUCUUGAGCCCUAAAAUGCACAAACUUAGUCAACCUGUUUAUAAUCACCCAAAUUGUAUCAUAGCAUUUUUUUCUGAUUUUGGCAAUCCUGAAACAUGAUCCAUGCCUAAGUGUUCCCACUUUUGCUAUAGCACCAUUAAAGACUGUAAUAAUCCAGACGAUCUUUGAUGCUCAACCUUGACUUGCAGACAUGUCAAGCAUUCUUUAACAUAUUUGCAAUCUCCCUCUUAAUAUUAGCCUACCAAUAAAUAGCUUGAAGAAUCAGCUUUAAUUCUUACAUAUUAUAUAUUUUAGCCCACCAAUAUAUAGAUAUUGUGUUAACAUAUAUGUAUCCAUAAUGUUGAUUUUGAUGAUAACAAACAAGAUUAACAAAGAUUAAGCAUUUAAAAGCUCAAAUUAUUUUUCAUACAUUUUAAAUAAAUCAUUAUCUUCAUAAAUGGUUUUAUACCUAGUAGAAAAAUGAUUUUAUGAAAUUGUUUGUUUUUAAGUUGGUGGUUAAUUAAACAAGUUUUGAGAACUUCGAAAUCAAUAACUACUAUUUUGAAAUUCUAGAAAUGAACCUAUUUGAAAAGUCUUAUAAAGUUUUGGGGCAUAGCAUAAGUUUAGAAAGUUAUGGAAAUCAUCAUGUAUUGUUUUGAAAUUCUGAAAAUGGACUUGUUUGUAAACCUUUUUAAAAUUUUGGGUUAUAGUGUAAUUUUAGGAUCAGUUUGAGGCCAAAUUAUAAUUUCAAAAAAUAAGUUCACUAUAGGAAACGGCUAACCCGUUACUGUAAACGUUUAACCGAUAAUGGGCAGAAAGUCUUUAGACAAUAAAAGUGAUUCGAUUAUUGAAAAGCGGUGAUUCGAUAAUUUGAACUGUGGCCUAACGGUAACUUGCUCGAGUCAAAACGGCAAUCCAACUUGCAGUUAACAGUGAUCCAAUUAUGUGCAAAAAGUCAAAACGGCUAGUUUUCUUCUUCAACUAUAAAAAGGCUUAAUCAAAUUCAAAUGAUUGGCAUUGAGCUUACUCUUGCAUAUUUGAAUUGUCUUAAAUUUUUUUAUUCUUUCAUUGAAACACACUUUGGGCUUUUAUUUGUAAAUACAUAUAUUGUGUGAGUGAAAUUCUAUGUAAUAUUCAUCUUAAUAUCAAAAUUGAGAGAUUGGGAGUGUGGAAAACAUUUGGGAUUAGAGGUGUGAGAUUACCUCAAGUUGUAAAGGUUUUAUUGACACGUUGAAAGUCAAUUAUAAGCAUCUUGAAACCUUGAGUUGUAAGGUUUGGAUAGUGAAAUUCUCAAGCGCAUUGAGCUUGGAGGUAUGGAUGUAAACGGGUUUUGCUGAACCAUGUAAAAAUCUCAUAUUUUUUUUUUCUCUAUCCUUACCUUUUAAAUUUACUUGUUGAAAUAAUAAUUAUUAUUAUUGGUUGUGGUAGUUUUUUAUAUUGAAUUGUGGUAUUGCUAUUGAAGAAACUCUUGAAAAUCCAAUUCACCCCCCUCUUGGGUUGCCAAGCUAGUAUUUCAAAUUGUGCAUAACAUAUUGAUAAUAUUUUGAUCAUUCUUGGUGAUUAUCACCAGACCUAUCACCUUUUAGUUCGGCACCAUCAAAAACUCCAAUUAGGGUCAUGCAUGGUUUUUUGUUAUUUAUAAUACCAGUAAAGUAAUGCGUGGAUUGUGUGCCACUUUAUCACGUCUAUUCUCUGCCUCAAUAGUUUUAUAAUCCCACAAUUUGGGGGCUAUGUUGCUAUGGACUAUAAACAACUUUUUAGUAUACGGGAAGUUAGGAAGACCUAGCUCUGAAACCACACACACACACACACAUAUCACACACAUAUACAAUGAGGAGAUUUUUUAUCUCGUUGAUUCUAUUGAUAAUAAAUAGGGCAAACAUAAUAGAAAAAAUGCGAAAGUUUCAGGAAUCAUGAUCAUUUGUGGUGGAGGAAGAAAUCCAUAUUCUAUAAAUUAGAGUAUUAGAAGUACUUGUUGGUGGAUCAUCAAUUAGAUGUUAUGUACAUGGAAAAAAAUGUGUUUGAGAGCAUUUAUUAAACACUGUUGAAAAUUCCUGAAAAGAUCAAAGAUUUUCUUAAAUCUAGGAGAGAUCUUGUGGUAAUAAAAAUUAGGGAAAAAUUGCAUCGAACAUCAACGAAAAUGGACACACUUUUCUUCCGUCAGCUUGUUACACAUCUUUAAAUGUAUUGCUAAUUGCUAAUGGAAACAGGUAUCCCUCAAAACUAAUUCAAAUUAUAAUGGAGUGCAUCACCACCUUAUGAAUGCAAGUUCUAUGGGAGGGUGAGCUCACUGAUGAGUUCCUGCCAACUAGAGGUAUUCGGCAAGGUGAUCUCAUUUCUCCUUAUAUCUUUAUUCUCUGCAUCGAACAACUCAGCCAUGGUAUAUGUGAUGUGGUCAACACAGGUUUUUGGACUCCCGUGCACCUCUCUCGCCAUGGAAUUCCUCUUACUCACCUUUUUUUGCAGAUGAUCUGCUUCUUUUAGCAGAGGCUUCGUGUGCUCAAGCCUCGAUAAUUAAUUCAAUUCUUGAAACUUACUGUAGUAACUUGAGAGCACGAGUUAGUAAGGCUAAAACCAGAGUAUAUUUCUCUACGAAUGUUUAGAGUAAUGAAGCAAAAAAAAUUAUUAAUACCAUGGGCAUCAGUAUGACGAUUGAUCUUGGUAAAUAUUCGGUAUGCCUCUUCUUGACAUACGGGUCACCAAAGGCACAUAUUAGAGCAUCAUUAAUCCAGUUGAGCGGCGUCUGUCGAGGUGGAAUGCGAAUCAUCUUUCUCUAGCAGGGCGGAUCAAUUUAGCUCAAUCGGUCUUACAAUUAAUUUCUAUCUAUGCCAUGCAAACUACCAACUCGCCAGUGUGUAUCAAACAUAACAUUUAUCAAGCAUUUAGGCGUUUUAUUUGGAGCAAAGCUCAUCCUCAACAAAAAAUGAGCCUUGUUAGUUGGGAUAGAGUCUGCCAACUUAAGAAUUGUGGUGGUUUGGGUUUCAACAACCUUGAGCUAAUGAAUAAAGCUUUAUUAAUGAAAUUGGGAUGAAACUUGGUAGCAUCACCUAACAACCUUUGGUCCCAAGUUUUGUGUACUAAAUAUAGUAUCAACCCUGCAAAUCUACCUUACACUUUACCCACUGGAUAUGGAUCUCACUUGUGGAAAUCCAUAGGAAAAGUUUGGCCAGAGACACGGUUGGGGAUUCGCUGGAACUUGGGAAAUGGCCGAUUGGUGCGGUUCUGGUGGGAUUGUUUGGUUACUAAGAGAUAACCUUUGAUUUCUUAUGUCCUUAGCCCAGUCUUUGACAACAUUAUACACAAGGUGACUGCUGACUUUGUGGAUAGUGAUGGUAAUUGGCAGUAGGGUUUGUUUGGGCACUUGCUUCCAAGUAAUAUCCUCUUGCACAUUGCCUCUAUUCAACCUCCUAGGCCUGAGAGAGGUGAUGACCGUAUCUUUUGGGCAGAAUCAACAAAUGGAGAGUUCACAGUCAAGUAUGCCUAUUAUGUUAUUUCCAAUAUCGCCAUUCAUGCCAGAGGAUCAGAUUUGGAACAAAGUUUGGAGGUGGAAGGGACCACAAAGCAUUUGGAUUUUUCUCCGGCUAGUGAUGCACAUUAAGCUAAAAAUGAAAAAUGAGUUGACAAGGAGGCAUAUUCAGCUUGGAGAGUUUUGUGAUCGGCAUGGUUGUCCUUCGGAAGAUACACUGCUUGUUAUUCGAGACGGUAUGGUAGCCAAAUGUUUUUAGAAUCAUGUCAUCCCUACUUUUUUGCAUCCGCUUUUCUAUUCUUUGCUGUUGAGGGAUUGGCUCUUUCAAAACCUUACGAGUGAUAGAAUUGUGGGAUCAAAUUUGAAGUGGACGACUUUCUUUGGAGUGGCUAUCUGGCAUCUCUAGUUCUGGCCCAAUCAAUUUCAAUUUAUGCAUUCCUCUAUUAAUAGCCUGAGUAUGCUUCAUGACAUUCGAACCAGGGCAGAGGAAAUCAAUUGCAUAAAAGAGAGUAGACAAAUGGAUUGCAUGGAUUGCCCUCACUUGGCCGUGGUGCAAGUUGAAUACCGAUAGAGCUUGUAAGCGUACAGGAGCAUCAAGUGCUGGUGGAGUAAUUCGUGAUCACAAUGGGGCUUGAAUUUUUGGCUUCGGAAUGAAUAUAGGGCAUUCCUCUAUUACCAUGGCUGAGUUAUAGAGUUUAUAUCAUGGUCUAAAAUUGGCAUGGGAUCACGGGAUAAGGUGGCUGGUGGUGGGAAUUGAUAGCCUAUGCAUCAUUAAACUAGUUAAGAAGCCUGUGGAUACUAUUAAUGAGUACAUUUCUCUUCUCCAGUCAAUCAAGGAGAUUAUCUAGCAGAAUUGGAACGUGGUCAUUAACCAUGUCUAUCGUGAGGCGAAUUUCACAGCAGACUAUCUCGCUAAUUAUGCUCUAUCUCUUCCUCUAGGUGUUCAUCAUCUUGGUAAUCCCCCACUUGGUGUGACCCCUGUUUUAUACCAUGACUUGUAUGGGGUGGCUUACCCUCGUUUUGUUUUGUUCUAGCUCUUUUUAGAGCCCCAUUUUAUCCAAAAAGAUGUAGACACUUUGUUUUUGGGCUGUUUUUCUUUCUCGUAUGAUUUUCAAGAAUCUAUUUGUUGAUACUACUUUGAUAAUUGAAAACACCAAAUAUCAGAUUUUUAAAUUCUUUAUGGUUCAACCUAGACUCACCAGCUUAUAUUAUAACUAAAUACUUUUAUACUUGGUAAUAACCAACCACUUUUGAGUCGUGUUACUGCCAUCUUGAUGGGUGAGUGUUGGAGAAUAUAAUUGAUUGCCUUGAUGCAUUAUAGAUUAUCCUUUCAAUUCCAAAAUAUUUUGUUCUCCAAAUUUAUAUUCUUUCGUACUUUUAUUCCCUUAAUUUUAGAGAUUGUAUAGCUUAGUAUUUAGAUGUCAACUGGAAUUUUGAAUAUAAUUCUUUAUAUUUUACACAUGUAAAGUAAAAAAUAACUAUGAAAACAUUUUCUAGUUAUUACAUUGUCAAACAUUAGAGCAACAAUAAAUUAAUAGACAGAUUAAAAAUAUUUUUGAAAUGAAUAUUAAACUUAAGAAGAGAAUUAUAAUUUUGUUACUGCCUAUGAGUAAAGAUAUAUUGUAAUAAAAUUAUAAUAAAGUUGUAGGAUUUUUGGAGUUAAGGUGAGUGAUUAGAGCAUUUGUAGUAGAAGUUUGGGUCUAGGAUACAAAAGACUAAAGAUAUUGGAAAUAUACUAAUAAAUUUAGGGAUAUUUUUCAACUUUCAUUAUAAUUUAGUACACGACAUUUACAUUUUUUUCCCCCAAAAAUAUUGCAAGUGCCACUAUCUCUGCCUGUCUCUAUUACAAUCCGCUCCUGCGUGUUCAAAUCAUAAAAGUGAUGGAUGACUAAAAAGUUACUUUUUGAUUAUCUUUAAGCAUAUCCUGUUAAAUUAUGCUUCUUGGAACCUAUCUAUUAACUUAUUUGGUCAAGGAAUGGAAACUCAAAAAUUAUUCAUUCUUUUGUCAUAUUAUUUGAUCUGACCUAUUUAAUCCCCUCUUUCUUGUGAUUUAAAAAAUAUAAAAAAGAACUGCUACAUAUUUUUAAUUUAAAGCAUACAAAUUUUUUUACAAUUUACGGUUCUCCAUAAUUAUAAAACUAAACAAAAGAAAAUCUUAAUAAAAUAAUUAUUGAUGUUUCACAUGACUUAUUUUUUAUUUUUCUAUGCAAUUUCUUGAGCAAUAGUGAGUUUGUCACAUGUUGCACUCAAAAUUGAUUCCACAUAAUCGUCCAUAGUGUAUGUAGCAUACAUUUACAAAAUAUGAAAAAAAAAAUUAAAAAUAAAGAAGUGGAAUAAUGAACUACCAAUACACUACAACAAAAUAGGUAAUAGAUGACGGGAAAUAACUGUCAUAAAAGGAGAGCAUGACAGACAACUAGGGUUGGCAAUUUAAGGAUCUGGGCCGGGCUUUGCCAAGCCCAGGACCAGGCCCAUAAAAUGUUAAAUAAGUCCAGGCCCUCUCAAAGCUCAUCCAAGUUGGGCGGGCUUUGAGCGGGUCGGGCCUUGACGGGCCUGGGCUGAGCCCGGGCUUUUAUGAAUUUUCAAAAUUUUUUUAAAAAAUAAAACUAUAAAUUUUCAAAACAUAAUUAUCCAAUACAUAAUACUACAAUAGGCUAAAAACUUAAAUAUAAUUCUCUAAUACAUGAUUAUCCAACACAAAAUAUAAAAAUACUAACAAUACAAGUACCGUACAUAACAUACAAAUUAACAACUAAUAUAAAAAAAAAACUAAUAGAAAUUUACCGAUUUAGGAAUUUUGACAUUUUGUGACAAAACCUUUGCCCUUUCCCUUUGCCCGAUUUUUUUAUUGUUUUGUUUAUUUUUUUUUUCAAUUUUAUAAUAUAUUAUACAUUUUUUAAUAUAUAUAUAUAAAGCCCUUAUCCAUAAUAUAAUAUAAUAUAUAUAUAUAUAUAUAUAUAUAUAUAUAUAUAUAUAUUAUUUAUUAUAAAACCUGGACUUUUCAUUUAAGCCCUUGACUGAGCCCAUAUGUUAUGGACUUUAUUAAUUAUGAGCCCUUACCCAUACUUUCAAGCCACGGGCCAAGCUUAAAGCCCGCGAGCUUGGGCCGGCCUGGGCUUUUCUGCCAACCCUACGGACAACUCAUUCGUCAUCUAUGUUACUGUCAUUAAUUUAUGACAAUAUAUUUCCCGCCAUGAAUUUAUGAUAGUAACUCACAAUCAUAUAUCCGUCACAUAAUAUUUUAAUAUAAAAAUAAUUAAAUUUAAAUUUAUUUAAAUUUUUGCACCAUUUUUUUAAAUUUUUUGGCGGGAAAUUUAAUAUUCAAUUAUGGCGGAAAUUUUUUUAUGAUAGACUUUAUGAUGGAUAUUUCCCGUCAUAAAGUCAUAUUUUAAAAAAAAAUAUAUUGUAAUUAUAAUUUAUUGAUGAAUUUCAGUUUACAAAUUUAAUUAAUUAAUCAAAUGAAUAUCAUUAAAAAAACUAAAAACAAUUAAUAUUAAUUAACAUUCAUUCGAUCCGAAAAAUUAAUUUUAAAAGGGAUACAUCUAGUAUCUAAUGUGAUCACCACCAAUACAUAAUAAAACAUCCCAAAUAAAAAAAAAUACCAUCCAAAAAUAUAAAACAACUGUUAAAUUCCAAUUAAACUCCAAGAAAAGCAUUUAAAAUUCUAGCCACCAAGCCAAGUUACCCAACAAAACUUGCAAAGAUUAAUGGAAAUAUUCCAACAGCAAGAUUUCCAGCACAAUACAUCUUCCAGCAGCAAUAUUUUAACAGCCACAUAUCCAGCAAUCCACCAUCUUCAAUAGCACUCUAAUUCCAGCCAUAAACCCAGCAACAUUCCAACUCAAACCCAGCAAACCAGUCUAUGCAGAAUCAAUCAAAAUACCCUAUGUUAUCAAAUGCAUGACAUCAACACUUCAAUCUUUAACCAUAAUAAUUUGACACUAUAAUUUUAAAUUUCAGCAAAUUGUAACAACUAAUAUCUAUAGUUUUAUACUCAUACUAACCAUUUUGCUGAUGCAACAAGGAUGUCAGAAAAAAUGGUUAGCCCACUCCAAACAAACCUCAACUAAUCCCAAAGUUGUGCUAAAAUAAUAAUGUUCAAUUUUACCAUGCAGCAACUAAAACAUUUGAGCUUCAUGUAAUUUGAAACAUUAUCAAAAAAAUGAAAGAGAAGUUUAUGUUAAAGAAAAAAAGGUAGAAAUACCUGGAUAGAGCUUAAUGUCAAUAAUUGGUUUUUCUUAUCUAACUCUUUAAGCUUCUGUAGUCGUUUUGCUCUAUGUUUCAAGCAUUUUCAAUGGCUCUAACCAUGUUAAUGCCCAAUUAGAAUUACUUCUGGACCUAAACUUAGGCAACAAGGGUGGGCCAAAAGAUCAAUCCAACAGCUUCAAGACUCUUUUAACACUUUGAAAAUAAAUUAAUAAAUAAAUAAAGGAGCAAAGAUGACUGAAGCAUUUUUAGCCAAUUAAAAUAAAUCUCUGCAGUAGAAGGCUCAUCGUCGGUAAGUCUAUACCACACCAAUUUAAAAAAAAAAAAGCUCAUCAUUUCCCCACCCUUCAAACCCAUUUUGGAACGAAACAAUGUGCAGCACCUUACUAUUGGCUCUGGUUUAUUAAAAAAAAUGUAUCAGAAUAGUAUGUACAGGCAAAUUAAUCACCACAAGCGGAAAGAAGAAAUGAAGGUUAAAGUAGACAAACGGACAACAUUUACACAAAUUGUGCAACUAAACAUGCUCUUAUGGAUUGCUUCUCAUAUACAAGGUUAACAACUCCAAUACUCCUAUCAGCAGUUCUAUAAGCAGAAUUAUACCAUUUUACCUUCAGCGUUUGUCGAGUUAUUCAGAUCGCUAAUGCUGAUAUUUAGCUGAGCAUGGUUAGAUGCCCGGUCUGGAGCAUUCUCUUGAUCAUAUCCAUCCCAAAAGCAGAAUUUGAUGAACUGAGGAAUUACCCAGAGAAUAAUACAUACAAGAUACUCUCAAGGCAUUAGACAUUAAAUCCUACCUAUAUUUAAAACAAAUCACAGAGCAACAGUGUAAUGAAAGAUGAUAUUUCCCGUGGUUUGUGAAUUAUGAAAGAAGCCAUUAUGGCUGCUAGUUUGGGGCUGUUAAAAGCAAUCACAACAUGGGAAGUUAAAGUUAAAACUUAAAAGAUAUCAGAAGUGAUGAUUGCAGUUUGAACAACAACAAGCAAAUCCACACAUACGAAUGUUAUAAAUAUCCUUUUCCAGAAAGUUUACAGGGCUACCCAUGCUUUGUCCUCAAAAUACAAAAUUAUUAAUCAUUCACAAGAUGUUUAGGAUCUUUCAUAUAGAUGUCAUAUACAUAUUGCGAAACACUCUAUAAAAAUCCUACCUCAAUAACUCAAAUUUUCUAAAGAACUCUUCAAUAGUUAAAGCAUCCUAAAAAAACAUUUAGAUACAAAAUGAACUAAGAGAGUAAACAUACCUCAUCGUAAACAGCAACAUGCCUCACGACAUCUUUAAAAUCCUCAGUUCUAUCCCUAAUUAUCGCCAUAAUUUAUCAUCACAGGUAAUACCUUCAGCAAAAAUAGAACCAUCAACACAUCACACACUUGAGAAAUCAAAUGAAAAUUACCUAAACAAGAAUGUUGGACCCUAAAUUGAAAAUUCCUACCAACACUGGUCAGUUUCCCACUUACGGGCCGGGUGAAAUCCGGACUGACCCGAACACCCAAACGACGCCGUUCUCGUCCUCCUCCUACUCACCAAAGACAUGUCAUAAACAGCCCUGGCCAUUGGAUACGACAACGUCUCGUAAGCGUUGUGGAUCUCGAUGAAAUCCCGAUCGUUACCCGACAAAAUCAGGAUGAUAAACCUUCGCCAAACUUCGAUACGCCAUCUUAAUCUCCAAAAUUGUCGCCGUUGGCUCCACCCUCAGUACCUUGUACAAGCUCCCUCCCGUCCCCGAUACCGUCACCGGCAUCUCCACUGAAAACAUACGGGGACUCCUCUUGUUCUUUCCCGAAGCGGCAGUGAAAUCGAAGAGCAACAGGGGAGCAGCGUGUGUUUAAUUAGGUUCGAUUUAGGGUUCACUUUUUCAUUUUAUAAAAUUAUAGUGUAAUUGUUCACAUAUUAAGUAACGAAUUAUAAGUCGACACGUGGCUGAGUAAAAAAUAACUUUAUUAUAAAACCAUCAUUAAUUUAUGAUAAAUAAACAAUUCUAUCACAAACCCAUCAUUAAUCCAUGAUAAAAAAUAAUUCUAUCAUAAAAUCAUCAUUAAUCUGUGAUAGAAAAUAAUUCUAUCACAAAGUCAUCAUUAAUUCACGAUAGAUUGAAAAUUAUGUCGCAAGUUUGUCAUAAUUUUAUGAUAUACCUAGAAUUUAUCAUAAGUUGUCUGUUAUCUAUUAACAAUUUUCUUGUAGUGAUAGUUAUAGGCACCAAUACCAAUAAUAAUAAAAGAAUAUGUUAAAAUUUUAAAGAAGAUCCAUAUUGCCUAGGUAGCAUUAUGUUUAGAGAAGAAACUUUUCUUGAAGUUUAGAUGAUAUAAAGACAAAUCUAAGUUUUAUGGUAAAUACUUACGAAUUUUAGGUUUUGUGAAAAAAUUACAUACAUAGUGAGUUUAUAAAUUAUUUUAAUAAUUUUUAAUUAAAAAAGGUAAAGGUAGACAAAGCCUACAUCCAUUUUUUUCUUUAAAACUUAGUAAUUUAAAAUAUCAAAAUAUUGAAUUAUUAAUAUUACGUGGUAGCAAGUUAUUUGGUGAAAGAUUUUUUAUUUUUAAAUCCAAAUCCGUCUCGUUAUGUAAUGAAUUUCAAUGGGUGCACUACAAGAAAACAGGUAAUAGAUGAUGGAAAAUAACUAUCAUAAAAGGGGGUGCAUGACAGACAAUUCAUUCGUCAUCUAUAUCACUGUCAUUAAUUUAUGACAGAAUAUUUUUCCAUCAUGAAUUUAUGAUGGUAUUUCACGGUCAUAUAUUCAUCGCAUAAUAUUUUAAUAUAAAAAUAAUUUAAUUAAAAUUAAAAUUUAUUUAAAUUUUGCACCUUUUUUUUUAAUUUUUGGCGGGAAGUUCAAUUAUCAUUUUAAAAUUUUGGCUGAAAAUUUUUUGUGACAGACUUUAUAAUGGCUAUUUUCCGUCAGAGUUAUAUAUUUUUUUAAAAAAUAUAUUAUAAUUAUAAUUUAUUAAUCAAUUCCUAUUUACAGAUUUAAUUAAUUGAUAAAAUGAAUAUGGGAACAAAAACUAAAAACAAAUAAUAUUAAUUAAAAUACAUUCAAUCCAACAAAUUCGAAAGAGAUACAUAUAGUAUCCAAUGUAAUCACCAUGAAUACAUAAUAAAACAUCUUAAAUUAAAAAAAAAAUCUCAAAUAUAAAACAACACUGUUAAGUUAUAAUACCAGAAACCAAGCCAAGUUACCCAACAAAACUUCUAAAGAUUAAUGGAAAUAUUCCAAUAGCAAGACUUUAAGCUUGACUUCCAGCAGUAAUGCCCUCUUCUAGUGGGAAUACUCCAACAGCCACACUCUAACACUCCAAUGCAGACACUCAACAACACUCCAACCCAUACCCAGCAACCCACCAUAUUCCAAUAACACUAAUUCCAGCCACAUACCCAGCAACAUUCCAAACCAAACCAGCAAAUAAAUCUAUACAAAAUCAAUCAAAAUACCCAAUGUUAUCAAAUGCAUAACAUCUACACUACAAUCCUUAACAACAACCAUUAUAAAGAGAUUAUAAAUCUCAUAAACAUCAAUAUAUUUUAUUUCGUUAUAAACCAUCUCUGACAGAGCAGUCCAGUUCAAUAGAACAUAACUCGUUCCAAAAAACCAUUCUGGUUCAAUAAACAUUACCCAUUCUUAAAAACCAUUCUAGUUCAGCAGAACAUUAACCAUUCUUAAAAUUUACUGUUUUACAUUUACUUAGUGUCAUUUUGGAUAGGAUAAAAGUCAAAGUCACAAGUUUGGGAUCAAUCAAGGUCAUAUGGUAUAUAGAAAUUUGUCAGUAGUAAUUGCAUUAUCUUUGACAGUUAGAAGCACUGAACCAAACCAAUCAUCAAACAAGGAAAUAAUGAAUCAAGAACAGAGAAAAUGAAUAAAUAGGACAGAAGAUUUUCAGAAGCAUUACUCUGGAGCAUGAUAACCAAAGGUUCCCAAAACUCGAGUAGAAUGAAGGCGAGCUGCCAUAUCAGGGGCCUGAUUUGAAAGGUUAAGAACUCUAAAAUUGCUUUCACUUGCAAUUUCUCUUAAAUUCUCAAAUUUGGGAUGAUUUCCAAGUGAAUAAUGCAUCUCUAUUUAUAGCCAAAAUGGUUGUACUGUUGCACCAACCUCUUUGCAAUUUGUCAUUUCUCCUCUCCGUCACUUUAAAAUUUUUUGCUAAUUUUUCCAUUUUUCUUCGUUCGGUGUAGGAUUGUCAAAUGCCAAAUAUUCUACAGCUUGAAGUUUUGAAUUUAGAAACCACUUUAUUGAUUUCUCAACAAAAAAGUUCAGACUUUUAAUCAGCUACUUGAAAGCUUGUAGACUAUGAUUUUAGUUUAGAUUUUGAUGGUUGUUUAUAGUCGUGAGCUAACUUGUACAAUUAAAUGAGUUACUGCUUUGGAUUACAUGCCUUGAAGUUUUCAGCAUACUGUUUUGGAAAAAUCCUAUCACAUUUGUAUACCUCGAGAGUUCACGCACGUACGUGUGUGCAUAACUCGCGCAUACAUAAACUUAUGCUCAUGCUAUACAUGCACGGAUAGAAGCACACUUGCAUAUAUGUCAUACAUGCACGGACAGAAGCACAUGCACUUGUAUAUAUGUGCACGAAGUUCGAGUGAAUUUCACGCAGAAGCAAACAAACCUUAAACAUCUUGGGCGUGUACCAUGUCCACUUCUAGCUUCGGUUACUUACUCAGUUUGAAAACUAAGUUGUGCUAUUAAAUGAAAAAUCUAAUAGGAUUAUGCCAUUAAAUUUUACAGCGCAUGUAAUCGGGGAAAAGUCUAUUCAAUCCUGCACAGUAAGUUUAAAAAUGGAAAACAAAUAAGGGAUUGGAAAGUAAUUUGAGAAAGGAAUCCAAAGUGGGGCGGUUACAAAAUCUGCUCUUAGUGACCUGUUGAGCACUAAUGCACUAUAUAAAUCGAACUUUAGUCCUCGAAGACACUGGCAAAUCAAAGCUAACCAUACACAAGUGAUUAGAAACAUCUCUCUGGUAGACAUGGGCUCACUUACUGGCAUAGACGAAAGCUUGCAAUAUCCGGUUGCUCGUAGAGACGAGUCCAUUGUCGAUGAUUAUCACGGCUUCAAAAUCCCCGACCCCUAUAGAUGGUAAAUAAAUGUAUAAUUCAAAAUCUGUUUUGACCAGAAUUCAUUUUUUUUUCAAUGUUAUUGGAGCAGGCUUGAGGAUCCAGAUGCGGAAGAGGUAAAAGAUUUUGUACAAAAGCAAGCGGAGUUAACAGACUGGGUGCUGAACAAAUGUGACGUAAGGGACAGGCUUCGGGAGAAGAUAACAAAGCUGUUUGAUAGUCCCCAAUACGACGCGCCGUUUAAGCAGGGGAAUAAGUAUUUUUAUUUUCAUAAUACGGGGCUGCAACCGCAAAGCGUGCUUUAUGUGCAGGAUAGUUUGGAUGCAGAAGCGAAAGUGUUGCUGGAUCCGAACACGCUCAGUGAAGAUGGAACGGUGGCGAUUACUACAGUUUCGGUUAGUGAGGAUGCUAAGUACUUGGCGUAUGCGCUUAGUAACAGUGGAAGUGAUUGGGUGACUAUCAAAUUAAUGCGCAUUGAGGAUCACAUUGUUGAAGCUGACACUUUGUCUUGGGCCUGUUUCUGUUUCUCCCAUUCGUUUUUAGUUAUUUUUUCCUUUGACAAUAUUAUUGCUAAAUGUACGCAUAUGCAUACAAGCUUUUCUUUAUUUAUUAUAUAAUAUAAUUUUUUUAUUUUAUUUAUUUUCACCUGUCAAAUCAACUAUAUUUUUUUUUAACUGCCAAAUCAACUAUUUAUGCUGUGGAGUGUUGUAUCACAGGCUAAGUUUACAAGUAUUACUUGGACCCAUGAUAGUAAAGGAUUUUUCUACAGCCGUUACCCAGCUCCCAAGUAAGGAUCUUCGCCAUUUAGUCAGCUCAGUGGAAUUUGAAUUCUUGACUUUAUAUUUAAACAUUAUGGAUAAUUUAUGAAUUUUGUUUCAUGCAUUUAUUGACUUUUUAUCCUGAGGGUGUGAAAGUUGUUUUAUUCUCCUGUGUUAUUCUUUAGAGAUGGCAAAGAGGUAGAUGCUGGAAUAGAGACCGAUUCCAACCUUUAUCACGAACUUUACUAUCAUUUUCUGGGUACGGAACAAUCAGAAGAUAUUUUAUGCUGGAAAGACCCAGAACAUCCCAAGUAUACUUUUUCUGGCCAUGUUACAGAAGACGGGCAGGUGACUAGCUCUUCAUAGGUUUAAUCUUUUUGCCUUUUUUGGAUCAAAAUGUUGUGUCUGAGUGGUGCCCCUGUUCUUUAUUUAUUUAUUUAUUUUUAAUGGUAUGGUUGUGCUCUUGUUUGUCCACCUGAAAUAGUUGAUGCAAAGCUUCAUUAAUGAUACACAAAUUUUGGCAAGCUGAUUCAUGGUUGACAUCCAAAGGUCACCGCAGGGGAUAUAAUGAAAGAAUAAUAACCUCUCUUCUAUAAUAUUUUUAGAAGAUGAUACUCUUUAAAACGAGGUUUAUUUGUGUCACUACUUGUUUAGUGAAAAUGUAGAUUUUAGAUACCCAUGUUAUUCUGUUAUUAGGUUACUUUAUGAAAUGAGAAGCAUCCAAUACUAAAGUUAAUUAUAUGGGGAAUUUAUUAUGAUGCAUGAUAUGUAUUUUCAUUACAUACAGGUCUGAUUGAAUUGAUUCUGAUUAGGAUUGUUAUUGGAAAAAAUUGUUAAUUUUUGUGGACCUCUUGUAAAUUAACUUCACAUUUUAUUCUGUUCAACAGUACCUUGUCAUGUAUAUAAGAGAGAACUUUGAUCAAGUCAACAAAGUAUACUAUUAUGACCUGUCUGCACUGCCAGAAGGUCUGGAAGGUUUUAGGAAAAGCAAUGGCUUGCUUCCAUUUGUUAAGCUAAUUGAUAGAUUCGAUGCACAGUAUGAAGUAGUUGCAAACGACGACAGUGUAUUUACCUUCCGCACUAGUAAAGAUGCCCCAAAGUAUAAAAUAGUCCGAGUAGAUCUCAGGGAGCCAAAUAAUUGGUCUGAAGUUGUCCCAGAGGCAGAAAGAGACGUGCUCGAGUCAGCAUCUGCUGCUAAUUUUAAUCAAAUGAUUUUGAGUUACUUGAGUGACGUGAAGUAUGUUCUUCAGAUAAGGGAUUUGAAAACCGGUUCCCUGCUACACCAAUUACCAAUUGAGAUCGGCUCAGUUAAUGCGAAAUCGUACGUCGUGAUGACAGAGUGGUUUUUAUUAGUUUUACUAGUUUCCUUACCCCUGGCAUUAUAUAUCAAUGCAAUUUAAAAACUGAGACUCCAGAAAUGAAGAUAUUCCGUGAGACUAGUGUACCUGGAUUUGAUCGCUCCGAGUUCCAUGUUCAUCAGGUAGGUGACUGUUGUUUAUCUAUUAAAGCUAGAUGAUGCCAGCUUUCAGAGUUUAUUGUUCAUUCAGUUUUAGGUUGUCAUAUUAAUUGCUUUAUUUUUCUGGGCUUCAUUCCCUUGAAAUUUCAGUAUAAUCAAAUUCUUUUUUUCUUGGCAAACUGCAUUUUGUUCAGUGUCUGAUUGGAUUUAUCAUUUCCAGGUUUUUGUGCCUAGUAAGGACGGCAGUACCAAGAUACCAAUGUUCAUUGUAGCCAAAAAGAAUAUCAAAUUGGAUGGAUCGCACCCUUGUUUAUUGUAUGGAUAUGGUGGAUUUAACGCAAGUAUAACACCUUCAUUUAGUGUCAGCCGCACUGUUCUCAUGAGGCAUCUUGGUGCUGUCUUCUGCAUUGCCAACAUCCGAGGCGGUGGAGAGUAUGGAGAGGAGUGGCAUAAAGACGGUGCACUUGCAAAGAAGCAGAAUUGCUUUGAUGAUUUCAUUUCUGCUUCCGAGUAUCUAAUAUCUGCUGGUUAUACCCAGUCUAGAAAGUUGUGUAUUGAAGGAGAAAGCAAUGGCGGGCUUCUUAUUGGGGCUUGCAUAAAUCAGGUGGAUUGCUUAGUUGAUUUUGUAUUUUUCAGUUUUCUGUGGUUAUUAUCGUAUUGAAUUCAUAAAAUAGCAUCGGUAAUUUUUUUCCCUCUUAUUACAGAGACCUGAUCUUUUUGGUUGUGCGCUGGCUCAUGUUGGUGUAAUGGAUAUGCUUCGGCUCCACAAGUUUACCAUAGGUUAGUUUAAAUCUUUUUAGCUAAGCAAUGAAAAAAUUUAACUAUUGUAUAUGUACUCAUCAAGAUUUGCUUUGUAGGUCAUGCAGGGUUUUCUGAAUAUGGUUGUCCAGAGAAGAAGGAAGAGUUUGAUUGGCUAAUCAAGUGAGUAAAACCGCGUUCCCUGUCCAAAAAUAUUGUGCACUGGUGAUAGGCUUUUAUGUAUUUAAGUCCAAAGUUCUAAAUCCCUGACAUGUUAAACGUUUUCUACACCAAAUCUAGCAAUUGAUGAAAAACCCUUUUUCCCUUGCAAAACGUAAUACCGCGUAGAGAUGGUUAACUUUGGUCAAUUUCACAGAAUGCGCAACUACUUCCCCUUCUUCCUUUCUUAUGAGCUCAAGAACUUGUGUUGCUUUGAUUCAGAAUAUUAUUUUUAUCAGCCUGACAUAGCACCUUAUGUCAUUUGAUCACUUAUCAGUGACAAUAAAAAAUGGGCUCUCUUGUCACUUGGUAACUGAUUAGUGUCUUGACUUUCUUUCAACUUCUUUUUAUAAGCUAUUAGUUUAUAUGCUCAUUUUAUCACAUUUAUAUUCUGUAGGUACUCCCCAUUACAUAAUGUCAGAAGACCAUGGGAACAGGACCCUGAUAAACCAUCUCAAUACCCAUCUACCCUACUAUUGACAGCUGAUCACGAUGAUCGUGUUGUGCCUUUGCACUCGUUGAAGUUAUUGGCGGUGAGUCCUUAAUUAAGAAAUUAUGUAUUGUUUUGUUGUCUUAUGUUUUUUGCAUUUAUUUCUUCUUCUGCAAAGCCUAUGCCUACGCAUGGUUAGCUUGUGAUGAUCAAUGGGCGACUAUUUCAUGCUUCCUUCGUUCUAUUUAUUCUCAGACUAUGCAAUAUGUUUUAUGCACGAGCUUGGAAAAUAGCCCUCAGACCAAUCCAAUACUUGGUCGCAUCGAGUGCAAGGCUGGACACGGAGCUGGACGUCCAACACAGAAAAUGGUAAUUUAAUCUUAUUUUUACUUGGUUUUUGUGUAGUUGAUUCCUUAUUUACUAUUUACCUUUUACUUCCAUAUAUUAUUGCAGAUUGAUGAAGCUGCUGAUUGCUAUGGCUUCAUGGCAAAAAUGUUAGGAGCUUCUUGGAUUGAGUAAUUGAUGUAGAUCUGAAAGAAUGAAAUGUUAGGAAAAGUUCUGGAACCGGAGAGAGUUCCAUUUCUUUGGUUUUUUUUUUUCAACAGAUGUGAUGGAACUUUUUUUUUAAUUUAAAUAAGAGAUUAGUUGUGUCUCUAACUCUUAGUAAAAUUAAACAACUUAUGAUAGAAUAUUAAAUUUUUGUUUUAAAUUUUAUCUCAAAUGCGUGGUAUGUGAUGCGUUUGUCCAUUAAGUUAUUUAUAAAGUAAAUUAGUUGUAUUAUUUUAUCAUCCAAUUAAUAAAUGCCACAUAAUCUGAAAUAAAUUUUUAGGAUAAACAUUUGGGAUGUAUAUAAGGUCAUUAAUCUAAUAUUUAGGACAACAUAUAAAUUGAACUAAUGGAAAAAGAAAAUUACUGAUGUCUCCACAAGUACAAUAAAAAAACAAAAUAUCAAAAAUAAAUAAAUAAACUAAAGAUAGAAGCGCAACAUUAAUAUCAUUAAUGUGAACUCAAAUGAUUACCAAGCAGAAACAUGAUAACAUAAACUAAUUUUUGAAUGGCAAAAAGAGCAGUAGUAUCGAUAUUAUCCAAUCAUUUUCCGGGCUUAUUUCCGUAAAACAUCUCAAAAACAUUAGCGCGCACACUUCUGAAAAUCAAUUAACAAAAAUUAACACGCCUUCAGAUAUUCGACCAAGCUAAGAAAAAAGACACUCCAAGCUGCGAGUAGCAAAUACAAUGCACCAUCACAGAUAAUGAACCAACCAAAUGCACUAAUAUAUCAAGCAAAUAAAACAUUCCAUCCAUGACACGAGAGGAUCAAUAAAUUGAUCGUAGUAUAAUGCACAAAGACUAAGCAGGAAAGUUUACCCCAGGACGUAAUUAAGAAUUUUGCUCAGUUGGUACACAUUUAAAAUAUAUUAUAAAUGAUAUUCACAUGACAAUAAAUAGCAUCGCGACUAUAAUAUUUAUUGAUAUUAUUCGUACUCCUCAGCGAGUUUCAUAGUUUUAAAUGAUGUAUGAAUGUGUUAUUAUCAAUGCAUGCUUUAUAUAAGAUACACUUGGUGUUGGCAACAUGAGUAAUGGACCGGUGUUCGGUGAGAUUUGGCGACAUAUCUAUAGUUUGUUUUGUUGUUGGUUUUUUUAUGAUGAUGAAAUGAUAAUAUCUAAGUUUAGGAAGUCCUUAUGUUAGAUGUUUAUUUUAACCUUUAUCAAUAAAAUUGAAAAGAAAAACAUCACUUUUUCAAUUUUUUGGUUAGUGAGUUAUUACUUAUUAGGGCUGGAUAAUAUAUUUUGUAAAAUCAAAAUUGUAAUUAAAUUCUAAAGAAUUGGGCUUUAGACAUGUGACAAGUUGAAACUUUUCAAAAUCAGCUAGGAAAUUAAUUUUCAUAGUUUCAAUACCAGAUAGAGCACUUUUACAAACUUUAAAGAAGAUAAGAAUUUUUCUUUCGAAUCAUACUUGGAAAUAUUCCAAAAACUAGCUGGCCUGUGCCCCACCUAGUCCAUUACUGAAAUUGCAUCCGCCCAUGGGUCAGUCUUGAUUCUUUUGGCUUAACAAAGAAGCAAUGAAGCAGUUUGCUGUUCAAUGAGACUACUUUUCACAUUUGAAGAAGAGUCUAUUGUUGUCGUAUCGAGGCCUUUAUAGCAUAAUUCAUACCUUUACAAAUGAGGAGAUUAAUGCGCAUUGAGGAUCACAUUGCCGAAGCUGACACUUUGUCUUGGGUCUGUUUCUGUUUCUCCCAUUCGUUUUUAGUUAUUUUUUCCUUUGACAAUAUUAUUGCUAAAUGUACGCAUAUACGUACAAGCUUUUCUUUAUUUAUUAUAUAAUAUAAUUUUUUUUUCACCUGUCAAAUCAACUAUAUAUAUAUAUAAUUUUUUUUAACUGCCAAAUCAACUAUUUUUGCUGUGGAGUGUUGUAUCACAGGCUAAGUUUACUAGUAUUACUUGGACCCAUGAUAGUAAAGGAUUUUUCUACAGCCGUUACCCAGCUCCCAAGUAAGGAUCUUCACCAUUUAGUCAGCUCAGUGGAAUUUGAAUUCUUGACUUUAUAUUUAAACAUUAUGGAUAAUUUAUGAAUUUUGUUUCAUGCAUUUAUUAACUUUUUAUCCUAAGGGUGUGAAAGUUGUUUUAUUCUCCUGUGUAAUUCUUUAGAGAUGGCAAAGCUGUAGACGCUGGAAUAGAGACUGAUUCCAGCCUUUAUCACGAAUUUUACUAUCAUUUUCUGGGUACGGAACAAUCAGAAGAUAUUUUAUGCUGGAAAGACCCAGAACAUCCCAAGUAUACUUUUUCUGGCCAUGUUACAGAAGACAGGCAGGUGACUAGCUCUUCAUAGGUUUAAUCUUUUUGCCUUUUUUGGAUCAAAAUGUUGUGUCUGAGUGGUGCCCCUGUCUUUAUUUAUUUAUUUAUUUAUUUUUAAUGGUAUGGUUGUGCUCUUGUUUGUCCACCUGAAAUAGUUGAUGCAAAGCUUCAUUAAUGAUACACAACUUUUGGCAAGCUGAUUCAUGGUUGAUAUCCAAAGGUCACCGCAGGGGAUAUAAUGAAGAAUAAUAACCUCCCUUCUAUAAUAUUUUUAGAAGAUGAUACUCUUUAAAACGAGGUUUAUUUGUAUCACUACUUGUUCAGUGAAAAUGUAGAUUUUAGAUACCCAUGUUAUUCUGUUAUUAGGUUACUUUAUGAAAUGAGAAGCAUCCAAUACUAAAGUUAAUUAUAUGGGGAAUUUAUUGUGAUGCGUGAUAUGUAUUUUCAUUGCAUACAGGUCUGAUUGAAUUGAUUCUGAUUAGGAUUGUUAUUGGAAAUAAUUGUAAAUUUUUGUGGACCUCUUGUAAAUUAACAGCACAUUUUAUUCUGUUCAAUGCUCUUAAUCCUGAUUGAGAAUAGCUAAUUAAAUUGUAUAUAUUUCUUUCCAGCUCAUAAUCCUUAUAUUCUCACUUUCUCUAAUAUAUUUUCGAUACUUUAACCAAUGUAGUUUAUCAUAUAGUGUUAUGACAUUGUUCUCAGCUGAAGAUUAUAAGGAAAGAUGGAGUUUUGGCUCUAAGAUGAGAUUUGUAAAGGUAAACAAAUUACCUUAACUGAAAUAUUGUGUACCUAUCACUUUAAACCUAAAAUAGAAUACAUUUAUAAUUGUUUUUGGUUUAUAAUUGUCAAUAGACCCCUCAACAGCUGGGAUGCAUGAAAUGUGGCUAUUACAACUUGAGGUUUAUGAAAGACAUUAUAGCAUACCUUAGUUUGCUGAUGAAUAAUGUGAGUCGGUGAUGAAUAAUAUCAUAUGAUUGGUUUAUACCAUAUGUACUACAUUGUUAUGGGAAUUUGACAAUGUUGAUUUUAUGGUUUUCAGUUCCAUAGAAAGGUUGUAUAAACUCAGGCUGAGAUAGAUGAAGUUCGUUUAGAGUGGGCGAACCAUUGUUAUGAAAUCAUUAACGUACCAAAAAAUGGUUAGUAUGAAUCCAAAACUAUACACAAACUUUUUUAUUACUUCUUAUAUAUUAUAAUUGGUUAGAGACAAUUUGAUUGUACACUCGAAUGAGUUAACCUCCUUAAUUGAGAUUAGUUAACUAUUGGAUCAUGAAUCACGUGUGUCAUUCCCUAAAACUAUGGAGCAAAUGCAUUCUCUCUUUGACAAUUCAAAGUAUUUUAGACAAAGUGGCAAUAAUAGUGACCUAGCUAGCCACCCAAGUUUCUUGAACUAGGGCUAAUCUUCUAUUUGAACAACAAACAACUGCAGGCAACGUUCUUAUCCUGAUAACAACAUUGUUAUUAAGAGAUGAGAUUGGUAAUAAUAGAGAAACUUGGUAGAUGCAUAUCAAUCUAUCCAUGGUAGUUGUUGAUGAAUUUGAAUAAUGAGGUAAAGUUUAAGGCAAAAAUUAAAAUAACAAUAAAGUUAAUAACAAAAAACAGUAAAAUAAAAGCAAGUUGAAUGAAAUAGCACAUGCCACUUAGUUAAUGGAAUCGGUUCUUGUAAUUGUAAGAGAAGAAAUGGAAUUAAAUUAUUCUUUUGAUUGAUUCAUCUAUCAUGUGAACAUGUGGUCUAUGUGUGUUUGGUAGUAAACUUGUAUGCUUUCCAUUCAAACCAAAGCUUGCUCUUUAUUUUCAUACUUGUAGAAAAGUAAUUUUAUUUUUAUGGGUACCAUUUUUGUUUCAGCAAGGAAUUAAGAUAAGUUGCAAAUGAAACCUGGAGUUUUAUUUUAGUAGAUAAAUGUUUAUAAUGAUAUGUUGGCUAUACUCAUUGGUGCUGCACAUGCAAACUGAGUUUAAAUUUGUAAUGAUUCCGUUGUAUCUAAAACCUAAGAGUUUUACUAUAUUAGUUUAAAUUUAUAAGAGUUUUAUUUGCUGAAUUGAUAUUGUUUGAUAUAACUAUUGGAGACAACUGUUUUUGGACUUAAUAGAAUGUAUAAUUUAAAUUUUGCUUCAUAUGGAUUUAUGAUUGAAUUUCAUAUAUAAGAAUGCAUAAAUUUAAAUGAAAUAAUUCAUAAUUUCUUUCCAUAUAAAUUUAGAACCUGUGAUAAAAUAUUAAUCAUAGAGUAAGGUGGCGUUUGUUUUUUUGUCUGAAAUCUGAAUAGACCUGAAUUAGUCUGAAUUCUGAAUAGGUCUGAAUGUCUGAAUGUGAAUAAUAUGUUUAUUUUUUCGUCUGAAUCUCGAAAAAUAAGUAUUAAGUUGUUUAUUUUUUUCAACUUAAAAAGCUGAAAAUAUGUACUUUUACAUUUGUAUCCUUAUUAAAUUUGAAUGUCAAAUAAAUAAUAUAUUAAAUACCACAAUAUUUUAACAUUUAUAAGUAAAACUAUAUUCAAGUGAAUACAUAAUUAUUUUAGAAUUUUAAUAUAUAAAAUACCAUAAAUUUCAAAUUUUAUCAUAUAUAAUAUAAGAAAGAAAAUACAGGGAUAUUUUUAUGUGGGGUAAAUAUCUAUAGGUGAGUUUUGGGAUAGACAUGAAAAAAAAUUAUAAAACAGGGAUAUUUUUGACAUUAGCAAGCAAUUGACUUAAUUCAGAUUUCUCUAUUAAGUAAAAAGCUAAAAAAAUUAGCUUAUUUUAUUAAGUCAAAAUUAUCUAAAAAGUCUCAUUAAAUUAUAAAAACAAACACCUCUAAUUAACUUAAUUAAUUAAGUUAAGUCACUUUAAGUCAUUAAGUUAAAAAACAAACGCCACCUAAGUCACAAAAAAUUAAUUUGUGACACAAAAAUAUUAAUCAUAAAAUAAGUUACAAAAAAUUAAUUUUUGACACAAAAUAUCAAUCACAAAUUCCAUCACAAACUAGGUAUUUUACCCGCUAAAAUUAUCCAGCAAUAAUUCACGCACGAAAAUCAAUUUUCCUGCCAAAAUUUUAAAAUUUUAAAAAAUCAAAUUUCCCGCCAAAAAAUAAAAAUAAUGUAUUCAUUUUUACCAUGACCGACAUAUGACAUCUAAAUGCUAUCAUAAGUUAAUGAUACACUUUUUUUUUUCUAUCAUAAAAGAGUGACAGGUGAUGAUGGAUAAUUUCAUUGUCAUCUACCUCUCUUUAUGAUAUAUUUUUUUUUUCUGUCAUCUAUUACCAGUUUUCUUGUAGUGAGUAUAAGCUAGAUAAUUAUAUAGAGAUGUUUGGUCUUGAUAAAGAUGAAGAUGGUGAACGAAAAUAUGGGGUGUGAUAAUAUGGUGGAGAAGAUGACGAAGGUGGAGAAUAGAAAUAGCCUCCCAAAAAUGGAGAAAUUGAUGAUAAUCUAAAAGACGGAAAGAAAAAGAGUGUGUGAGAGAGAGAAGAGGAAAGGCCGCAAGGAAAUGAGAGGGAAAAAAAAAAGAGUAUGCCCUAAUAUAGGUGAAUAAGAUAUUUACAGUAGAGGCUAGUGGUAAAAGAAAUGUAUAAAAGUUAUGGCUACAUGUCAUCCUAUUGUUAAACAAAGAGGAUUUUUUUAGAGCUUUGUAUUAUAUUUAGAGAAAAAUGAUGAUAAUAUUCCUUUUAUACUAGGUUUGUUCUCUUUCAUAAAUAUCAUGAAGCAUAUAAUCUUGACCAUUAAUUUCUAAACCAAUCCAAUAGAGUAAAUUCUUCCAAAUGGCAUUUUUAUACUAUGCCAAGUAUUAUGUCUAUUUUGUCCUUGUAAUUAUCCACAUAUGAUUCAUUUAUUUAUCCUAAAAAAUAUUUUUACAUUUACCCUCAAAUAGUAAACUUUAAACAACAGACAAAGCAAAAAUUUAGUAGUCAACUUAAAAUCAACCACUCUGAGCAAAUUGUUGCACGUCAUUGAUGAAUUAAGUUGCCUUAACAUACUAUGUGAUUACUGAAAAUGAAAGAUAAGCCAAUGUUGCCUUCGAUUUGAGACAGAGUAAUAAAUAAAAAUAUUAGAAGACAGAGGAUUAACAAUAUGCUAAAAUGCAAAUAAAAAAAAUAGCUUGUAUGUCGUGUUAGAAAUUUACAAACCUAAUACAAAGUUUAGUUAGAGCUCAUCUACUCCUCUUAAACGUUGUUGAAAUGAUUUUGAGGAUUAACAAUAUGUUACUGUAACACUUUUAUUUCAUUUAUUAUUAUUAUUAUUAUUAUUAUUAUUAUUAUUAUUAUUAUUAUUAUUAUUAUUUUAUACAUAUUUUAUAGAAUAUAAUAUUUUCGGAUAAAGAUGAGUGUUCUAAAUUUUAAAAUCACUUAAAUUUUUUUACCAAUUUAUUAAAUACCUUAUUAAAAAAGCAAAUAAAUUCCUUGAUGAGUAAGGGUAUUGUUGUAUAUUUUAAGCUCAAUUGCUAUAGGUGUCAAUGUGCAAGUGUACACAACAAGUAAUAAAGUGAUGAAUAUUCAAAAUCGUCUCCACAUUGACUAAUGCUACUGGACAUGCUACAGCAAUCACAACAGUGCAAACCUUCUUCUAUCUUAACUUGAUAAAAUUAAUAAGGUUGACUAACUAAUGAGAAUAACAAUUCAAUAAAGUAAAAAUGCAAUUAUAAAUUAAAUUGUACGUUCAACACAAAGAGAAUUCAAUAGGAGUGGAGUAGUUGAAUGAUCAAACUCUCCCGAUGGGGUGACUGUCUUGUCAAAUUAACACCAGUUGCUACAACAUUUGCUACAGUACUGGACUUCUCAACUGUCGCAUGUUGGACUUCUCAUACCCUUAUGCAACCUGACUAGUUGUUAUGUCAACACAAGAUACGACAUUACAAGCAUGUGCUCUCUCUACCCUACAAGGUGAAUCCCUAUAUCUAAUUCAUCACAAAUCUUAAAUCAAGUGUGGCUCUUUUGGGAUUUAAGUUAAACUCAAUCCAGGAAACUUAACUUAAGAUCAAGUAUUGCUCUAAUAAGUUCCACAAAGAUAAGCCCUUUUGUGGCUCUCUCUUAGCUGGCAUCAUUAAAUGGGAGGUCAACCGAAAUAAUAAAUGUAAUAAGAUUUAUUAAAGUAAAGUGCUACAACAGGCAUGCAACAACUCAUAAGAAGAGUCAAGAACCCAUCUAGAUUAUUUGUCACUCAACUACAAUCAAAUUUAGUUCAUAACCUGUAAAAGAAAAACAAAUGAUAAAGUUCUAGCCAUCAAGUACAUAUUUCCAACCAAAGAAUAAAGAAGAAGAACAAGAGUUGAAUGAGAAAAGUUGAAUUCCAAAUAUUCUGCAGAUUUUGUUAUUGGUGCAUACUUGCGUCAUUCUCUUCAAUCUUCUCCUUUAUAUCUUUCUUGUUUUUCUUUCAAUCGUGAUUGACGGCCUUCCUUUCCUAUGUUGUGUGUUCCUUUUAUAGUUGAAAACUAGGGUAAAUAGAAGCCUAGGUUGCGUAUCUUCUAAAUUAGGAAGCUACAGAUCGCAAGAUUCUGCAAAAUUUUCUCUGUCAUUGUUUCAGGGUUGCUACACUAACGCUUGUUAUAGCAACAACUACAGCGACUGCACUGUUCCAGAUUCGUUUCAAUUCUUUUGUAGUCAAGCUCUUUUCCAUCUUUUGCAUCUUUUGCAGGCCUAUUGCAUUAGCAUUCCUUCCUUAAAAUUUGAGCUUCCAGUCACCUACAAUUAUGCAUAUUAUUUAAAUACACAAUUUAUUCUAAAGCAAACAAAAUUUAUGAAGAAUAAACUAAGAUAAUUGUUUAAGCAAAAUACAACAAAAGUGCAAUAAAAACACAUUAUUUUAUUCUCUAAGUAUUAUUAAUUUAAGUGUAGAAGCGCCAUGAUAACUCUCAUUUCAUAGAGUUAUCACACCCCCAAACUUAAACCAUUACUUCUCCUCAAGUAAUGACAACAACACCAACACUUCAUUCACACAAUCAUACAACAAAGAACUUAGCUCUGUCAUCAAAUUUACAAGGAUUCUUCAACCCUCAUAUCACACUCUCAAUCAUGCAAAAUAGCCAUAGCAGUUCAGUUCUGGACUUAAGCUUCAUUAUGUCUAAAGUGUGUGUGUGCCAUUUUGAUCAAGUUCCAGAGAUACUAUAGUAUUACACAGACAUUGCAUAUAAUUCAAAUGUAGAACACAAAUAUAUUCACAUAUAGGGGAGCAGAAUUCACAAAUAACCUCAAACUAUGUUACAACAAAAAUAAUAUUUUUUAAUAAACUCUCCUCAAUGUAUCAUUGAUUUUCAUGUGCAUAUCAAUCACUUGUAAUGAUGACACCAAUUACUCAACCAAUGCACAGAUCAGAGUUGCUGCAGUAAUCCUAAUAAUAUAGUCUUAUCUAAAGUUAUCUAAAGUAAUUUUACCCUUUAUAAAUAUGCAUUCUCCACUAUUUAAUAAUGAUACUAUUGUUUUAUACUAAAGUUUAUUUAUUAACAACCAAAUUCGAAGCUAUUUUUAAUAGUUCUUUUGCCAUUAGAAAAGUUAUACACUUAUUUUUGUUUAUUAUUGAUGACUUGAUUGAACAAAAAUCUUUUCUGCCUAAAAAAGGUUAGUACAUAGUUGUACAAGUAAGUAAAAAAAUUACUUUUCUUGUAGUUUGCACAUUGUGUUAGAUUUAUUUCUCACAUAUUGUAGAUUGGCAUAGAUCAUUCUAAUUAUUUUUCAUGUUUUACCAGAUUAAUAUGUGACUGAUGUCAAAUAUUAAAGAGUACGUACUUUUGACAGACUCAUUUAUUAAGUGAUCAAAUAUUAUGUUAAUGAGUCUAAUUUUGUCAUACCCUAUAUAGUAGUCCAUUAUGGGCAAGUAUAACCUUCAAUUGUGUUAUUUUAGCUCAUAAUGGAAUGGGCAAUUUUGUACUAACACAUGAGGGGUCCCUGCACUCAGCUAUAAUAUUUAAGUGCCUUCAGCUCAUUUGGAUUUCACUAUUCAUAGAAUCUGGGGUAUGAGUACAGUGCACCUCUCUCUCUCUCCCUCCCUCUUGGCCGAUUGUGUUUGUGUGCAUAGUGAGCGUGAUUUUGCAGCUGAAAUUUAAAGUAGAAUCACUGCAAAUUAGAAGAAAAAAAUGUUGGAUUCACGAGUAAGAGGCAAGUUGGAUAAUAAAAUUUGAAUUCAUGGCCAAUCAAGGUAAAUCUCAAACUUUUAUCUAAUGAAUGUUUUUACUUGGAAAUGUAAGAUAAAGGGCAUAAAGCUCAAAUUUAUCUCAGCACAUAGUUGUACAAGUGUCUACACACACACACACACAUAUAUCAUUACUCUGGAGACUAGGGUACUAAUUCACCCCAUUUCAUGUACUUGUUGGAUGAUAUUGUGGAGUGAAGUGCAUAUAUAUAAAUAUAUAGCAUCACUCUGGAGACUAGGGUACUGAUCCACCAUUUCAUGUACUUGCUGGGUGAUAUUGUGGAGCUGAUUCACUUUCAUUUUUCCAUAUAUAUAAUGGUAUGUCCACAUAUAAAAUGAUAACAAUAAUAAUAAAAAGAGCAAUGCAUGCUAAAUGUUUUAUAAAUAUGAUGAUAAUAAAUAAAUAAUAUUAUAUGACAUAAGUAUAUUUAUUUUGAAAAACAUGUAAUUAAUUUUUAUACAAAAUUCAACUAAACAUACACACAUACAAUAUUUAAUUAUAUCAUCUCUUACCAUAUCAUUUAUCAUAUGAUCCUAAACACUACUAAAGAAACGCAAAUUAAUGACAAAAUUUUUAUAACAGAUAACAUUGUGUUACAAAUAUAUCAUGUAUGUGUAUGACAUGUUCGUGACAUAUAAUUAUAUGUCAAGAUUACAUGACUUAUUCGUGACUUAUAACUUACUGACAUAAGUAAAUGAUAGAUAUAUGUAAUGUUGAUUUUUUUUAAUAAAUUAAAAUGACAAGUCGUUUUAUGAUACCAUCUAACGUUGUUUGCGAAGCAUGACAGGCAUUGUCAUAGAUUGAAAUGACAUUGUUUCAAACCAUGACAGGCAUGGUAUGCAAUGACGUCAUUUUUUAAUUAUUAAUUCAAUUAUUUUAAGUUUUCUAUAAUAACUUUAAUUACAAAAAUACCAUUGUAAUAUAACAUUGAUUUUUACAUGAUUUGAGUAUUCGACGGUGUUUGUGCACUAUGAUAGACAUUUGUCAUGAACUUUUAAAUAUAAUUGAAACUUUAAAAUUAAAUUGUUUUAAGUUAACCCUCUUUUAUGACUAAUUGCACCUCCACCUUAAUUUAAAACAAAACCCAAAUGCCAAACGUCUUUCUUUUUAACUCACACAGCCCCCCUUUAAUUUCUCCAAAGGAGCCAAACUAGAACCAGCAGCCGCUAAUUCCAAACGACCUAAACUAACCCCCUUCUACUCGGUGCAUGCUCACAUCUCUACUGCAUCUGCUACUAAUAUCUCCACAACUCCUCCACUAGCUCCGGUAUGUCGUCUCCUCUAUCCCAACUCUUAUGUGUUCUUAGGAAGUGAUAUUUUAGAAUGAACAUUUAUUAUAAUGAUUUGAUUGUUUUUGUUUCUUAUUAAGUUAGAAUUAAAUUAUUGUGAAUGGAAUUUGAAAAUUAGAAAGAAAAUUUUUAUUGAUCAUUUCUAGAUUUUUUUUAAUUAUUGAAUUAUGUUAGGGAUUUAGAUCUUAAAAUUUAAUUUUACACCACAUAAGGGUUUAAGCUUUAUGGCAGUUAUAAAUUUGUAAAUAAUUUUCUAGACUGUACUCUAUUACUUUAUUAGUUCAUAAAGUGUUUAAAGUGAAAUAUAUAUGUUUGAGGCUUUUUAUAGUUCAUGUUUUACGUUGAAAGUUAUCGGUUAGGUACAAUAAGACUACAUUAAGAUAAUUGAGAGUUUUGUUGGUGUUGCACUUUCUCAAACUGUAUACGUCAAUUUAAGGCCAUAUUGAAGUUUAUUAAAGCAAAUAAUUGUCAAAAUAAUGGCUGACAAAGCCUGUGGCUUUAACAAGCCAAAUUCAAAUUGGCUUUGACAACCACCAAUCUAGAAGAAUGAAGAAACUUUGAAGCAGCAAAUAUUGAAGGGGAAAAGUGCCGCCCAAAGAAAACAAGGAAAAAGAAAAAGGAAGAGUUGAAGCUGCCAAAUUUGAACAAAGACAAAAAGAAAGAAGAAGAAAAAAUGGAAUUUGGCAGCAGCGUUCUUUGAAGAAGGAAAAAGAAGAAUGAAGAAGAUAAUGGCGGUGAGAAAAAAUAAUAUUUUAAUAGCCAAUUUUGGCUAUAAAAAGGGAGAGCUCCUCAUUUCAUUUUGGCAUAAAAAAUUUGUGAGAGAGAAAGCAUAGAGCUUGAGUAAUUUUAAAGGCUUAAAAUUACCUUUAAAAUUACUCAAGCUCCUAUGAGUCUAGUGAGUGAGAGAUUGAGUGUAUUGAGAUUCUAGGUAGUGAGCCAAAAUAUUAUAAUACUUGUAAUCCUCAUAUCACUAGUAAAAUAUUUUCCUUAUAUUUUCGCCCGUGGAUGUAGAUUAAAAGUCGAACCACAUAAUUUCCUAGUGUCCUCUUUCUGCUUGUUCUUUAUUUUUUUCUUCCAAGUUCAUUUUAUCUGUGAUUCUAUUUCACCCACCAAUUUCCUAACAGUGGUAUCAGAGCUACUGGUUGUAUUUUUUUUUGGAGUCGGUGGUACUGUUCACGUAAAAGUAUUGUUUACGUAUACGGUACUAUUCACGUAUACGGUACUGUUCACGUAUACGGUUCAUGUUCACGUGAAAUGGUAGGAGCUGAUCUUAGCAAAGUUAGUUCGUGGUGAAAAGCGAUAGCGGAAAUAUACGAAAUUGAGAAGUUCAACUGAAAUAAUUUUUCAUUGUGGAAAAUGAAGAUAAAAACUGUAUUGAAGAAAAAUAAUUGCUUGACAGCAAUUGGAGAAAAGCCUAUGGAGAUAAUUGAUGACAAGUGGAACGAGAUAGAUGGCAACGCUAUUUCUAUCUACACUUGGCACUUGCGGAUGAAGUAUUAUGCAGUGUGGCAAAGAAAAAGACAGCAAAGAAAAUAUGGGAUACUCUCACAAAAUUGUCGAGGCCAAGUCGCUGCACAAUAAGAUCUUUUUAAAGAGGAGACUCUAGACUUUUUGAAUGGCGGAAUUUACAUCAGUGACCGACCACAUCAACACCUUAAAGACUCUAUUUUCACAACUCAUAACAUUGGGUCAUAAUAUAGAGGAAAAUGAACAUAAGGAGCUUCUACUUCAAAGUCUACCAGAUUCGUAUGAUCAACGCAUCAUCAAUUUGACAAACAAUACCCCAGCGGACAGUCUAGUCUUCAAUGAUGUUGCAGCCUCCGUAUUAAAUAAGGAGAGCAGGAGGAAAAAUAAGGAAGACAGACAAACAAGUUCGCAGUAAGCAUAAGCAUUAUCGGUGACGAGAGGGAGAUCAACGGAACGUGGCCCCAGUGGGAAUCACAAUCAUGGUAUAUCAAAAUCCAAAAGUAAAAAGAAUAUUAAAUGCUACAACUGUGGCAAGAAAGAGCACGUCAAUAAAGAUUGUUGGAACAACCAAAAGAGAAGAGAGGGCAAAUAACCUGAGUCAUCAAAUGCUCAGGGGUGUGUAGCAAGUACUUAGGAUGAUGGCGAAAUUCUCUACAACGAGGCAACAACUGUUUUAGAUGGUAGAAAACGGCUAUCUGACGUCUGGCUCAUAGAUUCAGGAGCUACCUGACACAUGACCUCUCAGAGAGAAUGGUUUCACACAUAUGAACCUAUCUAAGAAGGAUCUGUAUAUAAGGGUGACGAUCAUGCCUUAGAGAUCGUUGGUAUUGAUACUAUCAAAAUAAAAAUGUUUGAUAGUACAAUUCACAUAAUUGGGGAGGUACGACAUGUCAACGCGCUGAAGAAAAAUCUAUUGUCUUUAGGACAAAUAGAUAGUCAUGGGUGCAAAACUCAUGUGAAAAAUAAAAUUAUGAAGAUUGUUAAAGGCGUGCUUGUACUGAUGAAGGCAGAAAAGAUCGGUAUUAAUCUAUUCAUGCUUAAAGGAGAAACAUUACAUGAAGCUGAUGCUUGUGUUGUAUCAAACAGAGAAGAGUCAAUGAUGAUGUGGCAUAUCAAACUUGGUCACAUGUCGGAAUAAGGUUUGAAGAUUCUCUCUGAGUGAAAAUUACUUCCAAGUCUCAAAUCGGUAAGCUUACCAUUUUGUGAGCAUUGUGUUAUAAGUAAGCAGUAUAAAUUAAAGUUUAAUAGAUCUAUUGCUAGAAGUAAAUGCAUUCUAGACUUAGUUUACUCUGAUGUUUCGGAAUCACCGGACAUAUCCAUAAGAGGUGCAAAGUAUAUAGUGACUUUCAUUGAUGAUUAUUCCAGGAGAUGUUUGGUGUAUCUAAUUAAGAAAAAGUCAUAUGUAUUUCCAGUGUUUAAAGAAUACAAAGCGCGGGUGGAACUUGAAUCUAGCAAAAGGAUUAAGUACUUGAGGACAGAUAAUGGUAGAGAGUAUACAGACAACGAGUUUCUUGUUUUCUGUAAGCAAGAAGGUAUUCAGAGGCAGUUCAUGGUAGCAUAAACUCCUCAACAAAAUGGAGUGGUAGAGAGGAUGAACAUGACUCUUACAGAAAUGAUAAGAGCUAUGUUGAGGACUGCUGGUCUACCCAAUUCAUUCUAGGCAGAAGCAGCCAAAACUGCUUGUUAUAUAGUAAAUCGGUCGCCAUCCAUAGUUAUUGGGCUAAAGACAACGAUGAAGAUGUGGACUGGAAAGCUAGCUGAUUACUCCUACCCACAUGCAUUCGGAUGUCCUGCGUAUGUAAUGUAUAAUAUCCAAGAAAGAACAAAGUUAGAUCCAAAAUCUAGAAGGUGUAUCUUCUUGGGGUAUUGUCUGUGGGAUCUCACUGCCCAUAAGAUUGUCAUCAGCAAAGAUAUUAUCUUUGUAGAAGAUCAAUUUUAAAAGAGAGAUGAGGAUGAUAGCACUGUAAAAGAAAAGUCAGAGAUUGUGCUGGUCUAUGUGGAAAAUAAUCUAGAAGAUUUGGAUUCUUCUGAAGAAGCACCAGAGCACGAGGAACAAGAACCAGUCGAGUCCAAGGCUUCAGAAGUUCGUUGGUCAACUCUUGAGAGACGACCGCCAACGUGCCACUCGGAGUAUGUCACAGAUAUCAAUGUUGCAUACUGUCCUCUAACAGAGGAUGGAGAGCCAUCAACUUUUCAUGAAACUUUAAACAACUCAGAUGUUGCUUUGUGGAUGACAACAAUGUAAGAGGAAAUUGAAGCUCUACACGAGAACAAGACAUGGGAACUUAUAUUACAACCACGCGGAAGAAAAACCAUGGUAACAAAUGGGUCUACAAGAUCAAACGUGAUAGUAAUGACCAAGUGGAGCGGUAUCGUGCAAGAUUAGUGGUGAAAGAAUAUGCUCAGAAAGAAGGUAUUGACUUCAAUGAGAUAUUUUCUCUGGUGGUUCGACUUACAACAGUCAGAGUAGUCUUGGCGAUGUGUGCUACAUUUGGCUUACAUCUUGAGCAGUUAGAUGUGAAAACUGCAUUUCUUCAUGGAAAACUUGAAGAAGAAAUAUAUAUGCUCCAACCAGAAGUUUUUGCUGAAAUAGGAAAGGAGAACUUGGUUUGCAGGUUGAACAAAUCCCUAUACGGUCUCAAACAGACACUGAGGUGUUGGUAUAAGAGAUUUGAUUCUUUCAUCAUGAGCCUUGGAUACAACAGACUCAGUUCAGACCAUUGUGUAUAUUAAAAGAGAUUUGAAGAUAAUGAUUUCAUUAUUUUGCUGUUGUACGUGGAUGACAUGUUGAUAGCAGGCCCCAACAAAGAUCGAGUCCAAGAAUUGAAGGCACAAUUGACUAAGAAGUUUAAAAUGAAAGACUUGGGACCAGCUAACAAGAUUCUAGGGAUGCAAAUUCACCGAGAGAGAAUUAAUAAGAAGAUUUUGCUUUCUCAGAAGAACUGCUUGAAGAAAAUAUUGCGACUCUUCAACAUGCACGAUUGUAAGCCAAUUUUUACCUCACUUCCUGUUAAUUUUAAAUUAUCCUCAAGUAUGUGUCCUAGCAAUGAAGCAGAGAGGAAUGAGAUGUCUCGAGUACCGUAUGCAUUAGCAGUAGGAAGUUUGAUGUUCGCUAUAAUAUGUACUAGACCAAACAUUGCACAAGCAGUGGGAGCAAUCAGUCGAUACAUGGCGAAUCUUGGUGGAGAGCAUUGGAAAACUGUGAAAAGGAUUUUGAGAUACAUUAGAGGAACCUCUAAUGUUGCAUUAUGUUAUGGAGGAUCAGAAUUUACUGUCAGGGGUCACGUGGAUUCAGAUUUUACAGGAGACCUUGAUAAAAGGAAAUCCACUAUUGGCUAUGUGUUUACACUUGCGGGAGGAGCUGUAAGCUGGGUUUCAAAACUACAAACCGUUGUGGCUUUAUCUACAAUAGAAGCAAAAUACAUGGCGGCUACACAAGCUUGCAAGGAAGCUAUUUGGAUACAAAGGUUAUUAGAGGAAUGCGGGCACAAACAAGAAAUUUUUUUUGUGUAUUGUGACAGUUAGAGUGCCUUGCACAUUACAAGGAAUCCAGCCUUUCAUUCCAGGACAAAGCACAUAGGGGUAUAGUAUCACUUUAUUCGAGAAGUAGUGGAAGACGGAAGUGUGGAUUUAUUGAAAAUCCAUAUGAAGGAGAACCUAGCAGAUGUUAUGACCAAGCCAAUCAAUACUGACAAGUUUGUAUGGAGUAGAUCCUCUUGUGACCUAGCAGAGACGUAAGCAACAUGACAAUGACGAAACAGAAAGGAUGGGUGGAGAUUGAUUGAUCCUCAAUCAAAUCUCCAAGUGAGAGAAUCUCAAAAUAAUAGCUGACAAAGCCGGUGGCUUUAACAAGCCAAAUUCAAAUUGGCUUUGACAGCCACCAAUCUAUGAGAAUGAAGAAACUUUGAAGUAACAAAUAUUGAAGGGGAAAGUUGCCGCCCAAAGAAAACAAGGAAGAAGAAAAAGGAAGAGUUGAAGCUGCCAAAUUUGAACAAAGACAAAAUGAAAGAAGAAGAAAAAAUGGAAUUUGGCAGUAACAUUCUUUGAAGAAGGAAAAAGAAUAAUGAAUAAGAUAAUGGCGGUGAGAAAAAAAUUAUAUUUUAAUAGCCAAUUUUGGCUAUAAAAAUGGAGAGCUCCCCAUUUCGUUAUGGCAUAAAAAAUUUGUGAGAGAGAAAGCAGGGAGCUUGGGUAAUUUUAAAGGUUUAAAUUAUAAAGCUCUUGUGAGUCUAGUGAGUGAGAGAUUGGGUGUAUUGAGGUUCUGGGUAGUGAGCCAAAAUAUUAUAAUACUUGUAAUUCUCAUAUCACUAGUAAAAUAUUUUCCUUCUGUCUUCUCCCGUUAAUGUAGGCUAAAAGCCGAACCACGUAAUUUCUUGGUGUCCUCUUUGUACUUGUUCUUUAUUUUUUCUUCCAAUUUCAUUUUAACUGUGGUUCUGCUUUACCCACCAAAUUCCUAACAAUAAUCCUAGUGCAUUUUGUAAAGAUAAAGUUGAUGGAAACUUGGUUUUUGAGAUUAUCCAAAUGAUGUUUUUUUCUCUUAAUUGAAAUUCCAGGUGGCCGGCAACUAAAUUGUGUUUUGGAUCUAAGGACCCCAUGUUGGAUUUUGUCCUGAACGUCACAUAAUUUGUUAGACUGUAGUUGGUUGAUGAGGUGCUUUAGUUUUUUGCUUGCUAGUUAAGUUAACAUGCAGCGUUUGUACCAAUCAUCUCUCAAAAGCUGGAAUUUUUAUGUUUUUAGUGGAAAUAUGGAGUUUGAUGUAGCCUAAGAAUGAAUGAUGUUCUUGUUCAUAUUAUGUGAUGGAUAGUAAUUGUAUUUAGUUUAAAAGAACAAAUAAUAUAUUCAUGUUAUUAUUAUGUAGUUUAAUUAAUUUUAAAUUCUUAAUUUGUAUAUAUUUAUAUAAUUUUGGAGCAUAUACACAUAUCAUCAUCAUCAUCAUAAUAAUUUAUAAAAGAAUAUAUUUCAAAAUUAAAAUUUAAUUCAAUAAUAAAUACAAUUAAUUGAAUAAAUUAAUAAUUAAGUAAAAUAAUUUUGUAAUUCCAUCCCAACUCAUUUAAAAAUUUUAAAAUUUCGUCAAAUUUAUUUGGAAAAUUAUCAUUUGUAUACCCUUAGUUUACUACAUUAUCAAAAAUACUACAAUACUUUGAGGGUGUAUCAAUCGUCCACCCUAAGUUGACAAAAUGUAUCAGUUGACCACCAAACCGUUAGUUGCCGUUUAAGUAUGAUGACGUCAAAAGGGUAAUUUGGUCUUUUCAUAUGAUACAAGUGAUAAUUUAAGGGUAUACAAGUGAUAAAAAGAGAAUUUAAGGGUAUACAAGUGAUAAUUUUCAAGGGUAAAAUCGUCAAUUCACUAUAACUCCGUUAACUUUCAAACGGCAACUAACGGUUUGGUGGUCGGCUGAUACAUUUUGUCAACUAAGGGUGGACGAUUGAUACACCCUCAAAGUGUUGUAGUAUUUUUAAUAACAGAACAAAUAUAGGGUAUAUGAAUGAUAAUUUCCUAAUUUAUUUAGAUUUUGGAAUUCCAGCCAAAUUCAUUUAUAUGUAUCAUUUGUUAACAUAAAUAUGUUAAUAAUAUUGAUUUUGAUGAUAACAAAUUUUAAAUGAUUUUUGAUAAAAGUAUUGGAGCUAUUUCUUAAUAAACGAGAGCAUUAGUAAUCAUUCCAUUCAUGCUUCAUAAAAGAUGGACUUUAAAAUUAGAAAAAGAUUCUCUGCAAAAACUGGUUUAAAAUGCAAUUUUGGUUAUAAACGGUGAACCGUUUAUUUAAACGGUUAACCGAUAACAGCCAGAGAGCAAACAUUUUCCCUAAACCUCUAACCGUUUAUGAAAAAUAGAAAACACAAAAGAUAGGGAGGUUACUAGAACUUAACGGUAAACCGUUUUAUUUUAAACGGUUAACCGAUUAGCACCAGAGAGCAACAUAUUACCUAAGCUCUAACCGGUUAUGCUUAACGGAAAACACCCAAGAUGGGAAGGCUACUGGAACCUAACGGUGAACCGUUUAUUUUAAACGGUUAACCGAUAACGUCCAGAAUAGAUGGUUGUCCACCUCUGGCACUGAUUAACGAAAACUGAUAAGGCUAAAUUGUUUUGCAGGUUACUGGAGACAAACGGCGAACCGUUUAUAUCAAACGGUUAACCGAGAAUAUCCAGAGAAGCCACUUCACGCAAGUCCUUAACCGUUUAGCGUAAACGGAUAACAAAUGCUCAUCUUGCAGGUCUCUGGACGUUAACGGCGAAAGGGCAACCCUAAACGGCAAACCGUUUAUUUGAAAUCUGGCCCAACGGUAACUUUGACCAGCCUAAACGGUUAACCGUUAAUGGUUAACGGCGAACCGUUUUCUGUCCGACAGUUUGUAACGGCUAGAUUUUCGGCUCCAAAUAUAAAUAAGCUCAUUCAAAUUCAAAGAAGAUUGAUAUCUUCAUAGAGCUUAGAACACAUUCUUGCUUCAUCUAUUCACAUAUUAAGCAUCAUUGUGUAAUCUUAUAUAUUGUGAGAGGCAAAACAGUUUGUAAUCUUUUACUUUGAGUGAUUGUAAGUGUUGGGAUACACUUGGGUUAAGAGAUUGGGGAUAAUCUCUUGUUGUAAAGGUCCAUUGACACCUUGGAAGUCAAGUGUAAGCAUUUGAAGCCUUGGAGGCUUGCUUAGUGGAAUCCUCAAGCCCGGAAAGCUUGGAGGCGUGGACGUAGGCGAGGUUGGCCGAACCACGUAAAAAUCUCGGUGUUUGAAUCCCUCUUCCCUUAUCUUUUUAUAUUGUGAUCAUCUUAAUUGUUAUUGCUUUGAAUUUGAUUUAUAAUUGCAUUAAGAUUUUCUUUAAUAAAUUGAAUUUUUUUUUAGAAUCCCAAUUCACCCCCCCUCUUGGGUUGCAUACUUGUAUUUCAAUUGGUAUCAGAGCCUCGUUCUCUUGGUAAGGCUUAAUCGUCUAGAGUAAAAGAUCCAUGGCAACCCUAAAUGACUCAACCUUUAGAGAAGGGCAAUCCACAACUAGACCACAAUUUUUUGAUGGUAAUGAUUAUGCUUAUUGGAAAACUAGAAUGAGAAUCUAUUUGCAAGCCUUAGAUUAUGAAAUUUGGGAAGUUGUUUGUGAUGGUCCAUUCAUGCCUACGUUCAAAGAUGAAGUAGGAGAUGAUAUUCCUAAACCAUCGAGUCAAUGGAGUGAGUUAGAAAAGAGAAAGAUGUCUCUAAACUCCAAGGCUAUGAAUGCUUUGUUUUGUGCUCUUGAUAAGAAAGAAUUCCAUAGAGUAUCUAGUUGCGAAAGUGCACAAGAGAUAUGGAACGAACUUGAAGUUGUCUAUGAAGGGACAAAUCAAGUGAAAGAGUCUAAAAUCAGUAGAUACACUCGUCAAUAUGAGUUGUUCCAAAUGGAACAAAAUGAAAAUGUGUAUUCUAUGUACACUAGAUUCACGGACAUAGUGAACACCCUAGGUGCCUUAGGGAAAACCUUCUCAAAUAGUGAGAAAGUUAAGAAAAUCAUUAGGUCACUUCCAAAAGAAUGGAGACCUAAAAGAACCGCCAUUGAAGAGGCCAAAGAUUUAAAUACUUUACCUCUUGAUGAUCUAAUUGGUUCUCUUAUUUCGUAUGAAGAGGAUUUAGCUGCAGAAAAAGGACAAGAGGAGAAGAAGAAAAGCAUUGCUCUCAAAGCUUCAAAAUAUGAGAGUGAUGGGGAGAGUGAACCGGAUGAUGAAGAGCUAGCCAUGCUAGCAAGGAGGUUCAGAAAAUUCUUCAAGAAAACCGGAGAGCGAAGAAAUUUCAGAAACUUCAAGAAUCAUAGGGAGAAGAAGGAGGCAAUCACUUGCUAUGAAUGCAAGAAGCCUGGACAUAUAAGAUCGGAGUGCCCACUUAUCAACAAACUCAAGAAGAAAGCAAUGGUCGCAACUUGGGAUGAUAGUGAGGAAGAGUCAAAUGAUGAAGAAGGAUCGCAAGAAGUAUCAAACUUAGCACUCAUGGCAAUAGGAGGGGAUGAUGAUCUCAAUGAGGUAAGUGAUCCUACCUAUGAUGAAUUGUAUGAUGCUUUUCAAGAUUUGCAUAAUGAGUUGAUGAAAAUUGGUAAAAAGAAUGUAUGUCUUAAAAAGGAAAUGGCAAAGCUCAAAAAUGAAAAUGAAUCUCUAAAUGCAAAAAUUGUAUGCCUAGAAGUAGGAAACAAAACAUUGCAUGAUGAAAUUGCAUUAUCAAAUGAGAAACCUAGCAUCUCACAUGAGCAUUUGAAAUCACACAUGGAUGAGCUGAAAAAUGAGAACGAAUUACUCAAGAAAAAGAAUAAUGAAUUGAAUGAAAUUGUUCUGAAAUUUACAAAUGGGCAAAAGAUGUUGGAUAAUAUGCUUAACUCACAAAAAUGUGUUUUUGAUAAAGGAGGACUUGGAUAUAAGCCUAACUUGAAGCAAAAGUAUUAUAAGAAUUAUUUUGUUAAAGCUACCUCCACAAAUGAUCAUAAGAUUGUAUGUCAUUAUUGUAAUCAAAAUGGUCACAUGAAAUUUAGAUGUCCCGUGAAAAGGAAUGCAUAUUAUGGUGUCAAAUGCAUUUGGGUUCCAAAAGGAACCGUUGCUAACCCUCAAGGACCCAAAAAGCUUUGGGUACCUAAAACUUGAGAUUUUUUCUUGUAGGGCUUGAAGAAGAAGAAAAAUAAAUGGUACUUGGACAGCGGUUGUUCAAGGCACAUGACCGGAAACUAUGCAUAGUUCUCAAGCUUCACCAAAAUUGAAAAUGGUGGAGACGUAUCUUUUGGAGACAAUUCAAAAGGAAAAAUUCUUGGAAUUGGAAAUGUUGGUAAAGUCUCUUCAACUCUAAUUGAGAAUGUAUGUUUGGUUGAAAACUUGAAACACAACUUAAUUAGCAUUAGUCAAUUGUGUGACAAAGGUUAUAAAGUUAUCUUUGAUAAACUUAGUUGUGUUAUUGAGAACUCAUGUGAUGGCAAAACCUUUUUUGUUGGAAAUAGAUGUGGUAAUGUUUAUAUCAUUGACAUAGAAUGUGCAUCUACUCUUGAUAAAUGUUUUUCGGCAUUACAUGAUGAUUGUUGGUUAUGGCAUAGAAGGUUAGGACAUGCAAGUAUGGAUUUGAUUUCAAAAAUUUCGAAAGAUGAUUUAGUUAAAGGUCUUCCAAAAAUUGGUUUUCAAAAGGAUAAGAUUUGUGAAGCUUGUCAAUUUGGAAAACAAAUUAAAACUUCUUUCAAGAAUAAAAACCAUAUUUCUACUUUAAAACCACUUGAACUUCUUCACAUAGAUCUUUUUGGGCCAUCUAGAUAUGCAAGUCUAAAUGGCAAAUACUAUGCAUUUGUGAUAGUGGAUGAUUAUUCUAGAUAUACAUGGGUAUUAUUCUUAGCCAAUAAGGAUGAUGCUCUUGAUGCUUUUAAAGUGCUUUGUAAGAAAUUACAAAAUGAAAAAGGGCAUGGUAUUGUAUGCAUUAGGAGUGAUCAUGGAGGAGAAUUUGAAAAUCAUGCAUUUGAGAGUUUUUGCAAUAAUCUACGCAUUGAGCAUCAAUUUUCUUCACCUAGAACUCCACAACAAAAUGGAGUUGUUGAGAGAAAGAAUAGGUCUAUUCAAGAAAUGGCUAGGACCAUGUUAAAUGAAAAUGCAUUACCAAAAUAUUUUUGGGUCGAAGCCGUCAACACCGCUUGUUAUGUUUUAAAUCGGGUGUUGAUUAGACUUAAUCUUAAUAAAACUCCAUAUGAGCUUUGGAAAGAUAGAAAACCCAACAUUGACUAUUUUAAAGUUUUUGGAUGCAAAUGUUUUGUUUUGAACACAAAAGACAAUCUUGGUAAAUUUGAUUCAAAAUCCGAUGUUGGUAUUUUUCUUGGUUAUUCAAAUUCAAGCAAAGCUUAUAGAGUUUAUAACAAAAGAACUUUAGUUGUGGAAGAAUCUAUGCAUGUCACAUUUGAUGAGUCUAACCCCUCCUCUACAGAGAAAGUCGUUGUUGAUGAUGAUGCAGGAGAAGAAGAACAAGAAGAAGAAGCAUCAAAUGACAAUCAAGAGGAUGCACCACAUGGAAUUCAAGAGGAACAUCAUGAAGAACCAAAUGUGGAGCAAAAUGAAGGUACUUCUCAAACACUCCCCAAGGAGUGGAGGUAUGUCUCUUCUCACCCUAAAGAUGUAAUUUUAGGAGAUCCCUCACGAGGUAUAACAACUAGAUCAUCACUUAGAAAUACUUGUGAGCAUAAUGUAUUCAUCUCUCAAAUUGAACCAAAAUCCUUUGAGGAUGCAGAAAAUGAUGAAUCUUGGAUUAUGGCAAUGCAAGAGGAGUUAAAUCAAUUUGAAAGAAACAAUGUGUGGGAACUAGUUCCUAAAACUGAACAUCAAUCUAUAAUAGGUACUAAAUGGGUGUUUAGAAAUAAGAUGGAUGAAUCUGGUGUGGUUGUAAGAAACAAAGCUAGAUUAGUGGCUCAAGGUUACAACCAAGAGGAAGGAAUUGAUUUUGAUGAAACCUUUGCACCUGUAGCAAGGUUAGAAUCCAUUAGGAUGUUGUUAGCAUAUGCAUGUCAUAAGGAUUUUAUUUUAUAUCAAAUGGAUGUCAAGAGUGCUUUCUUAAAUGGAUAUAUUUUGGAGGAAGUUUAUGUGAAACAACCUCCUGGUUUUGAAAAUGAAAAAUUUCCAAAUCAUGUGUAUAAGUUGCUCAAAGCCUUGUAUGGAUUAAAACAAGCACCUAGAGCAUGGUAUGAUAGACUUAAAAAUUUCUUGCUAGAAAAUGACUUCUCUAUGGGUAAAGCGGAUACUACUCUUUUUGUUAAGCAUAAGAACCAAGACAUACUUAUUGUUCAAAUUUAUGUUGAUGAUAUCAUUUUUGGUUCUACUAAUGAGUUGUUGUGUAAAGAAUUUUCAUUGUGUAUGAGCAAAGAAUUUGAGAUGAGUAUGAUGGGAGAGUUGAAAUACUUCCUUGGACUUCAAAUCAAACAAAACGAGGAAGGAAUUUUCAUAAAUCAAGCCAAGUACGUAAAGGAUCUACUCAAACGAUUCGGCAUUGAUGAUUCAAAGACCAAGAAUACACCAAUGAGCACAACAACCAAGCUGGACAAAGAUGAAAAAUAUAAAAAAGUGGAUAUCAAAAUGUAUCGAGGUAUGAUCGGAUCCCUACUUUAUUUGACUGCAAGUAGACCCGAUAUCAUGUUUAGUGUAUGUUUGUGUGCAAGAUUUUAGUCAUGUCCCAAGGAAUCUCAUUUGCUCGCUGUUAAAAGAAUUUUCCGUUAUUUGAGUGGAACCAUAGAUAUUGGCCUUUGGUAUCCUAGGGGAACUCAUAUAGAUUUAACAUGUUUUUCGGAUGCGGAUUUUGCUGGUUAUAAAGUGGAUAGGAAGAGCACUGGUGGAACUUGCUAUAUUCUAGGACACUCUCUUGUUUCAUGGUUUAGCAAGAAACAAAAUUCUGUUGCACUUUCAACUACUGAGGCUGAAUAUAUAGCUGCCGGAAGUUGUUGUGCACAAGCACUUUGGAUGAAACAAACUCUUAGAGAUUAUGGCAUUAAUCUUGAACAAAUUCCUAUUAAGUGUGAUAAUACUAGUGCUAUAAACCUUUCAAAGAAUCCCAUUCAACAUUCUCGAACCAAGCAUAUAGAAAUAAGACAUCAUUUCUUGAGAGAUCAUGUUCAAAAGGGAGAUAUUGCAUUAGAGUUUAUUUCCAUGGAAAAAUAACUUGCCGAUAUUUUCACAAAACCGCUUUGCGAAGAACAAUUUUAAAAAAUUCGGCAUGAACUUGGGAUGAUGAAAUUUUUGCAUUAACAUCUCUAUUCAUGCUAUUGAGUGUACUAAAUUGAUUGAUUACUAUUUAUGAAAUGCUUGAGCUUGGUAGACAAAUGAUGAAUUUGCAUUAAUAACUCUUGAUUAUAUGAAUUGAUUGGUUGAAAACAUGUCCAUGAAUCAUACAUUAAAUUGGCUCAUAAAAUAUUUUCAGAUCAAUUAAAUGAUCUUGGAAUAUAUUAUUUGCUGGCCAAAAAUUAAAUCAAAUGUGCGAAAUUACAGAUAAAAUAAACGGUUAGCCGUUUCCUAUAAACGGAUCACCGUUUAAUUCCAGAAACGAGAUUAUGUGUCUGUCCGUUUACCCUUUCACCGUUUGCCACAAUCGGUGAACCGUUUUUCAACAGAGAGUCCUCUAACAGUUACUCCUUAGCCGUUAAGCGCUUAGGCUUUCACCGUUUCCCUUUCUUCAGCCUCUGGACGUUACCCUUUAACCGUUUCAAUAAACGGUUAACCGUUUUCGCGAAGUAUAUAUACUGUUCAAAGGUUUUCUUCUCCUUCUUCAGUUACCCUUUCACCGUUUCCACCAUUGUUGCGUAGCCGAAGGUUUCUCUGUCCUCAAAUCCUCAUUUUUCUUGCUUUCCUUGCCAAAUCAAACCUUCAAAAUCAUUUCUUAUCACCUUUAGAACAAUUCUACCGAUUCAAAACUUCAAAUCGAGCCCAAAUUUCAAAAAUCCCAAAUCUAAACCCUAACUGUCGCGGGUCGGGUUUCUUCGUUCUUAAUCCGAUUUCCACCUUUCUUCAACCAAAUUGAACAUCCUACUCACAUCCUCUACUCUUCCUUAAACCUUUUAUCGAUUUACUUUCGUCCCAUUACGUGUUUCCAUGGCUGAACCCUCUCGGAGAAAUCCCAGGCGUAAAUCUGUGCCACCAAGGAAUCCCAUACCACCUUGGGAGGUCUCUGAAUUUUCAAGGAUUCACUUCCCCACACCUGCCUUGGCUAAGCGGUUCGAAGAUCGCUUUGAUGGUCGAAAGGUACUUGAUCCUUAUUUUGUUGAUAUUGAUGAUUUCCGCAACUUAGUUGUAUGUGGUAGAAGUAUUCGGGAUAUGCUUCUGCCUUGGGAGUCUGCCAUUGAUUUUGAUGACCGAGUUUAUCCAAACUUAGUGCGAGUCUUUUAUUCGAACAUGGAAAUCUCCGACACUCGCCUAAAUAGGAUAGUUACUCAAGUCGACCGUGUGCCAAUAGAGUUUGAUGAUGCAGACCUAGCUGACCUUCUUGGUAUCUCUUGUGAGGGGCUUGAUAUUUACACCUCUAGGAAAGCCCUCUCCUUUGAUAGUUUUUCUCAUACUCAUGGCGUCCGUAAUAUAUGUCGUCGUCGAGACUUAUCGGAUGAGAUUUGUUUGCUUCCGUUUCGGUCUCAACUUUUACCUCUCCAAGUUCGUAUUCUUCACACUAUUUUACAGCACAUAGUGACUCCUAGGAAGGGUCACUCAGAUGAGGUUACGAGGUUGGACGUUGCCCUAUUAGAUAGCCUUCUUACAGACCGUCCCAUUAACCUCGGGUAUAUUAUUGUGCGACAUAUGUUGAGUACUCCAGCGGUCAACCAUCGCUUGCUUCCUUAUGGCAGUAUCAUCACUAAAAUACUGCGACGCUUUGAGGUGCCACUUCUUGAUACUGGACAUAUGGAGACUCGACGGAUUGGUUCUGAGGCCAUGACCAGUAUCGGAUUCUCUAGAAAGAAUGAAGUAUGGAUAAAGACAAGCAACUCAAAAAACCGGGAUACCUUGAUUGCUCCAGAGGAUGAUCGGAUGCUCAAUGAUGUCUAUUCUCCCGAUCAGCUUCCUGACUUUAGAUUAGGAGCUCAUCCUUAUCCUCCGCGUCGCCAUUUUGUCCCUCGGCCUCCAGCUAACUCAGACUCUGAGGAGCGUGCGAUGGAUGCUGAUAUUCCCUCCUCUUCCGAGCUGCCUCCUGCUCCUGAGCCUUCUGCUGUUCCCGAGCAGCCAUCUGCCUCUAUGCCGCCUCCAGCUCCAGUUCAGCCCCCUGCUUCAGACGCAGUGCAGCAGCUGAUCACUGAUGUUCAGCGGAUUUCGGAGCGCCAGCAGCUGAUUCUUGAUCGGUUGGACACUCUUUCCCGUGACCACCAGCAACUGCGUUCUGACUUAUCAGAUAUUCCAGCGGCAGAGCCUUAAUCAGCAGAUGGAGCUUAUCGCUGGACAGCGCACUAUUCUCGGCUAUUUCGGCUAUGAUCCAGGGAGCACAUCUUCUCCGCCUCCGUAGUUUCUGAGCUUUGUCUUCGCACAUACAUUUUACAUUUUGGUUGCUAGCAUUUUUAUUAUUAUUUUGAUUUUGAUGCAUAUGUGUGUGAUGUUCUUGAUGAUUAGCUUAUUGAUGCUUUGUGAUUGCCUAAUUGGUUGGAUAUUGUAGAAAUGGUUUAUUUGUGGAUAUUGGAGUGUUGGUAUAUUUGUGGAUAUUGAAGUGUUAUUUUGUCUUGUUCAUGGAGUUGUUGGCUUGUUGAAAGCAGAAGUUAAUGUUGAUCUAAUUUUGGAAGUGUUUUAUCUCAUUUUGUAUUUAUGGUUUUACUCAUUUUUAAGGGGAAACUCUGCCAAAAUUUUCGCUUGCCAAAACCGGGCACUUUCUUUAACGGAUUUGCGUUCUUAUUUCCUCUUUUCUUUUUUAUGAUGAAGGGGGAGAUAAUUAUGGUUUUUAAGAUGGUUUUUAAAUGGGGAGAUAUUAUUUUAAGAUGGAUUUAAAAUGGGGCGAUUUAAAGCAAAAAUCCUUUUAUUCAUAUUUCUCAAUUUGGCCAUACAUUUAGGGGGAGCACAUAUUAAGGGGGAGCUAAACAUUGAUUAGAAUUUGUCAUCAUCAAAAAGGGGGAGAUUGUUAACAUAAAUAUGUUAAUAAUAUUGAUUUUGAUGAUAACAAAUUUUAAAUGAUUUUUGAUAAAAGUAUUGGAGCUAUUUCUUAAUAAACGAGAGCCUUAGUAAUCAUUCCAUUCAUGCUUCAUAAAAGAUGGACUUUAAAAUUAGAAAAAGAUUCUCUGCAAAAACUGGUUUAAAAUGCAAUUCUGGUUAUAAACGGUGAACUGUUUAUUUAAACGGUUAACCGAUAACAGCCAGAGAGCAAACAUUUUCCCUAAACCUCUAACCGUUUAUGAAAAACGGAAAACACAAAAGAUAGGGAGGUUACUGGAACUUAACGGUAAACCGUUUUAUUUUAAACGGUUAACCGAUUAGCACCAGAGAGCAACAUAUUACCUAAGCUCUAACCGGUUAUGCUUAACGGAAAACACCCAAGACGGGAAGGCUACUGGAACCUAACGGUGAACCGUUUAUUUUAAACGGUUAACCGAUAACGUCCAGAAUAGAUGGUUGUCCUCCUCUGGCACUGAUUAACAAAAACUGAUAAGGCUAAAUUAUUUUGCAGGUUACUGGAGACAAACGGCGAACCGUUUAUAUCAAACGGUUAACCGAGAAUAUCCAGAGAAGCCACUUCACGCAAGUCCUUAACCGUUUAGCGUAAACGGAUAACAAAUGCUCAUCUUGCAGGUCUCUGGACGUUAACGGCGAAAGGGCAACCCUAAACGGCAAACCGUUUAUUUGAAAUCUGGCCCAACGGUAACUUUGACCAGCCUAAACGGUUAACCGUUAAUGGUUAACGGCGAACCGUUUUCUGUCCGACAGUUUGUAACGGCUAGAUUUUCGGCUCCAAAUAUAAAUAAGCUCAUUCAAAUUCAAAGAAGAUUGAUCACAACACGACCAUUUGAGCUAAUAUUCGAGAAUACAAUCUUCAUAGAGCUUAGAACACAUUCUUGCUUCAUCUAUUCACAUAUUAAGCAUCAUUGUGUAAUCUUAUAUAUUGUGAGAGGCAAAACAGUUUGUAAUCUUUUACUUUGAGUGAUUGUAAGUGUUGGGAUACACUUAGGUUAAGAUAUUGAGGAUAAUCUCUUGUUGUAAAGGUCCAUUGACACCUUGGAAGUCAAGUGUAAGCAUUUGAAGCCUUGGAGGCUUGCUUAGUGGAAUCCUCAAGCCCGGAAAGCUUGGAGGCGUGGACGUAGGCGAGGUUGGCCGAACCACGUAAAAAUCUCGGUGUUUGAAUCCCUCUUCCCUUAUCUUUUUAUAUUGUGAUCAUCUUAAUUGUUAUUGCUUUGAAUUUGAUUUAUAAUUGCAUUAAGAUUUUCUUUAAUAAAUUGAAUUUUUUUUUUAGAAUCUCAAUUCACCCCCCCUCUUGGGUUGCAUACUUGUAUUUCAUCAUUCUCUUGCGAUAGAUAUUAGUCAUGCCUUGAAAGUGAUUAUAAUAAAUAUUAGUCAUGCAUGAUAACUUAUUAUCAAAAUAUUUAUGAUAGAAUCAUAAUGGAUAAUAUAUCAUGCAUUGUCUGACAUAUAAAAUUCGUCAUCAAAUUUUCUUGACACCAAAAUUAAUGAUGGUCGCUUAACCGUCAUGCCAUAUGACAGAUGAGGAUAAAAAGUAAAAAUCGUUACAAAUGUCUUUCUUCUAUAUAUUAAAUCUUCUCAUAUUCAAAGAGUAAAAACGAGGAAAAAAAAAAGAUAAAACUACUUGCUGGUGCUAAAGUCAUCAACAAAAGCCUUGAGAUUCUUAUGUGAAGACCCUCCUUGUUUGACGGCAUCUCUGGCCAAAUCCUUCCAUUUCAAAGAAUUUCUUCUAAAAUCAUCUCCUUCUCCCAUCACCAACUCCAAACACCUGUUAAUCUCAUCACUUUCUACAAUCCCUUCUUCAUUUGCUUUCACUCUCACUCCGGUUUUGCAGAAGUCCACAAUAAUUUUAGCGUUUGUCCCUUGAUCUGUCCACUGAGGAAACGCCACCACAGGCACGCCAUAUACCAAGCUUUCUAAGCUCGAACUCCACCCACAGUGCGUUACAAAACACCCCACCGCUUCAUGUGACAGAACCUCCACUUGUGAACACCACGGCACUAUCAUUCCCUUCUCAUUCAGCUCUUCUUUGUACUUCAUCAUCACAUCAUCUUCUCCUUCAUCUUUAUCUUUAUCUUUAUCUUUAUCUUUAUCUUUAUCUUUAUUGUCGUUUUCUCUACUGACCCACAAGAAUGGAUGGCCACUAUCUAACAACCCCCGUGCAAUUUCCUCCACUUGACGCUUCUCCAGAACGCAUAUGGUUCCGAACGCCACGUAGAUAACAGAUGAUUUGGGCUUCGAGCUUAGCCAUUCCAUAUAAUACUCUUUUGAACUAUUCUUGCAAAGAUCGCCUCCGUACUGCUCUUUUCCGUCCAACAACGCCGAUGCAACUAACGGUCCGAUUGCGAUCAUAUUGAACUUAUCGAUAGCUUUCAAGGUCUCAGCUUCUAAUGCGUCGAACGUGUUGACAAGAAUUCUUGGAUCGGUUUCUUCAACAAUUGCCUCCAUUUGUUCUUUAAAAGAAGGUAAUACGAAAGAGUAAGCAUCAUUUGAAUUUCUGGGAUCUAGGAAAGAAGGAAGAUCACGGCCGGUGAGUGGCGGCAGUCCCGGUAACUCUAUCAAAUCAUUAACCUUCCCUUCAAUUAGAUCGCCAUAUCCAUAGAAGUAAUAGUAAUAAACGUCGAAAACGAGGGCUGGUUGAAGCCAGAGUAGCGCCGAAGGGAGGUGAUACGCACGCGCCACUUCAGCAGCCCAAGUAAGGAGUUGAGGGUAAACCAAGCAAGUAAACGGUUGACCACCCUCGUUUUGACUGGCCGUGAUGAGCUCAGCCAGGGCUUCGGAGCUACGACGCUUGAACUCCGACAUGAAGUGCGUCCGAUCAUUUUGUUUGGAAUUGAAUCCGUCGUCAUAUCCAUCGGAGAAGCUGGCAAACGACAAGCCGUCUUCGGCCGUGGGAUUAUUGGGCAUGCGGCGGUAGGCGGAGAUGGCGGUGGCGAAGGUGACACGUGUGCCAAUGCGCGUAAGACGCCUGGCGAAUUGGAGGGAUGGGUUAAUGUGGCCUUGUAUUGGAAAUGUUAAUAGUAGAAAGUGGGGUUGCUGUUGCUGCUCCAUGUGCUUGUUUUUUGGUAUUUGCGUACACACUUGAGUCUGAGUGCACAUGGUGGGAGGUUUAAAUAGGGCUUGCACUUUGAUAGAAUGACGUUCGAGAUGAUGAUUAAACAAGGACACGUAUUUACAGCGGAUUUUGUCUCAGCCAGGUACAGUUUUCAGUGGACCAAACAACUUUUUUUUUUUGUCAAAACCUUCUUGGAAUAUGCUACACACACACACACACACAUAUAUAUAUAUAUAUUUAUUUAUUUAUUUAUACAAACGCAAUCAUUGAAGAUUAAUAAUGACUAACGAUAUAAUAUCUUAUAGACAUAAAUACAAGACCAUAUUGCACAAUAUAUGGGAUAAGAAAAUAAGAAUAUAAAAAAUAAUAGAAUACACCACAACAUAAUGCUAAUUAACUACAAAACAGAACUAAAAAACUACAAAACCUCAGCUAGGGAUGGUAAAAUUCGGGUUCGGGUCCAGGUUUGGUCUUUUCGGUUCCAGAUUUGGAUGAGAAUUCGUCUUACCAGACCCGGCUAAAAACCCAGAUAUUUUGAAUGCAGGUCCGGUACGGGUUAAACCCGAAAAAAUCUGGGUUCCCGGAUUCCGAGUUUUAAACCCAGAUAAUGUUUUUUGGAACCUAAUUUCUCUCAGUUGCUUUGAAAAAUCCUUUAUCAAACUUUUCUUACUGCAACCUGCAAGGAGUAAACGAUGAAGUAAUGAAAAUUAAAUAACUAAAGCCAGAUUAUUAUCAACAAGAUCACUCAACCAAAGCUUCUCGAAUUCACAAUCUUAAAAGAGAAAUUUUUUUUUUCAAGAUCCCAUUUAUAGCCUUUACUUGUUCUGCAAUUGCCUUGUUCAUACUCCCAUCAAAUCACAACCAAAUACCCUUCCAAUAAUCAGAACCUAAAAUGAAUGAAAUCAUGUUCUUGGGCCAACUUCUCGAAAAUAUCGUUGAUGAAACUGCUUGCCCGUGGCCUUGCUGGAGAUUGCAAUAUCGAGAUGGAGCUGCUUCAGGAUUUGUCUUCUUUUCCUGCUUCUUCUUUUUCUCGACUGUACUGCCUUCUUUGGUGAUAACUAUCGGCGAUUUGCUUCGGGCUUUGGCGGUGAGGAUGAGGAACAAAGCACGAUUCACGGUGAUUUGAUGAGGAAAUAUUUGGUUGGCUUUGGCGGCGUGGCCUGUGAAACUGAAACUAGGGCAAGGCUGCUAUUUUUUUUUUCAAUUGUUUCUAUUUAUAUUAAAAAAUAAUAUAAAAAUAAAUACACCCGGGUCCGGGUUCCGGAUUUGCGGGUUCACCCAAAUCCGGAUCCGAACCCGAAAACGUCCGGGUUUAGAAAAUCACAUCCGGAUUCCGGAUUUUAUUUCGUCCGGUGCGGGUUAAACCCGGCCCGGAUUAUCCGGAUUCGUCCGGAUCCGGGCCGGGUCCGGGUUAAAUUGCCAUCCCUAACCUCAGCUCUGAUAACCACUUCAUCUCAAGUAUUCCCAGCCUGACUCUCGAUGAGGCCUCAACCCAUGCCAUCAGCGACAUGGCCAGGUCAUCCAAAUCUCAUUGCACCACCAUCAGCGACAUGGCCAGGGCAUCGAAAUCUCAUUGCACCACCAUUAGAAUUAUUCAUCAACUCCAAUAUAAGCAAACUCUCUCCAUUUGAACGCUGAUACGAUUCUGAUCCAAACUGUGAAUCGACACCAUUUACGAUCAUAUGUAAAAGAUCUCGGGAGCAGAAAACAAACACCAUAAAGAAAAGGAAAUAGAAAAAUUAAAAAAUUAGAAAAAAAUUAAAACAUAAAAUAAUUAGGAGACUCAAAAUAAAUAAAAGAAAAACAAAACAAAAAUAUCAAACGAAGGAUAUCGGCCUGUUAGGCGGAUGUGAGCUGUUGGGUUGGUGAUUUGGUUAUUAGGGACUGAUGGCGAUUGGAGCUAUGGUGGUGGCGGGGACGCCGGUGGCAGUGACCUGGGGAAGGUUAUGGACAGGUGGAUCUGAAAAUUCUGAAUGCGGUAAGUGCAGUGCCGGUGACGGUGUAGAUAUCUUGACUCGCUGUUAGUCGGGUGAGAAAGGUCACGAGGCAUCUAGUUGGACCAUAUAUUGAUUACAUGGUCGGGAGCUGAUCUGGACUGCGUGAUUGUGGAGCCACAACUAUAAGCUUUUUGUGCCUGAAUUUGUCUGCUUGUUAUUUUGUGUUUUCUGAAAACCCAACAACUGAUUUGGAAUCUUGUGGAUGCCUAUAUUCAUUCAUCGCUAUCCAAUCCUACAAGAAAUAGUUUUUUUUUUUUUUUAAGAUUUUGUAGAGAACUUGAUAUUUAAAAUACGUAUUUUAAAAAUUAGAGAAAUUGGCUAAGGCUGAUUUUAGAGUAUCUAGGACCAUAGGUAAAAUUUUCUUUUACGAGACCUCUUUUUAUUCAGAAAAUUUAAUACUAAAAGAAAAAAUCAUAAUAAAGAUCAAAAUUCAUUUCAUUUUUAGUUCUUGAAUUUCAAAAAUAAUAAAGAAGAUCCUAAAAUAUUUCAAAAACAAAAUAUAAAAAUUUACUUUCAUUAGAAUUUUUACAAAAAUAAAUAAAUAAGAACAAUAUUAUUUUCAAAUAGAAUAUUUAGAAUGGAGUAUAUUAAAAGUUGAGAUGACGAAUUGAUGAUCACAUAAUGCAUAUGGACUUUCUAUUUCAAGAAACUAAUAUUUUUCUUUUCUAAAUGAACUAAUGUAUGUAAUAAUUUUCUUUGUAGAGGAGAGAGUAAGAAAUUUUUUCAUCUAUGAUUUUUUAGAUUAUAAAGGUUUACAACUAGAAAUUCUUAUUUAUUUUUUACUGAAUUUGCCAUAGGUCAAUUCUCCUUUUUAAUAGAAAUUAAAAAGAAUACUCAAAGUUAAAGAUUCUAACAUUAAAUAAUUAAGUUUUCUUAAGAAACUAAAAAGGUAAAUAAUUUAUUUAUUUUUCUUUAAAAAAAAAUAAUAAUGAAUAAAUUAAGAGUUAGAUAAUUUUAUUAAUUUUUUUUUAACAAUAAGGUUACCAAAUAUAGAUAUUCUAUAGAAAAUAGCUCUUCUUAAUUAUAUGAUAAUUAUUAAUUAGAGAGAUGUUUAAUAAGUUUUUCUCACAAUAUGUAAUUUUAAAAAAUAUUUAUUAAUUAAAAAAUUAUUAAUGAAAUACUAAAAAAAAAUUAAUAAGGUCUUUCUAAAUGAAACCUUAGACAAGUACUAUGUUCGCCUAUAUUUAAAGUCACCCCUAAAAUUGACAUGGAGAGUUUAGUUCUAGUUAAAUAUUGCCGAUACUCCUCUAUAGAGGCUAUAGGGUACUCGAUAUGUUUAAAUUAUUAAAAGAAUAAGUAUCUGCUUCUCAAGAUUUUAAAGAUGGAACUUCAUAUAUAUUAUACUGUUUUUUUGGUUUUCUUGAAAGUUGACGUGGCUUUACGUUUUAUACAUAUUGAUCAUUAACUUUAUUCUUAUGUUUCUUAAAUUUUAGUGGAUUAAUUGCUUUAGCACUUGAGCGAUGUCAUUUGUUAAACAAGAAAUACCUGCUUAAAUCAAGCGCAGCACCUAAAGUCUUUCUCUUGACAAACAAUAUUUAUAUAAGAUUGAAUUGUUUGAUUAUUAUUAUAUUCCUCUUUUUAAAUAUGUACGAACUAUUAUAUUGUUUAGAGAACGGUGUGCGAUCGAAUAGCUAGAUUACCAAUACUUUUUUUCUUGUGCUUGAUUUAUGACGAAUGAGUACAUUCACUAUUACAAAAUAGGAAAAAGAUGACAUGCAAUACGUGACGUACGUAUUGUUAACUGUCAUUACUUAAUUUAGAUGAUUUUUAUUUAAUUUUGAAAAUCAUCUCUUAUAAAAUUAUUUUUACUUGUAACAAAAAAAUUACUCACCAUUAAAUGAUAAAUUAUCUUUAAUUAAAUAAAAUGUGACUCAAAAUCUCCUAUUUUAAAAAUUUGUCAUUUGUUUUCAAUUAUAAAAAAUUAACUUUCCCUUUUUAUUUUCUUUGUCUCCAAGGAAAUACCAACUCUCUCUCUUUCGGCCUCCAUUUCUCUGAAAUUUCACAAUCUUUAUCUGUACAAUCCCCUUUCUCCUACAUAAAACAUCUUCUUAUCUCCUACUUCUAAGUUGUGAACCCCUAAUUUCACCCAUUAUUUAUACAGCUUUAAAAUAGUAAACUUUAAUGCUGCGUUUACUAAACUAGAAUCGGAAUGAACUAGAAUCGGAAUGAACUGGAAUCGGAAUGGGUAGGAAUGGAAAUGGGCUGGAAUGGGAAUAGGGAAUAAGAAUCAAAAUAAGUUGUUUACUUGAACUGUAGGAAUCGAAAUCGGAAUGAGUUGAAUUGUCAUUAAUGUGUUUACUUUGUCUUGGAAUCGGAAUCGGAAUCGGAAUUAAUUAGAUUGUAACAAAUUACUAAAAAGUACUUAAUGGAUUAUUUUCAUAAUUAUUAUUAACUAAUAUAUUAAUUAAUUGUAAAUUUUUUAAUUAAAUAUAAUAACUAUAAUAAAAAUUAUUAUAACAAUAUAUUAACUAAUAAUAUUAAUAUUAAUUACUUAAUUAAAAUAAUAUAUUAAUUAUUGUGAUUAUUUAUUAAAAAUUAUAAUUAUUAAUAAUUAUUGUUAAUAAUAUAGUAAUAUAUUAAUUAGUAGUAAUAAUUAUAUUAUUUAUCUAUUUAAUAAUAAUUAAUUAAUUAAUUAAUUAAUAAUAAUAUAUGAAUUAGUUAUAAUAAUUAUUGUUAAUAAUUAUUAUAAUAGUAUAUUAAUUAAUUAAUUACAAUAAUAAUAUAUUAAUUAUUGUGAUUAUUUAUUCAGGAACAAUAAUUAUUAAUAUAUUAUUGUUAAUAAUAUAUUGAUAUAUUAAUUAAUAGUAAUAAUUAUAUUAAUUCAUUAAUAACAAUAUAUAAAUUAAUUAUAUUAAUAAUUAUUAUAAUAGUACAUUAAUUAAUUAAUUAAAAUAACAAUAAUAAUAAUAGUAAAUUAAUUAUUGUGAUUAUUUAUUCAAAAAUAAUAAUAAUUAUUAAUUAUUAUUAAUAAUAUGUUAAUAUAUUAAUUAAUAGUAAUAAUUAAUUAAUUAACUAUAAUAAUAAUAUAUUAAUUGUUGUAUUUUUUAUUCAAGAACUAUAAUUUUUAAUAAUUAUAGUUAAUAAUAUAUUUAUUUAUUAAUUAAUUAAUUAUAAUAUUAUAUUAAUUAAUUAUAAAAGCGGACAAAAUAGGCAUUUUCAAUUUUGGGGGAGGGCAAAAUGGUCAAUCCUGGGAAUGGGAGACUCAUUCCCAUCUCCCCAUAUGGGAAUCAAUCUCUUAUUCCCCAUUCCCAAAUAGUGGUGGGCCCCACUAUUCCGAUUCCGAUUCCUGCUCCAUAUUUGCAAAGUAAACACAAUCAAUUAUUCCGAUUCCGGAGUCCAAUUCUCCAAUCCGGCAAGUAAACGCACCAUAACUGUUCACACAUGGUUAAAGUGAAGACAAAGAAGAAGUCUUUAAGCUUUUUACCACACAUUUUGAGGAGACUAUUAUAAAGCUUGGGACCACACUAUCAAGUAAAAUAUUGAAGCGUCCGACCACCUUUAAUUAGAUUAUUUGUUCUUGGGUGGUCUACACGUGCUCUUUUUUUUUUUUUUUUUUUUUUGUCUAAUAGCAAAUAUUGACAAAAUGGAUGAACAAUAAAGUUUUCGCUGGGGAUUAGAUUUAAUGAAUGAGUUUAUACUGUUUAUACUUGUAUAUUUUAAUGAAAGUAUAAAUACCAAAGUAUUUUAUCAUAUAUAUGCCUAGCACUUAAUACAAAUGCUCACCCCCAUAGCAAUCCAUUUCUUGUGCUUUUAUACUUAGUCUCUGACUUCAUGUCCAUCAAGCUUUACAAUUGACUUCUAAGGUAUUAAUAAACUUUUACAACGAGAAAUGAUUAUAUAUCCCUUUUUCAAUAAACCUUUACACACUCACUAGCACUCAUUUUUUGAAACGAAACUGAAGUUUACAGAGAUUGCACUCUUCAGGAGUAUAUUUGCAAUGAUAGCUCAAAUACAAAUCAAUAAAUGUGUGUCAGCAAAUAAAAAAACUCGAGAUUUUUUUUUUUCUGCUUUAAACUCUAAUAUGGAUUGCAAAAGUUCAAUUUGAAAUGAGUUUUCCUUGGCGGUUUAUUUAGAUUGAUCAAUAAAAUUAGUCAUUAUUGACUUUUCAAGCAUAAUCGGUUUACUGCUCGUAAUGAAAUGGAUUGAUGUUUGCUGAUUGAAAUUUUUUCACAAUCAGAUUGCUGCUUGGGAGUUGUCGAUUUACUAUUUAAUUCUAGAGAGUUCACUGAUUGAAGUCGGCUUGUGGCUUGUGAUUUAAUCAGUUUGCCAUUUGAUCCAGAGACCCCUCUAUUGGAAGUUAGCUUGCCGCUUAUGAGUAAACAAUUUGCCAUUUAAUUCUAGAAGCUAAUAUCAACCCACUUGAUUAGCUGCUUCAAGUCUAGCGGUAUGCUGCUUAAUUUCAGAAACAUUUCCCAACCUUAUCAGCUGCCUGCUUGAAGUUAGUGGUUUACCGUUUGAGUACUAAAAAGUAUAGUUUUGUCCAAACCUACUGAAAUAGCUAUAUAAAUGUACAAGGAAAUAAUUGUAAUCCUAGCUACCCUUCUCUUUGAUCUCAUCCCCAACCAUCAUCUAAGAACAUAGAUUCCCAACCACACUAUACCACUUUGUUGAUAACUUUACCAUAUGAGUGACUGUGUCCGUUCAACUUAAAAUAACAUUUGUUUUUCGAAACCUUUCAAAUCAUUCUUAGUAGAGUUCAGUAACUCAUUUUAUAAGAUUAUAUUUCCACGUAAAUGAAUUUUUCUUAAAAUAUAAUGAAAGAAUAAGUUGAGGUUUUAAAUGCUUUGAUCAUGCAUUCAUUUGCUCAUAUGAGCUUUACAAAAUGAAAUAUCUAAGCUCAAUAACCCUAAUGCCCAUUCUUGUCUAGAUAGAGUUUUGUGCAUUUGAAUACCUUAAGCUUAUGAACAAUGCCUUUCAUAUUCUACCAUUGACACAUGGUUUGUUAUAGUAAAAAAUGAAAGACUGUAUAACUAUAUAGGUCAACAAAAUGUUCUAAAGGAAUGGAGUCAUAUUGAUCCAGUCACUAAAAAUUCCCUCAGAAAAGGGUAGUUGCUCUAAGGAACCAAGAAUAGAGAAAAACUACUCUAAGGAACCAAGAAUAGAGAAAAAGUACUCCAAGAAGAAACAAGUAUAUAUAUAAAAUUAGUGCUUUAAGAAGAAAUAGGUAUAUAUGAAAAAAUAAAUGCACUUUUUUUUUCCAAAUCUCAAAGUUUAAAAUUUUAUCACUUAUAAUGCUAUGAUUAAUACUUUUACACAUAUAUAAUGCAAGGCAAAUCAUGCAAGUUAGCAGUGGGCAAUAGAAAAAUGUUGUAGCCAAAGAUACAAUGUUAGAAAAAAUUAUCCUAAUGUGAUUGUGCAUAGAGUACCAUUGUACCAUUGAUAGUCACAUAUGUUCAUGUGGCUGUUAAUAUUGCAAUUAAAGGAGAUGCCUUUUUACCAAGGCUUAGUGGGUAUGACUUAGUUCUUGUUAGCCAUGUCAUUGGAUCCCAUGUUGCUUGGUGUCACUGGGCUUUUAUAAACUAGGUGUGGCAACCCGCGUGAUGGCACUAAGAACUCCACUUAGCCAGCCAACCCAAACCCAACGGAAGCAAUAUAAUAGGAAGCAUAUCAGCGCUCGCAAAUGGAGGUUAUGCAAGAGCACUUUCUCGCCAACACAAAGAACAACACGCACACAAAACACAAGAACACAAGUAUUUGGCUUUUUAUAGAGGCACCAACCCCCAACUUUUCUAUUUCCGCAAUAAGAAAAGAUUUACAAACAGUUUUAGUUUUAUAUGCUCAAGGACAAAAUGCUCAACUCAAAACUCGCGCCCCAACAUACAUCCCCAUCACUAUUUAUAUACAUGGUUUGCAAGUGACACACCCACUUGCUUAGGUUAGGUGGCGCACCACCCUCACGCCACCUUAAAUCCCUCCCCAAGUUUUUAGGCACCCACUAAGCAUGAUCCUAUGAGCACAUCUCCACUCCCCUUGAUUUGAGCAAUCGCUGCCCACCAUGUCCAUUAGCAAGGAAUCAUGAGUUGUAACUGCCACACCUACUAUCUUGCUCCUCAUUUUUAGGCACAUGAUCAAGGCCAUGUUCUCCCACUCUAGUUGUACCCGCAACUGCCACUCACGCUUAAUUUUAGGCCCACUUCUUGGAGAGUUGCAGCCAACCUUGCUCCACGUCUAGCAGCCAUUGUCCAUACCUAGUCAACGCAUGAACGCCUCUAAUUUUCGCAUGAUUCAGCCCCUACGUGCAUGCCUCAUGUCACUACACAUUCACGCGCACUUUGGCACACAAAUAUGCCACAAUCUCGCAGUUGUUCACGCAAUCCAAUAGCUGACUCGCACGCUGUUGAGCCCCAUACUUGCACGCCUUGUGCCAUGCUCGCUUGCGCACCUCAGCGCCUUGUGUUCGCAUGCCCAUUGCGCCCAUGCUCUUGUUAGAUGCUGAGUGCGCCACCCACACACGCCCUCGCACGCGCUGUCCUGUAUUGCUUGUGCCCAUGCCACAUCAUAUGCUUUGCUGCCGCGCCCUAGCCAAUGCGCCAACCUUGCCUUGUUUCUGCGCUCACCACAAGCACUCCCAUUUGCUGCCAAGACUCAGCACAAGUCCCCAAGCCAAGCCAUGAUAGUUGGCCCCAUGACUCACGGCGGUGAUACUUGGCCUAAACAAUUUGUCAUCUGGAAUGAUGUUGGGGUACAUAUUUUUGGGUCUAUCUCAUUUGGCUGGCCCUAAAGCCUCAAGUCUAAAAGGCUUACUUGACGUGCAAUUAAUAUUAAGUUUUAGACUUAGAUGAAAUUAGCCAAAUAAUAAUAUAUAUGAAAGAAAAAGAAAAUCAAGCUGUAACAGUGAUACAAAAAGGAAGAAAAAGACAAGAGAGAAAAAAAAGAGACAAUGGUGUAAUAUUUGUUUUUUGAGGCAAGAGUUUCAAGUUUUGAUUGGACGAUCGGAAUUCCAUUUUAAUUUUGUUUUCUUUUGAAUUUAGUGGGUAAGUUAUUGGCAUCACCUCUACAAUCCUACUUGUCUUGAUUUUUGUUUUAUCCUUCUGUUGGUUGUUAUUUGAGAUACCUACUUAUUAGAUAGAUAAAUAUUAAGUUGUUACUAUAGGCAACGAUUGUUGAGAUUCUUGAUGUUUUUAUGUUGUUAGCCUCUAGUGUUAUGUAGAGAUAAAUUUUUUCAGUAAUCCCAUUAUUAAUAUAGUUGAAGGUUCUAUCGGACUACCAUCCCAUGCGUUUUCUCGAUUUAGGGUUUUCACAUAAAAAUCUGUGCCUCUUGUGAUUGGUUUAUUGCUUUAGAUUGUGUUGUUUUAUUUUUUGUUUGUUAAUUUAUGGUACAUAUCAUGUUUUAAUAAAAAAAAAUGGGACAUGGUCUGUUUCCUCUUACUUUGCAACUGCUUAUGUGAGUUCUUUUCCCAACACAUCUCUAUAAUUAUUGUUUUUCUUUGAUAUGUCUUAAAUUAAUAAUAAUAAUAUUUUUUAUUAUUCUAGUUACAUAAAGAAAUCUAUUAAGAAUGUGCAGGAAUACAAAGUACCAGCAAAAAUAGAUGCUCUUUGCAAGUACGCUUGUUGAGGGUUGACUAGAUCAUCAUUUAGUGAAAUUUAUCUUGGGGACUUUGACAAAAAACAAGCUGAAUUAUAUUUAUCAAUUGACGACAUUGUAUGAUUCUAUGGCGUGGAAAAAAUUGUUAUUGUUGCACAAAGUAAUUAAAUUACUUAUUUUCUUAGCAAUAUAAUUAGUUAUAAUUUUUAUAUAUGCAGUGAAGUAAUUAUUACUUGUUUUCCAUAGGCAUCUUUACGAGGUCUUGAAGGAUCAUUACCUAGACCAUAUUUAUAAAAUAAAUCUAGUAAUCCUUCAACCUUUUGCAAUAAAACUUGAAAUGGUGAUGAGACUAGAGCUUGUGCAAUGUUAUCAAGAAUGGAAAUACUUGAUCUAGAAUAGCUUAUGACAUUUCCUUACAAUACCAGGUUUGUUAUUUUAUUGAUUGUACAUAGCAAUUGGAUUUUGCUUUCCGUUUCUUUUAUAAAAAUAUGCAAGACAAGUAUUUAUCACUAUAUGUAGCAAAGGUUGGAUGUUGAUUGUUGUGGAUCCACACAAAUUUAUAGUAUUUUUUUUAUUCACUAAGUCAUGAACCUCCCCCUAAUUUGAAGAACUUUUUAUUAUUGUAAGUUGUCAUUUUUUGUCAAUUAUAACCCAUGUAUUUUUAACAUGUUUGACCAAGUGUGUACUUAAUCAUGUAUCUUAAGUGCUUUCAAGAUUUUUGGGGCAAAAAUGGGAAAUGCGAAUAAAAAAUCCUUUGCUCGGAAGAGGGUUAAGGUAUAUGAAACUGUACAUAUAUAUGUUCGGUUUAAAUUUAUUUACAUAUGCACAUGACAUCGAUUAGUUUAAAAUUCACAUGUAGUGUCCUCAAUAAACUACAAAUGUUGAAUGCCGAUAUUAUGUCAUUAGAUUUAUGAAGUAAUCAUUGGAAACCAAGAUGAUACAAUAAAAGACUUGGUACUAAUUUAUAGAUUUCAUAAUGUUGAUGCAUGUAUUAGUAUUGACUAUUUUGUAUAUGAUGUAUAGUUUGUUGGACGAGAUAGUUACAAUCAAAAGAAUAUUGAUGAAGUAAAAAUGGAGUGGGCAGAGUACAUAUGACAUAAUAUUUUUCCCUAAAUUUUGUAGCACAAUGACUUUGCAAGCUUAGUAAAUAAAUAGUAUUAUUUUUUAUCAAUAUCUUAGUUAUUGCCUUUGUUUCAAAAUAAGACAUUAAAAGGAUUAAUUUAUGAAAUUAUUUCAAUCAUUUUGAUAUUGUAAUCAAGGAAGGUUCAUCAAAAGAUUUCACUCACCAACUUUCUUUGGAUUUGGCAUGAUUAUUGGAGUAGCCAAUAGGAUGGCCACAUUUUGUUGUUAUUGUGAAGGAUGUAAUAUUUUUCUUUUAAGAGAAAAAGAGUUAUGGAUACCUAGAUACUUUAAUUUGGAAAUUAUAAACAUUAAGUUUUUUUUUUUAGUAUUGUUUAUGAUGUUUAGGAUUUGCAUGUGAUUAAUGCAAUUGCUUGAUGAAUAUUUAUUUUUAUACUAUAACUUUUCAAAAAAAUUAUUGCACUACAUGUUAGCAUAAAUAUUUAUAAUAUUAGUAGUAGUAAUAGUAGUAGUAGUAGUAGUAGUAGUGUAGUAGUAGUAGUAGUAAUAAUAAUAAUAAUAAACAUCCAUUUUAGAUCUUUAGUAAUGUAUUCAUAUUAUGGUGACUACUAUCAUUGACAUUCAUUACUUAAAAUCAAUCAUUUAUACUUGAAGAAAAGAGAGUUCUUUUAAAACAUUAGAUGACUGUUUUUUUGAGAAGUAAGUCAUCUAUGUUGAUAUCAAACAUAGUUCUUUACAACAUUAGAUGACUUUUUUUUUUUAAGAAAUGAGUAAUUUAUGAUGCUUAUUAGAUGACUCUCUUUACGACUCAUCUUUUGUACCUCGUUUUAGAUGACUGCUACAAAGAUUACUAAUUUUACUUUGUCAUCAUAAGGUUAGUUUAAACGUCAUCUAUGUCGUUUUUUGUGGUAGUGAAUCUAUAUAUUUUGUAGCAUGGAAAAUAGAAAAUUUAUUUAACUUAUGUUAAUUAAACAUAAACUGAAUAAGAAAAUCCUAUGAUUCCGUGAUUUAAAUUAUGGCAUCAAUGCCAUAUAAACAUAAAUUUUAUGAAAUACGCAUAAAACUAGUAAAUAAAAAGUAAAAUAAGUAAAUUAGUGAAAGAAUGGUAAAUUAUAUAAUUGCAAACAAGACAAGCUCUUGUGAAAAUAAUAUAAAACUUGUAAAUCAAUAUUAAACUUAUAUUAAACAAAAAAAUUUGAUUCAUUUAAUUUGACUAAACAAAGAAAAAAUUCACUCAUCAAUUGAAAAAAAAAAUGUAUUGAAAACAAUUGGAAUAAGUUUUAGUGUAUUGGUUUAACCAUACAUUUUAUAUUCAUUCUAGCACAUUCAUAAUUUUUUUUCCAUUUUCUAUUAUAGUAUUGUUUACUACUAAUUAAGCAAAAUUAUUUUUCUUGAUGUAGAUCAAGUCAAAAAAAUAUAUACAAAAAAUUAUUCUUAUAUUACUAGACAUAUAUGAUUUCAAUAAAUUGGAUCUAAUUUUAGCCUUAAUAAAAUUUCACAUAUAUCAUCACAUGUAUUACAUAAACAAAAAAACUAUCAUUAUUCAAUUUAGAAACAAAAUCAACAAAUAUAUAAGAUAAUCAUUAUUAUAACGAGUUUUUAUUUUAUAUUUAUAAGGUUUUAUUUUUUAAUAUUAUUUAUUUUAAUUUACUUAUUUUACCAUCUAUUUACAAAUCUUAUGUUUGAUUUACAUAAUUUAUUUCUUAUUUUACACAUAGUUUACAAAUUUUAUGUUAUAUCAGUAAGUUUUUGUUUUAUUUGUCAAUAACACUCUAAUUUACCACUCCUAUGUUAAUUUUCUUGUAUUAUCUUUUAUUUACAAAUCUUAUUUUUUAUUUACUUAAUUUACGUUUUAUUUUAUACUUUGGUUUACAAGUUUUAUGUUAUAUUUGUGAGUCUUUGUUUUAUUUACUAAUAAUAUACCAAUUUACUACUCUUAUGUUAAUUUACUUAUUUUAUCUUGUAUUUACACUUUUUAUGUUCCAUUUACAUAAUUUAUGUUUUAUUUUAUACUUAAUAUUGAUUUAUAAGUUUUAUGUUAUAUUUGUAUGUUUUUGUUUUGCUUACCAAUAAUGCACCAAUUUAUUACUUCUAUAUUAAUUUACUUAUUUUACCCUCCAUUCAUAAGAAUUGUGUUCCACUUACAUAAUAUACAUUUGAUUUUACAAUUAAUGUUGGUUUACAAGUUUUAUAUUAUAUUUGUAAGUUUUUGUUUUGUUUACUAAUAAUGCCCCAAAUUACCAUUUCUAUAUAUGUGAAUUUUUUUUUACCUUUCAUUUAUAAGUCUUAUGUUUCGUUUAUCUCUGGUGGUUCGCUGUUCAAGAAUUCUUGUUUAAUUAAUGCUUUUUUUCACAUUUAUUGAUAAUUCACAUAUUUAAUUUAUGUUUUAUUUGACAGUUAUUGAUUAUGCACAUAUUCAAUUUAUGUUUUAUUUGAUACUUAUUAAUGAUUCACUUAUUUAUUUUAUGUUUUAUUUGACACUUGUUGAUGAUUCAGAAGUUUUAUGUAAUAUUUAUAUGCUUUUGUUUUGUUUACUAUUGAUAUACCAAUUUAUCACUCUUAUGUUAAUUUACUUGUUUUAUCUUCUAUUUACAAGUCUUAUGUUCCCCUUACUUAAUUUAUGUUUUAUUUUACACUUAAUGUUAUUUUAAAAAUUUUAUAUUAAUUUACAUUUCUUAUGUUUCAUUUAGAUAAUUUAUGUUUAAAUACAAUAUCAAUCAUGGCAUCAUAGAAUGAAUUUUUUUUUAAUAAUAUUUGGCUCUAAAAGGAAGUUCAAAUUGUUUCAUGCCCCCCUCAUUUCGUGGCCAAAACUAACCCCUGUUAAACGAUUUAUUAGGUAUUACUAUGGAUUUAUGAAGUAAGAAAUAAAAUUAUAAAUUAAUAAGAGCAAUGACAAACAUUUCAAAUGAUAAUAAAAUUUUAUCCUAAAUAAUGUGACAUUCACCAUGUGAAUGAUGAGAUAAUGUAAUUAAGUUAGGAUAUCUAAUACUGUUUUAAUAAUUACUUUAUUGAAUAAUUUCAUGUGUUCAAUUAUCUCCAUCCUUACAUUUAUUUAAAUAAUAUUAUUAUAUUAUUUAAUAAUAUUACAUUUAUUAAAAAUAAUAAUAUUAAACUUAUUUAAAUGUAAUAUUAUUAUAUUUAGUUAAAAUUAUAGUAUCAUAUUUAUUUAAAUAAUUAAUAAUAAAAAAUAUUUACCAAUAUAUUUUUUAUUUACUUUGUAAUUAAAAAUUAUAAUUUUUUAAAUAAGAGUAAAAUUGUUAUUUGAAACAAUUCACUCCUAAUUCAAGAUAAAGUAAACACAUAAACAAGAUUUUGAUCCUUAUUCCAACUUUCAUUCUAAUGUAAUAAAAAAUCUACUGCUACUCUUACGGCACACUCUCAAUCUCAGAAUUCUCACUCCAAUCCAAGAAGUAAACGUUACCCUAAAAUAUUGGACCAUUUGCAAAGGGAUCUAGUAGUCCUUGAAUUCGGCCCAUACCAGAAUAUUUUCUUUGCAAAAAUCUAGUAUCUUCAGCAGGCUCUCAGUAGUGUUCCUGAAGAGAAAAUUCCCCCUGCUGGCAAAACAAAGAAAUACCAUGCCACUUGGCUUAAGUGUACAAACUUUAUUUAAUAUUCUUUCAUUAACGUUCACUCACAAGAGUACAAAAAUCAGUUAAGUUAAGAGAAUGAAUCAUAAAAAUUCUGGAAUUAGAACAGACUUUAAUUAGUCAACACAAAACAUACUAGUUAUCCACAAUGCAUUAAGCUAACAAAUUAGAUUGAUCAACUGAAAAUAAACACUAUAUAUCUUAUAAUGUAUAUCCGUAACAGCAUAUAAUAUUAAUGGACAUUAUUAUAUAAUUUAGCUUCACCCAAUAUUUAAUUUGAUUAAGCUAAAAAAAAUUUCUUUGAUUAGCAGUCUCUCACAAGACACUUGAGUUAAUAAAAAAAUUAAGAUAAAUUUAAAUAUAAGGCAAAAUUUAUAAUUUCAAGCACAGUAAAGCAUAAAAGGUACUAAUUACCAAAGAAUGGAAGCGUAUAGUUAAUGAAGCAUAGAUUACUAAAAAAGACCCAUCUACAUCUGCUACUCACUUUGAGUGUAGAUUAGAAAAUGGUGUUGCCAUCUAUCUCGUUCCACUUGUCAUUAGUUAUCUCCAUGAGCCUUUCUCCAAUUACUGCCAAGUAAUUAUUUUUCCUCAAUACAACUUUUAUCUUCAUUUUCCACAAUGAAAAAUUAUUUCCGUUGAAUUUCUUAAUUUCGUAUUUUGCCGUCAUCGCUUUUCACCACAAACUAACUUUGCUAAGAUUGGCUCCCACCAUCUCACGUGAACAGUACCGUAUACGUGAAUAGUUCCAUAUAUGUGAAGAGUACUUUUACAUGAACAGUAUCACCAACUCCAAAAAAAAAAAAUACAACCAAUAACUCUGAUACCAAUGUUAGGAAAUUGGUGGGUGAAGCAGGGCCACAGCUAAAAUGAAAUUGGAAGAAAAUAAAGAACAAGUACAAAAGAGGACACCAGAAAAUAUUGUAAAUAUUUUACUACGUCCACGGGCGAAGACAGAAGGAAAAUAUUUUACUAGUAAUAUGAGGAUUACAAGUAUUGUAAUAUUUUGGCUCACUUCCCAGAACUCAAAUACACCCAAUCUCUCACUCACUAGACUCACAAGAGCUUUAUAAUUUUAAGCUCUUUAAAUCACUCAAACUCUCUGCUUUCUCUCUCACAAAAAAAUUGAAUUGCUUCGCUCUCAAUGGGAUGCCUAAAUGAGGGUGGGAAGCCCUCUUUAUAUAGCCAAAAUUUUGGCUUUUUUUUUUAUAAUAAGUCAACAUGGCACCACAAAAAAUGGCGGGUUGUGUUGAAUGGCAAGGCACCGCCCAUCCAGCCAUGACUUUAACAUAUCGAGCGUGUAACAGGGACAUGCUAACAAGGAAGAAUUCUAUUAUCAAAUUAUGGUUAUGAGAUGAAUUUGCAUCCAAUCCUCAAUCCAUUUUUGCAAUUCUUUUUUUUCAUAUAUAUUCUUCAAUUACUCAAAAAGGAAACAAAGUGGACGCACACAAAAUCUGCCUACUUACAAAUUUUUGGCAAAGUAUGUUUCAAAUCAAUUAACAGCAUCAGCAUAUCUUGAGAUUUUCCUUCUACCGUUAAUUGUAACACAAAAUUAUAAAAACAAAAUAAAAGGAGGAUAGAAGAAAGAAACAUCCACCCAUACCUUUGACAAGAAUGGUUCAAGAACAGUUACAACUUCCACGGACAGAUUGAGAGCGAGCACGACAGAGAGUGGGGCUGCUGUUGCUGGCUUGCUGCUGUGUGUGCGUGUUGAGAGAGAGUAAGAGCGAGUGUGAGAGGGACUGCUGGUGGCCUGGUGCUGCCGUACUGGGCUGCUGCUGCGGGCUGCGAGUGCUGGCAUGCGUGCUGCUAAGAGGGAGGCUCUGCUGUGGCUUGAGGGAGGGGCUGCUGCUGUUUCGUGUUUAGAGAGUUUGGGAUUACAAUUUAGGGUGCGUUUGGGAUUAAGGUUGGGGAGCUGUAACUUUUAAGUUACAGCAUUAAAGUGUUUGGUAAACACUAGCUGCUAUAACUUGGAAGUUAUGCUGAUAUAAUUUUUCACUUGUAUGAUGGAAAAUAUAUUAUAUCUUUAAUAAUUUUGUCAAAAUUAUUAUUUAAAAUUUAUAUUUACUAAAUAUUAUUAACUUUUAUUUCAAAAUUACAAUUUUUUUUUUCACAAUAGCUAUAGCUUAAAAGUUAUAGCACCUCAAUCCCAAACACACCCUUAGUCACUUGGAAUUUUAAGGAUUUAGUUUUAGGAUCAGGAUCCUCUCCUGAUCUGAUCUUUAUCUGAGCAAGUGCUAUUAAUAUGAUUGGUGGUUAAUAAAUGAAAAAAAAAGUAGUUAAAUCUUAACCAUUCACUAAUAUUAAAAUACAGGUGGCACAAGAUCUGUCAAAGAUUAAGAGUGCUCAGAUUAGGAGAGGAUCUCAAUCCUUAGUUUUAGGGCUGGUUUUUUUUAAUAUAAUUGCACAUGAACCGAAGAGUUUAUCUAUUCGGUUUGGCUCUGAAACCGAACCGAAUUCAUAAACCGUUUGGUGGAAGUAAAAUGAAACCAUCCAGUUUUUUCCCCUUAAACCGAACUUGCAAAUAGAAAUUAUUCGGUUCGAUUCGCCAAAAAUCGAAUCGAAUUUGAUUUCCAGAUAAUUUUUUCCAACCGAACAAAAGAAAAUAAAGAGGAAACAAAAAAGCUCUCCUCUCCUACCUUAAUUUCUUAACCGAACAUGGCCUAAAGGUAAUCAGCACCCUUUAUGCUUUACUGUAAUAAGAAUUAUAAAUUUUGUCUGUUAUAUAAUCCGAUCAAAACUGACCUUAUAUUGAUGAAGAUCAAAUCAAAGAAGCUAAGAUUUAAUAGAACCAGAACCAAGAACAAGCAAAGCAUUAAAGAAUUUGACAAGACCAUAUAACGUGGUUCGGCAACAAGAUGCCUACAUCCACGACUGAAAUCAGCUCUGCUCUGAAACGGUUUUUGAAUGAGAUGUGUAACAGAUGAUUUUUGAGAUUACAGAAAUUAAAACUUCCCUACCUGAGAUUUUUCCAUCUCUCUCAAAAUCAAUCACUAAGACUUUGUAACUGCCAGCUUGUUUUCUUUUAUAAUUCCAGGCAACAACUUUAACAACUGAUGGCCCCACACCAACGCCAGCUCAGCACGCCACCUCAUUCACUCUUAACAGAAUAUAACUACCCAGGCUUCACAAUGUCUUACAUUUACAUUUAUCUUAAAGUUUUUAUUAACUCGAGUGUCUUGUGAGUGACUGCUAAACAAAGAAUUUUUUUUUUAACACAAUCAAAUUAGAUAUCGGUUGUGGCUAAGUUAUAAAAUAAUGUCCAUAAAUAUUUGAUGCUGUCAUGGAUAUACAUUCUAAGAUACAUUGUGUUUGUUUUCAGACGAUCCAUCUAAGUUGUUAGCUUAAUGCAUCGUGGAUAGCUAGUACGUUUUGUGCUGAUUAAUUAAAGUCGGUUCUAAUUCCAGAAGUUUUAUGAUUCAUUUUCAACUUAAUUGAUUUUUAUACUCUUGUGGGUGAACGGUAAUGAAAGAAUAUUAAAUAAAUUUGUAAACUUAAGCCAAGUAGACUGAUACAUCUUUGUUUUCCAAGCACGGGGAAUUUUUUCUUUAACACAAACUAGAAGAUAAAAGCUUUAAUCAAUAAUAAUUACAACGGAAUUCCAGCUUAUGUCGCUGCCCCUUGGACGACUGAAUUGGUAAUCUGAAAAGAAACAAACGGAACUUGCCACGUUUAAUAUAUCUGAAAUAUCAAUCAUUACAAUGCCACUGCGCUCAGAAAUUCAUUUCAUCGCUGUCAAGUGGAUGAAAAGGCUAAUAACUUCCAGAUCAGAGAUGAAAAUCAUCAUCUAUCAAGUACGUUGUCAUUGAAAUCAACAAGUACAGAUGGAGUGGACACACCUUAAAUUCUCUGUCUAAUGGGUUCCUGCUGCCUUGCACUUGCUAAAUUGAGUUACCUUCAACACCAAGAAAGAAAAGCAAGCCGAAGCUGCAUUGAUUUCAUCAAUCCAUUCUUGGCAUUCAUGCAAUCAGACAUGCUUCCUGAGAAAGAAAGUCAAUGGUGCCAGCUUAAGGAAUAAACCACAAAGAAAAACCCACUCUAGUCUUCCGCUUAAUAUCAGUCAACUGAGUUGCUAUUUGAACAAGAAAAUGGAUCCAUCAUCUGAAAACAAACGCAAGGAACUAUAUAUCCAAAACAGCAAAUAUCCAGAAAUAACAUUAAUCAAAAUCUGCAACUCUAAAACUAUGACAGAUAAGCUUGCAAAUUUCUUUUGAUUACCUAUUGUUGUUAGCUGUAAGGUGAAUUCAAACACCUGGUUACUAAACGGCGGCGUUUCAAGUUUCUUGAUGGCUUAACAAACUCACAUGAGAAGCACGACCUUGUUAUUACUUUGAAACGGCAAAGAGUGCUAGCGUUUUGGAGUCACUUGAAUUAAGUAAAUCACACAAGCAGUCACGUGAGAUACAAUUGAAGCCAAGUUCAUUAUACCAGAAUCUUUGCACACGUGUCAUAUAGCUGUGCAUUCUGGGCUGUUAAGUUUGUUAAGAGACUGGUUUAUAAGCUGAUGAAUCAGGAGAAGCUGCGUGAAUUCGAGAGAAAUACUGAGAGGAAUUGUAGAGAGAGAGAGAGUUAAAUCUUAUUCUUUGUUCUUUUUUUCUCAACUCUCUGUAACAAACACCUUGAAUCUUUCAAUGAAAGCCUGCUGGUGGAUUCACCCGUGGAUGAAAGCCAUUAAUGGCUGAACCACUUUAAAUUUGCUGAGUGUUCUGUUGAUUGUUCUCUGCUCUUAGUUGUUCUGUUCUUGUGCUGUUAAUAAUCCUUUGUUUGAUUCAAGUGAGGUUUAUUGAUUCUUCCAAAUCGAUUAAUCUGUUACAUGCAACUCGAUUGAUCUUGACAAAGGAUCUUGGGUAGAAUCUGAUUUUGUUGUGUGAAUCGAACGAAUCAGAUUCUACACCUAUCAACCACGGUGACAAGAUUAGAAAAAUAAUUGAGUUGAAAAUGCUGUAUUGACAAUCCUCAUUUGAUUUUAAAAAAAAAUAGAGGUGAUGUGAUAUAUCUUUCAGUAUGUAAUCUAAACAAUAAAUUUUUAAAAUAACAAAAAAUGGCAUAUUUAUAAAAUCUAGACUAGGACAGAUCGACUAUAUUCUCUCCAUGGUAGUAAAUUUAAGAUAAAAAUAAAAAGUAAGAAGCAUUUUUUUAUCAAUUUAGCUAAUGAUACAACUGUAUGGGGGAUAAAAGAAAGCACAUUGUUGUAGGGGAUAUGAGAUGGAAUGGAGCAAUAAAAUCUACUCCUCUAAAUACGAUUGUUACUCGUAUAAGAAUUUCCCAUCUAUGUUAACGCAAGGAAUGUUUGCAAUCUUGGGCCACUCUUUUCCUUUAUCCCUUUUGCACUCUUUUUUCAGCUUCGGACAAGCUUCGAUUGUUAAAUCCAGGAGUGAGGUUGGAAGGCCCUCCUCUGGAAAAGAUUUAAGAUUUGGACAUUUAAUGAGCAGCAAAAAUUCAAGAGAGGUUAGGCUUUGAAAACCCAUUGAAGAUAGGUAUUUCAAUUUCGACAACUUAACAAUAAAGAGGUUUCUGAGAGAGGUCGGCAACAUCAUUCCCAUCUCCUCGUCCGGAAAACACUCUGCUUCAUCACAUCCAUAAAUAUCAAGGCUUCUGAGAGAGGUAAGCCUGUGCAACCCCCACUGAAUGAGUGGCUUAUAAAUUUUCACAUCAACUCCAAUACUAAGUGUUGUUAGAUUGGUGGGAAAACCUUCCUCUGGAAAAGAUACAAUGCUCGGACAUUCACUUAUGUAAAAAUGUUGAAGAGAGUUGAGUUUGUGCAUGUCACUGGGCAGGGCUUCAAGCUUCUCACAAUCGGCUAUCCAAAUGCUCUGUAAAUUAUGCAGGCCAUUGGGUAUUGACUUCAGCUCUGGACAACUACUUAUGUGGAGGUAUUCAAGCCCCUCAAGUAGCUGGAUUCCUGAUGAUAAACUUGUGAGCUCUGGGCAGCGCCUUAUCUCCAGAUGUUUCAGCUUCACUGAUGAAGAAGAAGAAGUAUCAUCAUCUCCACCAUCGACCAAAUGCUGCAAGUUCUUACAAUUCUCUAUCUCAAGCCUUUUAAGAGAUGCUGGUAGCUUGCUUCUUGCAAUGAAUGUUACAGAAUCACAAUCUCGGAUGUACAAACUUUCCAGUUGUGAAUUGUUGCCUAUAAUUUCCUCAGGCAAUGUUUUUAAAGCUCUGGCAUUUCCAAUUUUAAGAGACCGCAGAUUAUUGAGAAAAAAUUUAAUCUCUGGAAAUGAAACUAGACUUACGCAGCUUUCAUGAAUUGACACCUCUUCAGGGGAGGUGAUAACUUGCAACCCUUUCUCUGGCUGCUCAAGUUCAUGCCAUGACGUGAUCCAUUCAAAAUUUCCAAUCCGCAAAGUCUCUACUUGAUGAAGUCCUUGCUUUAAAAAUUUUCUUAACUCCAAAAUAUUGGAAAUAACUGUCACAGAGUCUGCUUCUGUACAAUCACUAUGUAUCAUCCCCUUGCAUCCGCGUAUCUGCAAUGUAUCAUUUGAAAUAGUCAUAGACUCGAUCAACUUUGAGUCAAUUGGAGUGCUGCACACAAGUCCCUUGCAUUCAUGAAUUUCUAAUUUGCAAAGAUUCAGAAAGCUUGAGAAUGAAACUACCAACUCUCCACAUUUACUAACAACUAGUUUCUCUAAUGAAGGGAGAUGCUCUGGCAAUUUUCCAGAGAAUAAGGGACAUCUUACCAUGGAAAGUUCACGAAGGCUGGAGAAUCCUGCAACAAUGCCAUUUUCUUCCAAUUUAGUGUCCCAAUACUCCCACUCUGGUAAAUUCUCAAAACAGAGAAUCUCCAAUGAUUGAAAAGGCUUUGAGCAAUCCUCACCAUAAACCUCAGCACCCAUGCUUUUCAGUUUCAUCAAACCUUUAAUAGUAAGAUGUUUAAGUGAACUCAACAACCCGAGCGAUGGCAAGGAUGUGCAAUUUUCACAGUUUUCUAAUUUAAGAACCUCCAUCUUGGAGAAAAAAGAUGUAUCUCCUAUCCAAGAAGGAAAUUUUUUUCCACCAUAGCCCUCGAUUGCAAGUUUCUUGAUGUUUGUACAAGGUUUUAGCAUGCCAAGUACAAGUUCUUCUCCAUCCUUAUUUCGUGAGUUGUCAAACUGAGAUCCCCAUUGCAAUGACAAUGCUUCUAGAUUCUGCUUCUCGCAUAACAUCGCUUCGCUUGCCUCCCACGUACGGUCCACAUUUUCCAAUCCUGAGAUGCAAAGUUCUCCGCCAAGAAAAUUUAAAUUCUUCAAAUCCGUCAAAGUGGAAACUUUUCCCUUGCCCACAAUAAAAUUAGACAACGUUUGAAGACACUUCAACUCCUUCAUUCCCGGUGGCAUCCCUUUUAGUGAAUUUGCACCUUUUAUAUCGAGAUGACGUAACUGAAGCAAAUUCCCCAUUUUGGAUGGCAACUUAAUCAAACAAUAACAAUCUCUUAAUAUCAAUAUUUGCAAGUUCAGUAGCAAGCUUGUUGACUCGGGUAAACUUUUGAUACUAGAGCCUUCGAGGUUGAGAUACCUUAGAGAUCUCAUAGUGUCAAAAGAAAUGGGUAACUGGGUGAUGUAGUAUCCUUUUAAAGAUAGCACCCUUAGCUUCUUGAAUUUUGGCAACAACUCCGAUAGAAACAUGUUAGUAAUGUAAGUGGUGGCUCCUAUUGUGCUUAUUUGCAAGAAUGUCCUCAGCUGUGCAAGUUGAGCAUUACCGAUAACUUCAAAUUUAUUUUUACCAUCACACCAUCCUUGAUUGUAAGAAUAAUGACGAACCCUUUCAAAUCUUCUCGAUGGCUUAUUGACCUCUUCUAACCUGAAAAUAGUGUCGCCGGAAACCAAUUGAGUGAGAUCAUGAACUAGGUCAUGCAUUACAAAUUUAGAGCUAUCAACACAUGAUUGCUGGAAAAUUGACCUUGACACUAGACCUCGAAAACACUCUCUUCCCCAUUUUUCUGGCUGCUUAUUGUUUUCGGAACAUUGCUGGAUGACACCUUCAGCUAUCCACAAAAAAACAAGCUCAUUCUGCUCAAAUUCAUAAUCUUUAGGGAAAAUAGCACAAUAAGCAAAACAUCUCUUCAACUGAGAAGGAAGAUAGUGAUAACUCAAUCUUAACACUGAGAGAAUGCCAUUUUGUUGAGGAAGAUCCAAUAUAUUGCUGUUCAAUAUUUCAUCCCAUUCAUCAUGUCUCUUGGAACGUAAAAGUCCCCCAAGAGUUUUUGCUGCUAGGGGCAAGCCUCCACACUUUCCAACAACUUUCUCGCGAAAUAAAUCUGAAAUUUGUUGUGCAGUAAUAUCUUGACCCACAAACGCGUGCAUCAUGAACAGGGACCAGCAAUCUUCAUCUGACAGGCACUGUAGGUUAUAUUGUUGAAUUGGUUCCAUUGUUGAUGCAACAUGUGCAUGGCGAGUGGUGACAAUAAUUUUUACUGUUUGGUGCAGCAGCCAGGAAUGGAGCUUUCAGAUCUUCCCACAAGCAGUAGUCCUCGUUCCAUACAUCAUCUAAGACCAGCAAUAAUUUUUUCCCAUCAACAGCCCUUUUUAUCUGAACCUGCACUUCGUUUAAAGCCUUGAGAUCACAUGAUGCGAAGGUGAUUGACUCAAGAAGAGCCCUUGAAAUGUUCAACACAUCAAAGUCAUCAGAGACACAAACCCAUGCUUUUACAUCGAACUUGGAGUCUUCAAUGGCCCUGUCAUUGUAGACCUCCCGAGCAAGGGUUGUUUUUUCCGACCCCAGCCAUGCCAACGAUUGGUAUUACAGCAAGGUUGGAAUGAUCACUUGACGUAUCAGUCAGUACCAUUUCAAGCAUUUUGGCCUUAUCUUGCUGCCUCCCAAAAACAGCACGUUCAAUUGACACACUUGAAGUGGGUUGUUCUUCGUUGUGCAGUAGUAGUUGAUGAUGUCCCUCCAGGAGUCAAUUGCAAUCCAAGAUGAAUUCUUUGAUUGCAGAGUCGAUCAAAUCGGCCGGUGAUAUCUUUUAUGCUGGACCGCAUUUUGCCAUUGAAAUUAACAGUGUUCUGAAUUUUGAAACAACCGAAACAAGCUGCCGGGACGAGCAUCUGAACUUUGCUACUGCUGGCUCCAUGAUCACGAUCUGCAAUGAACUUGCGAUCCAAAGCCUUGGUGGCAACUCAUCAAGAAUGUCCUCAGCAUCAUAAGCCAAGUCUCGGAGAUCGUCCAGCCACAAUUUCACAGCCUCGUCCGUCAGUUGCUUCUCCUCUGCGUCCCUCAGCACAGCCUGAAUCAUCAUCAAACAGUCUUCCCAUUUCUUCAACUCGGAAGCAACCCCACCUCCAAGUUGGCUAACAAAGUUGAGCAAAUCACCACCAUGGGGAGCCAAUCUGUCAAAAAGCACCUGAAAGACAGCUGAGAGUAAGAGCUCUCCAACAGCCAUAGUUUAGUUUUGUACUUUUGUUCACAGGAAAGUAAAGGAGUGGAGUGUAGGAUCAAAUGGGAUUGAAUGCAAGUAGAGCAAAAAUCGGAAGCAGUGCAUCAAAAGCCUGCAGAAAUGGUUAGAUUCAAAACCGUGGACUCCACAUAUCACGAUCAUCAUCGAAAUUUUGAGAUGGCCGUAAAAUAAACUUCUUUUUCUUCGUUUUUCUAAAGUCAAGUCUUGCAUUGACUGAUUCUAGACAUUUCCAUUUCACACUGCGGUCUUGAAACAGAUUUUCUUUAUUCAUAUAAUUUCGUGUAUGGAUUUUCAAGAGUAGCUGUAGAAAUUUACUUUUGAGGCGACCAACUUUUUUAGCAUGCCGUAGAGUUGAAUUUUUCACAUAUACACAAAAGGUUUAUCAGAAAACUUAAAGAAAAGUCAGUAUUUGCUUCUAACAUAUAUUUCCUGCACUGGCCAGUCAAAUAAAGUAUCUUAGAAAAUCUUAAAGAAAAGUCAGUAUUUGAUUUUAACUCAGUUCCUCCACUGGCCAGUCAAAUAAAAUUUCUUAAGAAUCAUUCAACACCAAGAAAGCAAAUUGCAUCAACAUGCCAUCUGGCAUGUGGAAAUGAAAAUAAGAGACUCGGGAUAUUUUAAUCUGACUGUAUUUGAUCUCAGGCAGUACUGCAGGAUGUUAUAAGAAAUUUAAUUAUAUAUAUGUUUUAAAUAUUUUAUCUACGACUAUUAAUUAAUAAUAAAUUCAGCGAAAAAAUAUUAUACUUGAAUCUUGAUACAUGCAUAUGAAAGAAAAAGAAAUUAAGCCAUAAAUCAUGGAAUAGUUUUCAUAUAGCUAUAAAGAGUCUGAAAAUAAGCCUGAAGGAACCAACUACCAAUAAUAAAUUUCUCAACAUGAUGAAAUUGCCACGAACUUUUGUAACGGUUCAUUAUAAUCUUGAGUGAAUUCUAUAUGUUCCAGAAAUCCACAGUGCUUAGGAAUAUGACACCUUUUAUUAUCCAACACUUUAAAUAUCAAUUGGAUUAGAUAGAUUCAGGCAACCUUUUAUCUUCUACUUUUCUUCAGAAUAUGUGUUUGCCAUUUAUCUGAUUACAGGUACAGCAGGAGAUACAAUUUAGGUUGCGGCUGAUAUACAGCUGCCUGUGCAAGGGUGUGCUUCCUUGCCUCUUCAAUGAUAGUAGAUAGUAGUGUGAGCAAUAGAUAGCAGCAAAGCAACAUUGGGCCUUUAGAAUCUUAAUGACACCUUCAGCUAUCCACAAAAAAAACAAGCUCAUUCUGCUCAAAUUCAUAAUCUUUAGGGAAAAUAGCACAAUAAGCAAAACAUCUCUUCAACUGAGAAGGAAGAUAGUGAUAACUCAAUCUUAACACUGAGAGAAUGCCAUUUUGUUGAGGAAGAUCCAAUAUAUUGCUGUUUCAAUAUUUCAUCCCAUUCAUCAUGUCUCUUGGAACGUAAAAGUCCCCCAAGAGUUUUUGCUGCUAGGGGCAAGCCUCCACACUUUCCAACAACUUUCUCGCGAAAUAAAUCUGAAAUUUGUUGUGCAGUAAUAUCUUGACCCACAAACGCGUGCAUCAUGAACAGGGACCAGCAAUCUUCAUCUGACAGGCACUGUAGGUUAUAUUGUUGAAUUGGUUCCAUUGUUGAUGCAACAUGUGCAUGGCGAGUGGUGACAAUAAUUUUACUGUUUGGUGCAGCAGCCAGGAAUGGAGCUUUCAGAUCUUCCCACAAGCAGUAGUCCUCGUUCCAUACAUCAUCUAAGACCAGCAAUAAUUUUUUCCCAUCAAGCCCUUUUUAUCUGAACCUGCACUUCGUUUAAAGCCUUGAGAUCACAUGAUGCGAAGGUGAUUGACUCAAGAAGAGCCCUUGAAAUGUUCAACACAUCAAAGUCAUCAGAGACACAACCCAUGCUUUUACAUCGAACUUGGAGUCUUCAACGGCCCUGUCAUUGUAGACCUCCCGAGCAAGGGUUGUUUUUCCGACCCCAGCCAUGCCAACGAUUGGUAUUACAGCAAGGUUGGAAUGAUCACUUGACGUAUCAGUCAGACCAUUUCAAGCAUUUUGGCCUUAUCUUGCUGCCUCCCAAAAACAGCACGUUCAGUUGACACACUUGAAGUGGGUGUUCUUCGUUGUGCAGUAGUAGUUUGAAGUUUGGAUGAAUUCUUUGAUUGCAGAGUCGAUCAAAUCGGCGGUGAUAUCUUUUAUGCUGGACCGCAUUUUGCCAUUGAAAUUAACAGUGUUCUGAAUUUUGAAACAACCGAAACAAGCUGCCGGGACGAGCAUCUGAACUUUGCUACUGCUGGCUCCAUGAUCACGAUCUGCAAUGAACUUGCGAUCCAAAGCCUUGGUGGCAAACUCAUCAAGAAUGUCCUCAGCAUCAUAAGCCAAGUCUCGGAGAUCGUCCAGCCACAAUUUCACAGCCUCGUCCGUCAGUUGCUUCUCCUCUGCGUCCUCAGCACAGCCUGAAUCAUCAUCAAACAGUCUUCCCAUUUCUUCAACUCGGAAGCAACCCCACCUCCAAGUUGGCUAACAAAGUUGAGCAAAUCACCACCAUGGGGAGCCAAUCUGUCAAAAAGCACCUGAAAGACAGCUGAGAGUAAGAGCUCUCCAACAGCCAUAGUAUUAGUUUUGUACUUUUUGUUCACAGGAAAGUAAAGGAGUGGAGUGUAGAUCAAAUGCGGAUUGAAUGCAAGUAGAGCAAAAAUCGGAAAGCAGUGCAUCAAAAGCCUGCAGAAAUGGUUAGAUUCAAAACCGUGGACUCCACAUAUCACGAUCAUCAUCGAAAUUUUGAGAUGGCCGUAAAAUAAACUUCUUUUUCUUCGUUUUUCUAAAGUCAAGUCUUGCAUUGACUGAUUCUAGACAUUUCCAUUUCACACUGCGGUCUUGAAACAGAAUUUUCUUUAUUCAUAAAUUUCGUGUAAUGGAUUUUCAAGAGUAGCUGUAGAAAUUUACUUUUGAGGCGACCAACUUUUUUAGCAUGCCGUAGAGUUGAAUUUUUCACAUAUACACAAAAGGUUUAUCAGAAAAACUUAAAGAAAAGUCAGUAUUUGCUUCUAACAUAUAUUUCCUGCACUGGCCAGUCAAAUAAAGUAUCUUAGAAAAUCUUAAAGAAAAGUCAGUAUUUGAUUUUAACUCAGUUCCUCCACUGGCCAGUCAAAUAAAAUUUCUUAAGAAUCAUUCAACACCAAGAAAGCAAAUUGCAUCAACAUGCCCAUCUGGCAUGUGGAAAUGAAAAUAAGAGACUCGGGAUAUUUUAAUCUGACCUGUAUUUGAUCUCAGGCAGUACUGCAGGAUGUUAUAAGAAAUUUAAUUAUAUAAUAUGUUUUAAAUAUUUUAUCUACGACUAUUAAUUAAUAAUAAAUUCAGCCGAAAAAAUAUUAUACUUGAAUCUUGAUACAUGCAUAUGAAGAAAAAGAAAUUAAGCCCAUAAAUCAUGGAAUAGUUUUCAUAUAGCUAUAAAGAGUCUGAAAAUAAGCCUGAAGGAACCAACUACCAAUAAUAAAUUUCUCAACAUGAUGAAAUUGCCACGAACUUUUGUAACGGUUCAUUAUAAUCUUGAGUGAAUUCUAUAUGUUCCAGAAAUCCACAGUGCUUAGGAAUAUGACACCUUUUAUUAUCCAACACUUUAAAUAUCAAUUGGAUUAGAUAGAUUCAGGCAACCUUUUAUCUUCUACUUUUCUUCAGAAUAUGUGUUUGCCAUUUAUCUGAUUACAGGUACAGCAGGAGAUACAAUUUAGGUUGCGGCUGAUAUACAGCUGCCUGUGCAAGGGUGUGCUUCCUUGCCUCUUCAAUGAUAGUAGAUAGUAGUGUGAGCAAUAGAUAGCAGCAAAGCAACAUUGGGCCUUUAGAAUCUUAUAAGAAGGAUACAAGGAUUUACACUUUUCAGAUAUUAUUUUUACCAAUUUGCUUGCCUCCGUAAUCCCCUAGGGGAGAAAAAAGGAAAAUAAAAGUUAUUUUCUUCUCUUUGGUUACAUGAGUGAAAUUUUCUACCUCUAGCCCUUGGAUGGGAUGGAAAUUGCAGGCUAGAACAUAUAUCAAGGAAUUUGUUCAUGGGGAUCUAGGGCGCACCAAUCCAAGGUAGAAAACACGAUUGAAUAGUGUUAUAACAAAAAUCCUUGUUCCAGUUCAUUUUUUACCGUCGUGCAUAAAUAUUUUAUGUAGAGCACUGAUACCUAGACACAAUCAAGAUCAUCAAGGUAGCAAAUAAGAAAAUGUUCAUGCAACAAUUCCACUGUACACACAAAAUGACAGCACUGUUUAUACUACAGUGCCAUCUUUUUUGUCAUGGCCAAAUAUCAAUUUUCUUUUAUUUAUGUUGAACUUUUUGUUUCUCUUUUUUUCUACAGCAUUGGAUCAAUUCUAGGAUGCAGAGCAAAGACGCUGCAACGUGAUGUUACAAAUGUAAAAAUGGACUGUUUCCUAAUUGAAUGAGGUUACUCAUAAAUGACAAUGCAAGUUAUUUAUGGCCAAUGAUGAUCAUUAUUAUCAUUUAACACCUGAAUUACAAUAUUGAAAAUGAUUAUUAUUAUUAUUUUGAGAAGUGUGCCUUUAUGAAAAAUUAUAGCACCACUCCACGAGCUCUUUUUUGACAUUAUUUUAACCCAAAUGGAUUGUCUUUAAAAGGUUCAAGAAGUUAGAUCGUUCAAUAAACCGCAGGCUCAACUUUUCUUUUUACCAAAUCUCAUAAGUUCCUUUAUCGGGGCUACUUUAAGGAGAAAUUCUAGAAUACCUCUGAUAUAUUACAACCAAUUGAUGCAUACAUGCCAUGUAUAGUUGAAUUUAAUAUAACCACCACUUGUAUGAUAGUUUUUCAAAGUAAAUGCACACAUGUCAUAGCAUCAUUUGUUUGUUGUAUGGCUGACAUGGUACCUCCGAUGUAUUCUGGAAUUUCUCUGCUUUAAGAAACACUUUAUUGCCCACUUUAAACUCUAAGUUCCUCUUCCGAUUGUUUGCAUAGCUCUUUUGUCUGCAUUGAGCCACUUUCAUUCUUUCUCUUAUCUUCACAAUGGCUUUACAAGUUUGUUGAAACUCUUGAGCCCUAAAAUGCACAAACUUAGUCAACCUGUUUAUAAUCACCCAAAUUGUAUCAUAGCAUUUUUUCUGAUUUUGGCAAUCCUGAAACAUGAUCCAUGCCUAAGUGUUCCCACUUCUGCUAUAGCACCAUUAAAGACUGUAAUAAUCCAGACGAUCUUUGAUGCUCAACCUUGACUUGCAGACAUGUCAAGCAUUCUUUAACAUAUUUUGCAAUCUCCCUCUUAAUAUUAGCCUACCAAUAAAUAGCUUGAAGAAUCAGCUUUAAUUCUUACAUAUUAUAUAUUCUAGCCCACCAAUAUAUAGAUAUUGUGUUAACAUAUAUGUAUCCAUAAUGUUGAUUUUGAUGAUAACAAACAAGAUUAACAAAGAUUAAGCAUUUAAAAGCUCAAAUUAUUUUUCAUACAUUUUAAAUAAAUCAUUAUCUUCAUAAAUGGUUUUAUACCUAGUGGAAAAAUGAUUUUAUGAAAUUGAUUGUUUUUAAGUUGGUGGUUAAUUAAACAAGUUUUGAGAACUUCGAAAUCAAUAACUACUAUUUUGAAAUUCUAGAAAUGAACCUAUUUGAAAAGUCUUAUAAAGUUUUGGGGCAUAGCAUAAGUUUAGAAAGUUAUGGAAAUCAUCAUGUAUUGUUUUGAAAUUCUGAAAAUGGACUUAUUUGUAAACCUUUUUAAAAUUUUGGGUUAUAGUGUAAUUUUAGGAUAGUUUGAGGCCAAAUUAUAAUUUCAAAAAAUAAGUUCACUAUAGGAAACGACUAACCCAUUACUGUAAACGUUUAACCGAUAAUGGGCAGAAAGUCUUUAGACAAUAAAAGUGAUUCGAUUAUUGAAAAGCGGUGAUUCGAUAAUUUGAAUUGUGGCCUAACGGUAACUUGCUCGAGUCAAAAUGGCAAUCCAACUUGCAAUUAACAGUGAUCCAAUUAUGUGCAAAAAGUCAAUAACGACUAGUUUUCUUCUUCAACUAUAAAAAGGCUCAAUCAAAUUCAAAUGAUUGGCAUUGAGCUUACUCUUGCAUAUUUGAAUUGUCUUAAAUUUUUUUAUUCUUUCAUUGAAACACACUUUGGGCUUUUAUUUGUAAAUACAUAUAUUGUGUGAGUGAAAUUCUAUGUAAUAUUCAUCUUAAUAUCAAAAUUGAGAGAUUGGGAGUGUGGAAAACAUUUGGGAUUAGAGGUGUGAGAUUACCUCAAGUUGUAAAGGUUUUAUUGACACGUUGAAAGUCAAUUAUAAGCAUCUUGAAACCUUGAGUUGUAAGGUUUGGAUAGUGAAAUUCUCAAGUGCAUUGAGCUUAGAGGUAUGGAUGUAAACGGGUUUUGUUGAACCAUGUAAAAAUCUCGUAUUUUUUUUUUCUCUAUCCUUACCUUUUAAAUUUACUUGUUGAAAUAAUAAUUAUUAUUAUUGGUUGUGGUAGUUUUUGAUAUUGAAUUGUGGUAUUGCUAUUGAAGAAACUCUUGAAAAUCCAAUUCACCCCCCUCUUGGGUUGCCAAGCUAGUAUUUCAAAUUGUGCAUAACAUAUUGAUAAUAUUUUGAUCAUUCUUGGUGAUUAUCACCAGACCUAUCACCUUUUAGUUCGGCACCAUCAAAAACUCCAAUUAGGGUCAUGCAUGGUUUUUUGUUAUUUAUAAUACCAGUAAAGUAAUGCGUGGAUUGUGUGACACUUUAUCACGUCUAUUCUCUGCCUCAAUAGUUUUAUAAUCCCACAAUUUGGGGCUAUGUUGCUAUGGACUAUAAACAACUUUUUAGUAUACGGGAAGUUAGGAAGACCUAGCUCUGAAACCACACACACACACACACACACACAUAUCACACACAUAUACAAUGAGGAGAUUUUUUAUCUCGUUGAUUCUAUUGAUAAUAAAUAGGGCAAACAUAAUAGAAAAAAUGCGAAAGUUUCAGGAAUCAUGAUCAUUUGUGGUGGAGGAAGAAAUCCAUAUUCUAUAAAUUAGAGUAUUAGAAGUACUUGUUGGUGGAUCAUCAAUUAGAUGUUAUGUACAUAGAAAAAAAUGUGUUUGAGAGCAUUUAUUAAACACUGUUGAAAAUUCCUGAAAAGAUCAAAGAUUUUCUUAAAUCUAGGAGAGAUCUUGUGGUAAUAAAAAUUAGGGAAAAAUUGCAUCGAACAUCAACGAAAAUGGACACACUUUUCUUCCGUCAGCUUGUUACACAUCUUUAAAUGUAUUGCUAAUUGCUAAUGGAAACAGGUAUCCCCUCAAACUAAUUCAAAUUAUAAUGGAGUGCAUCACCACCUUAUGAAUGCAAGUUCUAUGGGAGGGUGAGCUCACUGAUGAGUUCCUGCCAACUAGAGGUAUUCGGCAAGGUGAUCUCAUUUCUCCUUAUAUCUUUAUUCUCUGCAUCGAACAACUCAGCCAUGGUAUAUGUGAUGUGGUCAACACAGGUUUUUGGACUCCCGUGCACCUCUCUCGCCAUGGAAUUCCUCUUACUCACCUUUUUUUGCAGAUGAUCUGCUUCUUUUAGCAGAGGCUUCGUGUGCUCAAGCCUCGAUAAUUAAUUCAAUUCUUGAAACUUACUGUAGUAACUUGAGAGCACGAGUUAGUAAGGCUAAAACCAGAGUAUAUUUCUCUAGGAAUGUUUAGAGUAAUGAAGCAAAAAAAAUUAUUAAUACCAUGGGCAUCAGUAUGACGAUUGAUCUUGGUAAAUAUUCGGUAUGCCUCUUCUUGACAUACGGGUCACCAAAGGCACAUAUUAGAGCAUCAUUAAUCCAGUUGAGCGGCGUCUGUCGAGGUGGAAUGCGAAUCAUCUUUCUCUAGCAGGGCGGAUCAAUUUAGCUCAAUCGGUCUUACAAUUAAUUUCUAUCUAUGCCAUGCAAACUACCAACUCGCCAGUGUGUAUCAAACAUAACAUUUAUCAAGCAUUUAGGCGUUUUAUUUGGAGCAAAGCUCAUCCUCAACAAAAAAUGAGCCUUGUUAGUUGGGAUAGAGUCUGCCAACUUAAGAAUUGUGGUGGUUUGGGUUUCAACAACCUUGAGCUAAUGAAUAAGGCUUUAUUAAUGAAAUUGGGAUGGAACUUGGUAGCAUCACCUAACAGCCUUUGGUCUCAAGUUUUGUGUACUAAAUAUAGUAUCAACCCUGCAAAUCUACCUUACACUUUACCCACUGGAUAUGGAUCUCACUUGUGGAAAUCCAUAGGAAAAGUUUGGCCAGAGACACGGCUGGGGAUUCGCUGGAACUUGGGAAAUGGCCGAUUGGUGCGGUUCUGGUGGGAUUGUUUGGUUACUAAGAGAUAACCUUUGAUUUCUUAUGUCCUUAGCCCAGUCUUUGACAAGAUUAUACACAAGGUGACUGCUGACUUUGUGGAUAGUGAUGGUAAUUGGCAGUAGGGUUUGUUUGGGCACUUGCUUCCAAGUAAUAUCCUCUUGCACAUUGCCUCUAUUCAACCUCCUAGGCCUGAGAGAGGUGAUGACCGUAUCUUUUGGGCAGAAUCAACAAAUGGAGAGUUCACAGUCAAGUCUGCCUAUUAUGCUAUUUCCAAUAUGGCCAUUCAUGCCAGAGGAUCAGAUUUGGAACAAAGUUUGGAGGUGGAAGGGACCACAAAGCAUUUGGAUUUUUCUCCGGCUAGUGAUGCACAUUAAGCUAAAAAUGAAAAAUGAGUUGACAAGGAGGCAUAUUCAGCUUGGAGAGUUUUGUGAUCGGCGCGGUUGUCCUUCGGAAGAUACACUGCUUGUUAUUCGAGACGGUAUGGUAGCCAAAUGUUUUUAGAAUCAUGUCAUCCCUACUUUUUUGCAUCCGCUUUUCUAUUCUUUGCUGUUGAGGGAUUGGCUCUUUCUAAACCUCACGAGUGAUAGAAUUGUGGGAUCAAAUUUGAAGUGGACGACUUUCUUUGGAGUGGCUAUCUGGCAUCUCUAGUUCUGGCCCAAUCAAUUUCAAUUUAUGCAUUCCUCUAUUAAUAGCCUGAGUAUACUUCAUGACAUUCGAACCAGGGCAGAGGAAAUCAACUGCAUAAAUAACAUAGGCCUAGUCACAACAUCUAGGAGAGUAGACAAAUGGAUUGCAUGGAGUGCCCUCACUUGGCCGUGGUGCAAGUUGAAUACCGAUGGAGCUUGUAAGCGUACAGGAGCAUCAAGUGCCGGUGGAGAAAUUCGUGAUCACAAUGGGGCUUGAAUUUUUGGCUUCAGAAUGAAUAUACGGCAUUCCUCUGUUACCAUGGCUGAGUUAUAGGGUUUAUAUCAUGGUCUAAAAUUGGCAUGGGAUCAUGGGAUAAGGUGGCUGGUGGUGGGAAUUGAUAGCCUAUGCAUCAUUAAACUAGUUAAGAAGCCUGUGGAUACUAUUAAUGAGUACAUUUCUCUUCUCCAGUCAAUCAAGGAGAUUAUCUAGCAGAAUUGGAACGUGGUCAUUAACAAUGUCUAUUGUGAGGCGAAUUUCACAGCAGACUAUCUCGCUAAUUAUGCUCUAUCUCUUCCUCUAGGUGUUCAUCAUCUUGGUAAUCCCCCACUUGGUGGGACUCCUGUUUUAUACCAUGACUUGUAUGGGCUGGCUUACCCUCAUUUUGUUUUGUUCUAUCUCUUUUUCGAGCCCCAUUUUAUCAAAAAAAAGAUGUAGACACUUUGUUUUUGGGCUGCUUUUCUUUCUCGUAUGAUUUCCAGGAAUCUAUUUGUUGAUACUACUUUGAUAAUUGAAAACACCAAAUAUCAGAUUUUUAAAUUCUUUAUGGUUCAACCUAGACUCACCAACUUAUAUUAUAACUAAAUACUUUUAUACUUGAUAAUAACCAACCACUUUUGAGUCGUGUCACUGCCAUCUUGAGGGGUGAGUGUUGGAGAAUAUAAUUGAUUGCCUUGAUGCAUUACAGAUUAUCCUUUCAAUUCCAUAAUAUUUUGUUCUCCAAAUUUAUAUACUUUCGUACUUUUAUUCCCUUAAUUUUAGAGAUUGUAUAGCUUAGUAUUUAGAUGUCAACUGGAAUUUUGAAUAUAAUUCUUUAUAUUUUACACAUGUAAAGUAAAAAAUAACUAUGAAAGCAUUUUCUAGUUAUUACAUUGUCAAACAUUAGAGCAACAAUAAAUUAAUAGACAGAUUAAAAAUAUUUUUGUAAUCAAUAUUAAACUUAAGAAGAGAAUUAUAAUUUGUUACUGCCUAUGAGUAAAGAUAUAUUGUAAUAAAAUUAUAAUAAAAUUGUAGGAUUUUUGGAGUUAAGGUGAGUGAUUAGAGCAUUUGUAGUAGAAGUUUGGGUCUAGGAUACAAAAGACUAAAGAUAUUGGAAAUUUACUAAUAAAUUUAGGGAUAUUUUUCAACUUUCAUUAUAAUUUAGUACAAGACAUUUACAUUUUUUUCCCCAAAAAUAUUACAAGUCCCACUAUCCCUGCCUGUCUCUAUUACAAUCCGCUCCUGCGUGUUCAAAUCAUAAAAGUGAUAGAUGACUAAAAAGUUACUUUUUGAUUAUCUUUAAGCAUAUCCUGUUAAAUUAUGCUUUUUGGAACCUAUCUAUUAACUUAUUUGGUCAAGGAAUGGAAACUCAAAACUAUUUAAUCCCCUCUUUCUUGUUAUUUAAAAAAUAUAAAAAAGAACUGCUACAUAUUUUUAAUUUAAAGCAUACAAAAAAUUUUACAAUUUACGGUUCUCUAUAAUUAUAAAACUAAACAAAAGAAAAUCUUAAUAAAAUAAUUAUUGAUGUUUCACAUGACUUAUUUUUUUAUUUUUCUAUGCAAUUUCUUGAGCAAUAGCGAGUUUGUCACUUGUUGCACUCAAAAUUGAUUCCACAUAAUCGUCCAUAAUGUAUGUAGCAUACAUUUACAAAAUAUGAAAAAAAAUAAAAAAUAAAGAAGUGGAAUAAUGAACUACCAAUACACUACAAGAAAUAGGUAAUAGAUGACGAAAAAUAACUGUCAUAAAAUGGAGAGCAUGACAGACAACUCAUUAGUCAUCUAUGUCACUGUCAUUAAUUUAUGACAGUAUAUUUUCCGUCAUGAAUUUAUAAUAGUAACUCACAAUCAUAUAUCCGUCACAUAAUAUUUUAAUAUAAAAAUAAUUAAAUUUUAAUUUUAAUUUAUUUAAAUUUUCGCAUCAUUUUUUUUUAAUUUUUGGCGGGAAAUUUAAUAUUCAAUUAUGGCGGAAAAUUUUUUAUGAUAGACUUUAUGAUGGAUAUUUCCCGUCAUAAACUCAUAUAUUUUUUAAAAAAUUAUAUUGUAAUUAUAAUUUAUUGAUGAAUUUCAGUUUACAAAUUUAAUUAAUUAAUAAAAUAAAUAUCAUAAAAAAAACUAAAAACAAUUAAUAUUAAUUAACAUUCAUUCGAUCCGAAAAAUUAAUUUUAAAAGGAAUACAUCUAGUAUCUAAUGUGAUCACCACCAAUACAUAAUAAAACAUCCCAAAUUAAAAAAAAUACCAUCCAAAAAUAUAAAACAACUGUUAAAUUCCAAUUAAACUCCAAGAAAAGCAUUUAAAAUUCUAGCCACCAAGCCAAGUUACCCAACAAAACUAGCAAAGAUUAAUGGAAAUAUUCCAACAGCAAGAUUUCCAGCAACAAUACAUCUUCCAGCAGCAAUAUUUUAACGGCCACAUACCCAGCAACACUCCAACCCAUACCCAGCAAUCCACCAUCUUCAAUAGCACUCUAAUUCCAACCAUAUACCCAGCAACAUUCCAACUCAAACCCAGCAAACUAGUCUAUGCAGAAUCAAUCAAAAUACCCUAUGGUAUCAAAUGCAUGACAUCAACACUACAAUCUUUAACCAUAAUAAUUUGACACUAUAAUUUUAAAUUUCAGCAAAUUGUAACAACUAAUAUCUAUAGUUUUAUACUCAUACUAACCAUUUUGCUGAUGCAAUAAGGAUGUCAGAAAAAAUGGUUAGCCCACUCCAAACUAACCUCAACUAAUCCCAAAGUUGUGCUAAAGUAAUAAUGUUCAAUUUUACCAUGCAGCAACUAAAACAUUUGAGCUUCAUGUAAUUUGAAACAUUAUCAAAAAAAAUGAAAGAGAAGUUUAUGUUAAAGAAAAAAAGGUAGAAAUACCUGGAUAGAGCUUAAUGUCAAUAAUUGGUUUUUCUGAUCUAACUCUUUAAGUUUCUGUAGUCGUUUUGCUCUAUGUUUCAAGCAUUUUCAAUGGCUCUAACCAUGUUAAUGCCCAAUUAGAAUUACUUCUGGACCUAAACUUAUGCAACAAGGGCAGGCCAAAAGAUCAAUCCAAUAGCUUCAAGACUCUUUUAACACUUUGAAAAUAAAUUAAUAAAUAAAUAAAGCAGCAAAGAUGACUGAAGCAUUUUUAGCCAAUUAAAAUAAAUCUCUGCAGUAGAAGGGUCAUCAUCGAUAAGUCUAUACCACACCAAUUUAAAAAAAAAAAAGCUCAUCAUUUCCCCACCUAUCAAACACAUUUUGGAACGAAACAAUGUGCAGCACCUUACUAUUGGCUCCGGUUUAUUAAAAAAUGUAUCAGAAUAGUAUGUAUAGGCAAAUUAAUCACCACAAGCGGAAAGAAAAAAUGAAGGUUAAAGUAUACAAACGGACAACAUUUACACAAAUUGUGCAACUAAACAUGCUCUUAUGGAUUGCUUCUCAUAUACAAGGUUAACAACUCCAAUACUCCUAUCAGCAGUUCUAUUAGCAGAAUUAUACCAUUUUACCUUCAGAGUUUGUCGAGUUAUUUAGAUCGCUAAUGCUGAUAUUUAGCUGAGCAUGGUUAGAUGCCUAGUCCGGAGCAUUCACUUGAUCAUAUCCAUCCCAAAAGCAGAAUCCGAUGAACUGAGGAAUUACCCAGAGAAUAAUGCAUACAAGAUACUCUCAAGGCAUUAGAUAUUAAAUCCUAUCUAUAUUUAAAACAAAUCACAGAGCAACAGUGUAAUGAAAGAUGAUAUUUCCCGUGGUUUGUGAAUUAUGAAAGAAGCCAUUAUGGCUGCCAGUUUGGGCUGUUAAAAGCAAUCACAACAUGGGAAGUUGAAGUUAAGACUUAAAAGAUAUCAGAAGUGAUGAUUGCAGUUUGAACAACAACAAGCAAAUCCACACAUACGAAUGUUAUAAAUAUCCUUUUCCGGAAAGUUUACAGGGCUACCCAUGCUUUGUCCUCAAAAUACAAAAUUAUUAAUCAUUCACAAGAUGUUUAGGAUCUUUCAUAUAGAUGUCAUAUACAUAUUGCGAAACACUCUAUAAAAAUCCUACCUCAAUAACUCAAAUUUUCUAAAGAACUCUUCAACAGUUAAAACAUCCUAAAAAGACAUUUAGAGACAAAAUGAACUGAGAGAGUAAACAUACCUCAUCAUAAACAGCAGCAUGCCCCACGACAUCUUUAAAAUCCUCAGUUUUAUCCCUAAUUAUCACCAUAAUUUAUCAUCACAGGUAAUACCUUCAGCAAAAAUAGAACCAUCAACACAUCACACACUUGAGAAAUCAACACAUCAUCACACACUUGAGAAAUCAAAUGAAAAUUACCUAAACAAGAAUGUUGGACCCUAAAUUGAAAAUUCCUACCAACACUGGUCAGUUUCCCACUUACGGGCCGGGUGAAAUCCGGACUGACCCGAACACCUAAACGACGCCGUUCUCGUCCUCCUCCUACUCACCAAAGACAUGUCAUAAACAGCCCUGGCCAAUGGAUACGACAGCGUCUCGUAAGCGUUGUGGAUCUCGAUGAAAUCCCGACCGUUACCCGACAAAAUCAGGAUGAUAAACCUUCGCCAAACUCCGAUACGCCAUCUUAAUCUCCAAAAUCGUCGCCGUUGGCUCCACCCUCAGCACCUCGUACAAGCUCCCUCCCGUCCCCGGUACCGUCACCGGCAUCUCCACUGAAAACAUAGGGGGACUCCUCUUGUUCUUUCCUGAAGCGGCAGUGAAAUCAAAGAGCAACAGGGGAGCAGCGUGUGUUUAAUUAGGUUAGAUUUAGGGUUCACUUUUUCAUUUUAUAAAAUUAUAUAGUAUAAUUGUUCACAUAUUAAGUAACGAAUUAUAAGUCGACACGUGGCUGAAUAAAAAAUAAUUUUAUCAUAAAAUCAUCAUUAAUUUAUAAUAAAAAAAAAAAUUUAUUACAAACUCAUCAUUAAUAUUUAAUAUAUGAUAAAAAAUAAUUCUAUCAUAAAAUCAUCAUUAAUCUGUGAUAGAAAAUAAUUCUAUCACAAAACCAUUAUUAAUUCAUGAUAUAUUAAAAAUUAUGUCACAAGUCUGUCAUAAUUUUAUAAUAUACUCAGAAUUUGUCAUAAAUUAUUCGUCAUCUAUUAACAAUUUUCUUAUAAUGAUAGUUUUAGACACCAAUACCAAUAAUAAUAAAAGAAUAUGUUAAAAUUUUAAAGACGAUCCAUGUUGCCUAGGUAGCAUUAUGUUUAGUGAAGAAAAUUUUCUUGAAGUUUAGAUGAUAUAAAGACAAAUCUAAGUUUUAUAGUAAAUACUUAUGAAUUUUAGGUUUUGUGAAAAAUUUACAUACAUAGUGAGUUUAUAAAUUUUUUAAUAAUUUUUAAUUAAAAAAGGUAAAGGUGGACAAAGCCUAAAUCAAUUUUUUUCUUUAAAACUUAGUAAUUUAAAAUAUCAAAAUAUUGAAUUAUUAAUAUUACGUGGUAGCAGGUUAUUUGGUGAAAGAUUUUUUAUUCUUAAAUCCAAAUCCAUCUCGUUAUGUAAUGAAUUUCAAUGGGUGACCCAUUAAUCGUAGACUCAGACUUCAUGCAUUCAUGCAUUCGCAAUUUCAACUCAGCUCCAUCUUUCGUUCAACUCAGCCAUGGUGUCUCCGUUAAACUCGAACAUUUUCUUUGUGUAAUUUUUGAUUUUGUAUAUUCUCUCUAUUUGUUGUAUUAUAACUUAUAAUGUUUGUGAUAUUGAAAUGUUAGUUGAUGAUUAUUCAAUGGAUGCCCCAAAAUUGUGCUUUUUAAGCAUUUUGUUGCUACCCUUUUAGAUUUAUUAAAGCUUUUUAACUAUUUUAGUUGUGGAUGUGAAAAAUGUUUUGCACAUAAUGCAGAAUUAAGCGCACCAAAUAAUCACAGAAAAAAAAGGACACAAAAGUUUACGUGGUUCGGCAAUAUGCCUACGUCCACGGGAUCAAGAGAAAAAUAAUUGUAUUACUAACUAUUACUAGAGUACAAAUUUGGGUAGAGAAACCUCACUUUCUCAUAACCCAAAUACACCCAGUACUCUCACCCACACUCUCCAAUUGCUCACACUCUCAUAACUCUAAAAUUGCUUCACUUGCAAUUUCUCUUAAGUUCUCAAAUUUGGGAUGAUUUCCAAGUGAAGAAUGCAUCUCUAUUUAUAGCCAAAAUGGUUGUACUGUUGCACCAACCCCCACUACAAUAAAUAUGAUUUAUUAUAGCACUAAUUUAUAACGUUUUAUAUCGAAUGUCAUCACAAUCAUACAUUUUAUAGCAUUUUUCAUAAAAAUUACUAUUAAACUGAAAUUUUAUUAGAUGUAUAACAUUACUAUUAUGACAUAUUUUUUUAAAGUUAUAAAAACGUUAGUUAGCAUAGCGUUUUGUAAAAAAAGUUCUAAAAUAAAUUGUUACUUAAUAGUUUUUAUGACAUUUUUGUAAAAGCUAUUGGAAAAAACAAAUUAUAACAUUUUUAAAAUGCUAUAGAAAUAAAAAAAAUCAUUAAAAAAAUAUUUUUUUAGGCACCAAAUUUCAUUAGAUUGGUGCCCAUAUUAUAACAUUUUACUAUGACAUUUUUUAAAAAUGCUAAAUAAAUAUAUACUUAGAAUAGCUUAAUUGUAAAGAAGUUAUAAAAUAAAUAUUAAAAAGUUACUUUAUAACUUUUUAUUAAGUGUUAUAGAAUUUAUUAUAAAAAAAAACCUCUAAAAUGGCGCUAACUUUUUUACAUUGGCGCUCAUUUUUCCCACCCCAAGAAAAAGCCCAAAAGCUUUUUAUUAUUUUUUCCCCAAAUCCCUUUCAUCUUUUUCUCUCCACAACUCUAAACUUUCUAUUUUCCCCUUUUUCUAACCGGUCAAAAGUAGCUGAGUUAAAGUUCAUUUUCUCAAAUCAAUCAGGUAUGUACAAAGCUUCAAGCUUGUUACGUGCUUUAAAAUGUCAAAAGGAAUAAUAAAAAUAAUACAAAGCUUUAAGCUUUUUAUUACUUGCAUUUUUUUUUCCUUUUAGGUGUAAAAAUAAUAAAAAAAUCCUUUCUUUUUGAUAUAUUGCAUGGCUCUAUGGUCUCAGGUCAAGUGAGGACUUUAAGAUGAUGGACAAAACUUGGGUUCAACUUAAAAGGUUUUUUUAAUUCGUCAAAUAACAAUUAUAUAUUUACUAUUUUCUUAUAAUGUUAUUAAUUUUAAUUGAUAUUUUACGUUUAUUUGUAGAAAUACAAAAGAAUAUCGUGAAGGAGUAAAAAAGUUUGUGGAAAAUGCAACAUUAAAUGUAGAAAACCAAAGUUUAGUGAGAUGUCCAUGUAAAAAAUGUCAAAACCUAUGUCAUCAAAAUGGUGAAACAAUUGUAUUGCAUUUGUUGAAAGACGGGAUGGAUAUGUCUUACACAACUUGGAUAUGGCAUGGGGAACAGAUAGGGAAAAAAGGUACUGAUGUGGAAAUGACUAAUACAUAUAGCAUGUCUAGAGAUGUAGAUGACCAUUAUAGAGGUAUUCAUGAAAAUGUUGAUGAGCAGCAAGAUAACUGCCCAAUGAAUUUUGUAGAAGAUGUUGAAAUCCCAUUGUACCCAGGUUGCUCAAAGUGCACUAGGUUAUCUGCAGCGGCUGUCUUAUAUAAGCACAAGACUAUGUACAAAUACUCAAAUAAGAGUUUUGAUAACCUCUUGGAGAUUUUGUGUGAUAUGUUACCCGAAUUAAAUACUAUUCCAAAUUCUACUCGUUCAGUUGAAAUGUUAUUGAAACCAUUUCAACUAGAUUGUAUAAGGAUACAUGCUUGUGUUAAUGACUGUUGCUUGUUUAGAAAUGACCUAAAGAAAAGUGAAACAUGUCCUAAAUGUGGAUCUUCUAGAUGGAAGUUAGAUGGUCGAAAUAAAAAGAUUCAUAAAGGAAGUCCAGCAAAAGUGUUGACUUAUUUUCCCAUAAUACCAAGGUUUAGAAGGAUGUUUGAGUCACCAAAAAUGGCAGAACAAUUGAGACGACAUUAUGAUCAUAAAAGUAAUGAUGAUAAAAUGCGGCACCUAGUGGAUAGCUUAGCUUGGAAGACAAUUGAUAAAAAAUGGCCUUCGUUCUCCAAAGAUCCAAGAAACCUAAGGUUAGGUCUAGCAGCGGAUGGGUUUAAUCCUUUUGGUAUUCGUAGUUCAACAUAUAGUUGCUGGCCAGUAAUGUUAGUAACUUACAAUCUCCCACCAUGGUUGUGCAUGAGAAAAGAAUUUAUAAUGUUGACAUUGUUAAUUCCAGGGCCUAAACAACCUGGUAAUGACAUAAAUAUUUAUCUACAACCGCUAAUAGAUGAUCUACAACAGCUAUGAGAGAAUAGUGUAGAGGUUUAUGAUGCAUUCACUAGGACAGUUUUCAACUUGAAAGCAAUUUUGAUGUGGACAAUUAACAAUUUUCCUGCAUAUGGCAACUUGGCAGGAUGUGCCACAAAAGGUAAGGCAGCAUGUCCUAUAUGCAGUUCUAAUACAUGCUCAAAAAGGUUAAAAUACAAUAAAAAAACUGUAUAUAUGGGUCAUAGACGCUUCCUUCCUUCUGGUCAUUCCUUUCGAUUCAAAAAGUCGUGGUUUGAUGGUCAUGAAGAACUUGAGAAAAGACCUAGAAUAAUGUCUGGAACGCAAAUUUUAAAUGAGGUAAAAGACAUAGAAAAUGAUUGGGGAAAAAGUUCAAGAAAGAACAAAAGGAAUAUAAAAAAAAUACUCGAUGUGGAAAAAAAAGUCAAUAUUUUUUUACUUACCAUAUUGGCAGGUAUGAUUCUAUUGAAUAAAUUUUCUGUAAUUAUGUUGAUAAUGCCUAAAUAAAUUCCUCAUGAUACUCUUAUUGUUCUUGAUUUUUCAGCAUCUUUUGUUGCGUCAUAAUUUGGAUGUGAUGCAUAUAGAGAAGAAUGUAUGUGAUAGCAUAGUUGGGACUUUGCUCAAUAUAAAGGGAAAAUCAAAGGAUGGCCUUCAUUCUUGUAUGGAUUUGAAGGAAUUAAAAAUAAGGAAAGAUUUAUAUCCAGAUGUGCGUGAGAAGAGUACUUUUCUUCCACCAGCACCACAUACAUUAUCAAGGGUAGAAAAACAAAUCUUCUGCAAAAGACUGUUAGAUUUGAAAUUGCCUGAUGGUUAUAGUUCAAACAUUGGGAGUUGUAUUUCAAUGGAAGAUUGUAAAAUUUCAGGCCUCAAGUCUCAUGAUUUUCAUGUGUUAAUGCAACAGUUGUUGCCUGUAGCUUUACGAGGCUUACUUCCAAAAGGACUAAAGAAUGCAAUAUUUAGGUUAUGUGUAUUUUUUAAUGAUUUGUGUCAAAGAGUCAUUGACCGAGAGAAACUUGAGGCACUUGAGGAGGAUAUUGUUGAAAUUGUGUGCAUGUUUGAAAGGUUUUUUCUUCCCACAUUCUUUGAUAUAAUGGUUCAUUUGCCAAUCCACUUAGGACGCGAAGCAAGAUUGUGUGGGCCGGUUCAAUAUCGUUGGAUGUAUCCUUUUGAAAGGUUGUCAAUAUAUAUAAAUUAAUAAUUCUUUUGUGUUAGUUUAAGUAAAAAAGCCUCUUGUGUUGACAUAAUGUUUGAUUGUAUUUAUAGAGAAAUUAAGAAGUUAAAGAGAUAUGUUAGGAAUCGUGCAAGACCAGAGGGUUGUAUUGUUAAAUGCUAUCUUGCCGAUGAGUGCAUGAGUUAUUUUAGUAGAUGCAUAAAGCAAGUAGCAGAUAUGGAUUGCCACCAAAGGAGAAAUGAAGAGUACAUGCAUGAUAUGAUACUUGAAGGCCGACCAAUCUCUAAGGGAUCAAUAAUUGAGUUAACAGAUGAGAGAUUGGAAAGUGCUCAUCGAUAUGUCUUAUUUAAUACAGCUGAAGUAGAACCAUAUUUACAGUAAGUCUUUUAAUUUAAACUUUCUUUAGAUAAGAUAAAGUAAUCACCUUUUUUAAUUAUCUCCUUUCUUUUAGUUUGCACUUAACUGAGUUAAAACAUUCAGAUAAGAGACUCUCAAGAAAUGAAGGUUUACUUUGGAAGAGACAUUCAGAAGAGUUUUCCAGUUGGUUUGAACAAAAGGUUCCAAUAUAGUAGCGUUGUGGGAUCUAUGCUUUAUUUUAUUUUGUUUCUUGAACUCCCAUUAAUUGAUAUUUUUUUAAUUUCUAAACAGAUUGAGGAAGAAAAUAGAAACGACGUCUCAAUGACAUUAAAAUGCCUUGCAUGUGAUCCUCGAAGGCAAGCUGUGAGCUAUAAUGCAUAAAUCGUCAAUGAUCAACGUUAUCAUAUAAAGGAUGUUGAGAAAUCUACACAGAAUAGUGGUGUUUUAAUUGAGUCAGUUACAGUUUGUCAAUCUAGUUCAAAAGAUACCAAUAAUUGCAUCGAUACAAUUACGUACUAUGGUGUCAUAAAAGAUAUUUUGUUGCUUGACUACUAUACUUUGAAAAUUCCAUUGUUUGACUGUAAUUGGGCUAACAUUAGAAAUGGUGUCAAAUUUGAGAAUGGAUUUACUUUGGUUAAUCUGCAUCAAGGACAACAUUAGUUUGCAAGGGAUUCGUUUAUUUUAGCAUCUCAAGCAAAACAAGUGUUCUAUUUAAGGAUGGCAAUGGAUCGGAUCUGACCCAAGAUCCAUGUGAUCCAAAUCCAAUUGGAUCGGAUUUGGGUCGGAUUAAAAAGGAUUUGGAUCGGAUUUGGAUAUCAAUGUGUGGAUCUAAGGCGGAUCUGGAGCAAAUUCGAAUUUAUCUUAAUAUCUAGAUCCAAAUCCAUAUCCACUCACCAUUUAAUGUAAUUUUAUUUUUAAAAAUUCUUAACAAUUAUGUAAUUAUAAAUAAUGAUAAAAUUUAUUUAUUAGCAUGUAUUUAAGAAUCUUAAAACUUAAAAGUAUUUAAUUGAUAAUAAGACAAAAAAUUAUCAAGUGUAAAAUAAAAUUAGGAUAGUUUGCCCUAAUUUUUUUUAAGUUUUUCACUCUACAAUUUAGUCUCUUUUUUCUUCUUUAGUCUACUCUCGCUUCUCCACUUCAUUUGAAUGUUUCGAUCAGUUCUUUAAUUGUUAGGAAAAUCCAUAGACUUGAGUUUAUUUUUCUAUCAUUUUCUCAUAAUCUUAUUUAUUUUGGAUAAUCACUAAUCAAUGGUGGCUAUCAACUAUAAAAUAAUUAUGUUAAUCAUAUAUUUAGUUAAAUAUGAUCAUAAUAAAAAUAAUAAAGCACUGAAUAUAAUAAAUUAUUUUUAACUUAUAUGUUAUUAUUUAAUGAUAUAUGAAUGAUGAUGGUGUGCAGUGGAUAUCAAGAUGGUAAAUGAGACAUUAGAAUAUUAUAAUGAUCUUAUUCUUGCAAUUACUUUUGAUCGAUAUUUUAUUAUAUUUCUUAUUUGUUUAUUUUGGUGUAAAAGUAUAAGGUACAAUACUUAUUAAAUUUUUUUAUACAAAUUAUAUAAUUUAAUUGUUACCAAUGCAUUUUAGUCUUAAAUUUUCUUUCUAAAAAAAUAUUGAUAUCUUAUUAUUGAGAUUUAGAAUUCAUGAUAGAUCUAGAGCAGAUUUGAAUUUGAAUUUUUUUUUUUGGAUUUGGAGCAGAUAUAAAUAUUUAUUUUUUGUUUUGGAUCUAGAUAUGGAGCGAAAAAUAUAGAUCCAUAAUGGAUCUGGAGCAGAUACGGAUCUUAAUUUUUAUUACGGAUCUGGAUCUGGAGCAAUGUAGAUCCAAUCCAUAUCUGCUCCAUUGCCAUCCCUAGUUCUAUUCAAGGGAGAAUGAUUCGUCCAGUUGGUAUGUUGUAUUGAGAGCACCUCCAAGAGGAUUUCAUGAGUUGGAUAAUUAUGCUGAAAAUUGUAUUACAACCUUACGACCAUUAGAUGUAUCAAGGCUUGAUAACAAUAUAGAGGGUGAAGAUGGUAGCUCCCGCAGAGAGAAUUGUGAAGGGAUCUAUAUUUAACUUUCUUUGGUAAUUGUAAUACAUAUUCUAUUGUAGUUUUUAUUACAAUAAGCAAAUUUAUAAAUAACUUAUUCUAGUUUCUUAUACAUACUAGUAAGCUAAUUAAAUAUUUUUCUUUUAUGUAGUUCAUUAUAAAGCAUGUCGUACGAGUACUUAUUUUGAUUCAUUUCAGCAAUUCUGUGCGAUCACUUUUAUUAGGUAUGGAAACACUCGUACCUAGCAAACUUUUGUAUUUGUCAUGUUAAGAUAAUGUAUGCAGAAUUGUUUAUGUUUUUAAAGUUGACGCUGUAGUUCCAAAACAUUAACAAAGAACUUACUGAUAGACCUAGAAAUAAUGAAUAAACUGUAUUGGUUGGGUACUUUUUUAGAGUAAUUCUUGAAUACUUUUGCAUUCUAGACUUAUGUUGCUUUCAUUUAAAAGUGAUUUCAUGUCAAUAUCAUUUUUGUAUAAUUUUUUGUGAUUUUUUGAAGCUGACCCUGUAUUAUAAGAACUUUCUGACAGACCUGGAAACAAUGAAUAAAUUGUAUUGAUCAGUUAUAUUCUAGAGUAAUUCUUGAAUAUUUUUGCAUUCUAGACUUAAGUAGUUUUCAUUUAAAAUUAGUUUCAUGUCAAUAUCAUUUUUGUAGAAUUUGUUGUGAUGUUUUGAAUUCGACCCUGUAUUUUAAGAACACUGACAAAGAACUUAUUGAUAGACUUGGAAACAAUGAAUAAACUGUAUUGAUUGGUUAUAUUCUAGACUAAUUCUUGAAUAGUUUUGCAUUAUAGACUGAAGUAGCUUUCAUUUAAAAUUAGUUUCAUGUCAAUAUCAUUUUUGUAGAAUUUGUUGUGAUGUUUUCAAUUCGACCCUGUAUUUUAAGAACACUAACAACGAACUUACUGACAGACCUGGAAACAAUGAAUAAACUGUAUUGAUCAGUUAUAUUCUAGAGUGAUUCAUGAAUAUUAUUGCAUUCUAGACUUAAGUAGCUUUCAUUUAAAAGUAGUUUCAUGUUAAUAUCUUUUUUGUAGAAUAUUUUGUGAUUUUUUUAAGUUGACCCUGUAUUUCAGGAACAUUGGGGAAGUACCAUGUGUGCCCCAUAGGUAAAUACUUAAUAUUGUUUUGAAGAUUACAAUAUUUAUAUAUGUUAAAAAUGAGAAAUUAUGCCAAUUCAUUUUAUAUAUGGCCAAUAGAGUUCUCGACAAGCUUCCAAAAGAAAAAGGAAGGAAAGUUUAUCAACUAGGUCUGAGCCUAGAGAUGCACCUAUUACCGAGAUAGACUUAACUAAUGAAGAUCUCAAUGAUGUCACAUUCGAAAAUCCAUAUCAAUCUUGUAAUGAAGAGAAUUUGACAAAGAAGAAACGUGGCCCUACUGUCUGUCAUGAUGUGGCAAAUGGAGAUGGGAAGAAGAUAGUCUUAGAAUUGAAUAAUUUGGGGCAACCUAUUGGAAAAAUCAUGUGUUAUAUUCAUCGUUUUAUGGUAGUUUGGUAAAGCAGGCUGUGUUUAUAAACUGUGAUGAUUGGAGAUAUGUUCCAAAACAGCAAAAAGCUUUGUUGUUGUUGAGAGCACUCGAGGUAAAUAUGUACACAUCUAUUUUAGAGUGCAGUUCAAAUUAUAACAUGACACUAACAUUAGUUAUUUUUUAUUUGCUUGAAACAUUCAACAAAAAAUUGUUUUGGAAGGAGAUGCAAUCAAAAAGUAUACGCUACAGAUUAUGGGAAAAGUCUGGCGAGCACAUAAAUCAAGAUUGACAAAAAAGUUGGAUGCUCGACCUAGUCUUGUCAAACCUGCCGAGUGGGAGACUUUUAUUAAAAAAAAAGACCUCAAAAGCCUUCAUGGUAUGUAUGCUUAUAGUCCUAGCAGAAACAUUCAUUCAUGCAUAUAUUAUUUUAUUUAGAAUGAUGUAAUUAAUGUAUAUUAAAACAGGAAAAAAGUAAGGUUUUUAAGGAAAUGAGGGCUAAGCAAGAUAUUCCAUAUACCGGAAGUCGAAUGGGAUAUGCUCGUAUGCAAGAUAAGAUGGUAAAUCUUUAAUUAUAUUCAAACAAUAUAGUAGUUAUCUAGCUAGCGUCUGUUAUUACUUUGAGAUAAAUAUAUAGUUAAUUCUAACUUAAAAAUAUUUUCAUUACAGAAGAAAAACAGUUCAAAUCCAUUAGAAAUAACUCGAAUUGAUGUUUGGAUUAAAGCACAUACUAAAAAGAAUGGUGAACCAUCUAGUUCAAAAGUUGUUGAAGUGAAGGUAUGUGUCAAAUUUAUUGAUGAUAACUUAGAUAUGCUAGAAAUUAUUAUUGGAAAUAUUAUAAUAAAUAACUCUUUCUUGAGUUUAGGAAAUGUAUGAAGCUGAAAAAAAUUCAGAUUUGUCAGAAGCACAAUCAAAAUCUGUUAAAAAUGAUAUACUUUCAAAGUUUAUUGGACCUGAGUAAGGAGGCCGUGUUAGAGGUCAAGGAGCAGGAGUGACGCUAUCUAAAUUAGAGGCAAUAUCUCAGUAAACUAAGAAGGAAGCCAAAAUGCAAGAACAAAUUGACACAUUACAAGACACAAUGAAGCAAAUGCAAGGUUUCAUGGAUGAUCAAAACAAACUCAUACAAAGUUUAAUGAGCAAACUGGUAAUAGCAAGUACCUUGUUAAAUGUUACGUUAAUUACUUGUGAAUCUUAAUUUCAUAAAAUGGUGAAAUCAACUUCUUUUUUUAAUUUUUUUUGUAUAGAGUGAAGCAUCAAAUGAUGGACAAAAUCAAAAUCUAUCUACAUCAACUCAAUCUAAUAGUACUCCACAAGUAAAGUUUAAACUUAUACAACAAUUUAUGCUGUCAUAAUUAAUAGUUUAGUAACUAUUAACUUAAUUAUAAUUAGAAAUGUUGUUUUCUUUGUUUUGCUUAUGAGUACAACAUGUAAGCCCAAAUCGAAAAGGCCAAAAGUGCAAGUUGUUGAAUUGGCUUGAAGUAGAUGAAGUAGUUGCAAUAGGACGUUGGGUAACAAAUGAUCCUAAUGCAAUGGUGCAUUGUGUAGCUCUUGGAAAAAAUGCUUCUCGUGUGUGGGUAGAUGAGGUGAAAAAUCCUUCUGCUGAGUUGUGGAAAAAAUAUGCAGAUAUGGAAACAAUAGAAGAUGCUUUGGGAAGUUCAAUUGCAUGGCCAACGGAAGCGAUUAUUGUUAUGGAAGAUUAAUUUUGGUAUGAAUGGUUAAAAGUUUAAUUGAAGACAAUAUUUUGACUUAGUGUUUUAGUUAGAUGAUUUUGAUGGGUCUAAGGGUAGUGUUUUGGUUAGAUGAUUUUGAUGGGUCUAAUGGUAUAUAUCAUUGUUGGAGUGACUAUUGGUAUUUGUUAAACUUGGCAUUCACAAUUUUGAAUGAUGUUUACUGUAAUGCUAGGUCUUCUUUUGGACAUUAACUUUAGUUUGCCUUUGUAUAUGUAUGAUAUUAAUUUUUUCACUCUUAAAAUACCUGAUGGUAUUUGUUGUUCAUGAAUUAAUGAAAUGUAGUUUAUUCCUUUUGUUAAAAUUGUCAGUUUUAAUUAUAAAUCAUAUUGUAUUCGAUUAUGUUAUAAAUAUCUAAUAAAUGUUAUAAAGUAAAAAAAAGUUACAAAAUUAACCAAGCACAAUAGCAUUCCGGAAAAGAUUAAUAUAGCAUUACCAAACUUCAUAAAAUGCUAUCAACAGUUUGUAGCGUGAAAACAUGUUAUGGCGUUUCGGCUAAUGCUAUAGACUCUUCAGCUAAAUUAUAAUAUUGAUAUAAAUGCUAUAAAUUACUUGAAUAACAAUUAUUCCUUUAGCAUUUAAAAAACGUUAUAAACAAAUAGCACUCCAAAAAAUGCUCUACCAUGAUAUUUGAUAACGUUAAAUAAAUGCUAUUAUAGUUUUAUAACAGCAUUUAAAAACUGCUAUACAUCGACGGUUUUUAAAAACACUAUAGAGAAAAGAUAGCAUGGGCAAUCACGACAUUAAAUAAACGUUAUAAUAACGACAAUAUAACAUUUUUUGAGCGCUAUGAAAAGUCAUAUUUAUUGUAGUGGCCCUUUGCAAUUUGUCACUUCUCCUCUCCGUCACUUUGAAAAAUUUUGCUAAUUUUUCCAUUUUUCUUCGUUCGGUGCAGGAUUGUCAAAUGCCAAAUAUUCUACAGCUUGAAGUUUUGAAUUUGGAAGCCACUUUAUUGACUUCUCAGCCAAAAAGUUCAGACUUUUAAUCAGCUACUUGAAAGCUUGUAGACUAUGAUUUUAGUUUAGAUUUUGAUGGUUGUUUAUAGUCGUGAGCUAACUUGUACAAUUAAAUGAGUUACUGCCUUGGAUUACAUGCCUUGAAGUUUUCAGCAUACUGUUUUGGAAAAAUCCUAUCACAUUUGUAUACCUCGAGAGUUCACGCACGUACGUGUGUGCAUAACUCGCGCAUACAUAAACUUAUGCUCAUGCUAUACAUGCACGGACAGAAGCACACUUGCAUAUAUGUGAUACAUGCACGGACAGAAGCACAUGCACUUGUAUAUAUGUGCUGUGUGCACGACGUUCGAGUGAAUUUCACGCAGAAGCAAACAAACCUUAAACAUCUUGGGCGUGUACCAUGUCCACUUCUAGCUUCGGUUACUUACUCAGUUUGAAAACUAAGUUGUGCUAUUAAAUGAAAAAUCUAAUAGGAUUAUGCCAUUAAAGUUUCCAGCGCAUGUAAUCGGGGAAAAGUCUAUUCAAUCCUGCACAGUAAGUUUUAAAAUGGAAAACAAAUAAGGGAUUGGAAAGUAAUUUGAGAAAGGAAUCCAAAGUGGGGCGGUUACAAAAUGGAAAAUGAGACUCUUACAACAUUUAGUACAAAAGUUAGCACAAAACGGUGCGUUCUGUGCUAACUAUAAAAUGGUUUCUGUGGCACCUUAAUUCACACACACACGACUCACACAGCAAACGAGCAAGCAAAACCCACACCAAAACGCAACCGUUUCAUUUUCCUCCUCCCUUGCUCUGUGCUCUCUCCGUCAACUUUCUCCCUCUCUCUCGCCGUGGGUGUCUCCACAUCUGGCCGUUGGCUCUCUCUUUCUCUCUCUCGCACACACAGCUCCCAUAGCAAACGAGCAAAACCCACACAACACUCACCGUCGGCUCUCUCUCUCUUUCCGUGGGUCUCUUCACAGCUGGCGUGGGUCUCUCCACAAAUCUUACCUCGAAAAUUUGGAAAAUUUAUGGCUUGAAUUUGUGAAGAUUCAGCUGGAAUUGUGUUGCUUGUGGUGAUUGCAUCCGUGGUCAAGUUUUGCAUUUGUAAUCGAUUUGUAUUGUCAAGUGAGUUUAAAUUGAUUAGUAAUUGCAUUUAGAUUGAUUUUGAGUGAAGUAAAAGAAGAGUGCUCUUGUACCAGUGAAGCAGUUAAUAUAAAGAUUUUGUACAUUUCGUGGAUUCCGCCCUUGAACAAUCGUUUAAGAUUAACACUUAACCUGGCACAUGAUAUGUUGCAUACGAACAGCUUGAUCUUUUGCUGAUUGUUACCAAAACCAAAAUUGCAACCAAAAUAUAUUUGGGAUAUAUUUUAGUGAUGUGGGAGAUGCAAUCGACGAAGGGGAGAGAGAGGGAGAAUCGGCUUAUGGUGAUUCAGGCUACAAGUCAAUUUUUGAGCUGUGUUCUGUGAGCAGCAUGUGUGGUGGGAGCAGCGAGUGAGCAGCGCGUGUUGUGUGUAAUAUGUGUGGACAAUUAAUAUUUUGCUCAAAACGCACCGUUUGGUGCUAAGUGUGGUGCAAAAUGUUGUAAGAAUAUCACUGCUGUUACAAAAUCUGCUCUUAGUGACCUGUUGAGCACUAUAUAAGUCGAAUUUUAGUCCUCGAAGACACUGGUAAAUCAAAACUAACCAUACACAAGUGAUUAGAAACAUCUCUCUGGUAGACAUGAGCUCACUUACUGGCAUAGACGAAAGCUUGCAAUAUCCGGUUGCUCGUAGAGACGAGUCCAUUGUCGAUGAUUAUCACGGUUUCAAAAUCCCCGACCCUUAUAGAUGGUAAAUAAAUGUAUAAUUCAAAAUCUGUUUUGACCGGAAUUCAUUUUUUUUUUUUCAAUGUUAUUGGAGCAGGCUUGAGGAUCCAGAUGCGGAAGAGGUAAAAGAUUUUGUACAAAAGCAAGCGGAGUUAACAGACUCGGUGCUGAACAAAUGCGACGUAAGGGACAGGCUUCGGGAGAAGAUAACAAAGCUGUCUGACAGUCCCCGAUACGACGCGCCGUUUAAGCGGGGGAAUAAGUAUUUUUAUUUUCAUAAUACGGGGCUGCAACCGCAAAGCGUGCUUUAUGUGCAGGAUAGUUUGGAUGCAGAAGCGAAAGUGUUGCUGGAUCCGAACACGCUCAGUGAAGAUGGAACGGUGGCGAUUACUACAGUUUCGGUUAGUGAGGAUGCUAAGUACUUGGCGUAUGCGCUUAGUAACAGUGGAAGUGAUUGGGUGACUAUCAAAUUAAUGCGCAUUGAGGAUCACAUUGUUGAAGCUGACACUUUGUCUUGGGUCUGUUUCUGUUUCUCCCAUUCGUUUUUAGUUAUUUUUUCCUUUGACAAUAUUAUUGCUAAAUGUAGGCAUAUACGUACAAGCUUUUCUUUAUUUAUUAUAUAAUAUAAUUUUUUUUUAUUUUCACCUGUCAAAUCAACUAUAUAUAUAUAUAUAUAUAUUUUUUUUUUUUUUAACUGCCAAAUCAACUAUUUUUGCUGUGGAGUGUUGUAUCACAGGCUAAGUUUACAAGUAUUACUUGGACCCAUGAUAGUAAAGGAUUUUUCUACAGCCGUUACCCAGCUCCCAAGUAAGGAUCUUCACCAUUUAGUCAGCUCAGUGGAAUUUGAAUUCUUGACUUUAUAUUUAAACAUUAUGGAUAAUUUAUGAAUUUUGUUUCAUGCAUUUAUUAACUUUUUAUCCUAAGGGUGUGAAAGUUGUUUUAUUCUCCUGUGUAAUUCUUUAGAGAUGGCAAAGCUGUAGAUGCUGGAAUAGAGACUGAUUCCAGCCUUUAUCACGAAUUUUACUAUCAUUUUCUGGGUACGGAACAAUCAGAAGAUAUUUUAUGCUGGAAAGACCCAGAACAUCCCAAGUAUACUUUUUCUGGCCAUGUUACAGAAGACGGGCAGGUGACUAGCUCUUCAUAGGUUUAAUCUUUUUGCCUUUUUUGGAUCAAAAUGUUGUGUCUGAGUGGUGCCCCUGUUCUUUAUUUAUUUCUUUAUUUAUUUUUUAAUGGUAUGGUUGUGCUCUUGUUUGUCCACCUGAAAUAGUUGAUGCAAAGCUUCAUUAAUGAUACACAAAUUUUGGCAAGCUGAUUCAUGGUUGACAUCCAAAGGUCACCGCAGGGGAUAUAAUGAAAGAAUAAUAACCUCUCUUCUAUAAUAUUUUUAGAAGAUGAUACUCUUUAAAACGAGGUUUAUUUGUGUCACUACUUGUUUAGUGAAAAUGUAGAUUUUAGAUACCCAUGUUAUUCUGUUAUUAGGUUACUUUAUGAAAUGAGAAGCAUCCAAUACUAAAGUUAAUUAUAUGGGGAAUUUAUUAUGAUGCAUGAUAUGUAUUUUCAUUGCAUACAGGUCUGAUUGAAUUGAUUCUGAUUAGGAUUGUUUUUGGAAAAAAAUUGUAAAUUUUUGUGGACCUGUUGUAAAUUAACUUCACAUUUUAUUCUGUUCAACAGUACCUUGUCAUGUAUAUAAGAGAGAACUUUGAUCAAGUCAACAAAGUAUACUAUUAUGAUCUGUCUGCACUGCCAGAAGGUCUGGAAGGUUUUAGGAAAAGCAAUGGCUUGCUUCCAUUUGUUAAGCUAAUUGAUAGAUUCGAUGCACAGUAUGAAGUAGUUGCAAACGACGACAGUGUAUUUACCUUCCGCACUAGUAAAGAUGCCCCAAAGUACAAAAUAGUCCGAGUAGAUCUCAGGGAGCCAAAUAAUUGGUCUGAAGUUGUCCCAGAGGCAGAAAGAGACGUGCUCGAGUCAGCAUCUGCUGCUAAUUUUAAUCAAAUGAUUUUGAGUUACUUGAGUGACGUGAAGUAUGUUCUUCAGAUAAGGGAUUUGAAAACCGGUUCCCUGCUACACCAAUUACCAAUUGAGAUCGGCUCAGUUAAUGCGAAAUCCGUACGUCGUGAUGACAGUGUGGUUUUUAUUAGUUUUACUAGUUUCCUUACCCCUGGCAUAAUAUAUCAAUGCAAUUUAAUAAGUGAGACUCCAGAAAUGAAGAUAUUCCGUGAGACUAGUGUACCUGGAUUUGAUCGCUCCGAGUUCCAUGUUCAUCAGGUAGGUGACUGUUGUUUAUCUAUUAAAAAUAGAUGAUGCCAGCUUUCAGACUUUAUUGUUCAUUCAGUUUUAGGCUGUCAUAUUAAUUGCUUUAUUUUUCUGGGCUUCAUUCCCUUGAAAUUUCAGUAUAAUCAAAUUCUUUUUUUCUUGGCAAACUGCAUUUUGUUCAGUGUCUGAUUGGAUUUAUCAUUUCCAGGUUUUUGUGCCUAGUAAGGACGGUAGUACCAAGAUACCAAUGUUCAUUGUAGCCAAAAAGGAUAUCAAAUUGGAUGGAUCGCACCCUUGUUUAUUGUAUGGAUAUGGUGGAUUUAACGCAAGUAUAACACCUUCAUUUAGUGUCAGUCGUACUGUUCUCAUGAGGCAUCUUGGUGCUGUCUUCUGCAUUGCCAACAUCCGAGGCGGUGGAGAGUAUGGAGAGGAGUGGCAUAAAGACGGUGCACUUGCAAAGAAGCAGAAUUGCUUUGAUGAUUUCAUUUCUGCUUCCCAGUAUCUAAUAUCUGCUGGUUAUACCCAGUCUAGAAAGUUGUGUAUUGAAGGAGAAAGCAAUGGCGGGCUUCUUAUUGGGGCUUGCAUAAAUCAGGUGGAUUGCUUAGUUGAUUUUGUAUUUUUCAGUUUUCUGUGGUUAUUAUCGUAUUGAAUUCAUAAAAUAGCAUCGGUAAUUUUUUUCCCUCUUAUUACAGAGACCUGAUCUUUUUGGUUGUGCACUGGCUCAUGUUGGUGUGAUGGACAUGCUUCGGCUCCACAAGUUUACCAUAGGUUAGUGUAAAUCUUUUUAGCUAAGCAAUGCAAAAAUUUAACUAUUGUAUAUGUACUCAUCAAGAUUUGCUUUGUAGGUCAUGCAGGGUUUUCUGAAUACGGUUGUCCAGAGAAGAAGGAAGAGUUUGAUUGGCUAAUCAAGUGAGUAAAACCUUGUUCCCGGUCCAAAAAUAUUGUGCACUGGUGAUAGGCUUUUAUGUAUUUAAGUCCAAAGUUCUAAAUCUCUGAAAUGUUAAAUGUUUUCUACACCCAAUCUAGCAAUUGAUGAAAAACCCUUUUCCCUUGCAAAACCUAAUACCGUGUAGAGGUGGUUAACUUUGGUCAAUUUCACAGAAUGCGCAACCACUUCCCCUUCUUCCUUUCUUAUGAGCUCAAGAACUUGUGUUGCUUUGAUUCAGAAUAUUAUUUUUAUCAGCAUGACAUAGCACCUUAUGUCAUUUGAUCACUUAUCUGUGACAAUAAAAAAUGUGCUCUCUUGUCACUUGGUAACUGAUUAGUGUCUGACUUUCUUUCAACUUCUUUUUAUAAGCUAUUAGUUUAUAUGCUCAUUUUAUCACAUUUAUAUUCUGUAGGUACUCCCCAUUACAUAAUGUCAGAAGACCAUGGGAACAGGACCCUGAUAAACCAUCUCAAUACCCAUCUACCCUACUAUUGACAGCUGAUCACGAUGAUCGUGUUGUGCCUUUGCACUCGUUGAAGUUAUUGGCGGUGAGUCCUUAAUUAAGAAAUUAUGUAUUGUUUUGUUGUCUUAUGUUUUUUGCAUUUAUUUCUUCUUCUGCAAAGCCUAUGCCUACGCAUGGUUAGCUUGUGAUGAUCAAUGGGCGACUAUUUCAUGUUUCCUUCGUUCUAUUUAUUCUCAGACUAUGCAAUAUGUUUUAUGCACGAGCUUGGAAAAUAGCCCUCAGACCAAUCCAAUACUUGGUCUCAUCGAGUGCAAGGCUGGACACGGAGCUGGACGUCCAACACAGAAAAUGGUAAUUUAAUCUUAUUUUUACUUGGUUUUUGUGUAGUUGAUUCCUUAUUUACUAUUUACCUUUUACUUCCAUAUAUUAUUGCAGAUUGAUGAAGCUGCUGAUUGCUAUGGCUUCAUGGCAAAAAUGUUAGGAGCUUCUUGGAUUGAGUAAUUGAUGUAGAUCUGAAAGAAUGAAAAUGUUAGGAAAAGUUCUGGAACCGGAGACAGUUCCAUUUCUUUGGUUUUUUUUUUUUUUUUCAACAGAUGUGAUGGAACUUUUUUUUUUUUAAUUUAAAUAAGAGAUUAGUUGUGUCUCUAACUUUUAGUAAAAUUAAAUAAGUAAUGAUAGAAUAUUAAAUUUUUGUUUUAAAUUUUAUCUCAAAUGCGUGGUAUGUGAUGCAUUUAUCCAUUAAGUUAUUUAUAAAGUAAAUUAGUUGUAUUAUUUUAUCAUCUAAUUAAUAAAUACCACAUAAUUUAAAAUAAAUUUUAGGAUAAAAAUUGGGAUGUAUAUAAGGUCAUUAAUCUAAUAUUUAGGACAACAUUUAAAUUGAACUAAUCGAAAAAGAAAAUUACUGAUGUCUCCACAAGUACAAUAAAAAAAAUAUCAAAAAUAAAUAAAUAAACUAAAGAUAGAAGCGCAACAUUAAUAUCAUUAAUGUGAACUCAAAUGAUUACCGAGCAGAAACAUGAUAACAUAAACUAAUUUUUGAAUGGCAAAAAGAGCAGUAGUAUCGAUAUUAUCCAAUCAUUUUCCGGGCUUAUUUCGAUAAAAUAUCUCAAAAACAUUAGCGCACACACUUCUGAAAAUCAACUGGCACACUCACUCUGAAAAUCAAUUAACAAAAAUUUCCACGCCUUCAGAUAUUCGACCAAGCUAAGAAAAAAGACACUCCAAGCUGCGAGUAACAAAUACAAUGCACCAUCACAGAUAAUGAACCAACCAAAUGCACUAAUAUAUCAAGCAAAUAAAACAUUCCAUCGAUGACACAAGAGGAUCAAUAAAUUGAUCGUAGCAUAAUGCAGAAAGACUAAGCAGGAAAGUUUACCGCAGGACGUAAUUAAGAAUUUUGCUCAGUUGGUACACAUUUAAAAUAUAUUAUAAUUUUGAACAUUCACAUGACAAUAAAUAGCAUCGCGACUAUAAUAUUUAUUGAUAUUAUUAGUACUCCUCAGCCAGUUUCAUGUUUUUAAAUGAUAUAUGAAUGUGUUAUUAUCAAUGCAUGCUUAAUAUAAGAUACACUUGGUGUUGGCAACAUAACAACAUGAGUAAUGGACCGGUGUUCGGUGAGAUUUGGCGACAUAUCUAUAGUUUGUUUUUGUUGUUGGUUUUUUUAUACUUGGAAAUAUUCCAAAAACUAGCUGGCCUGUGCCCCACCUAGUCCAUUACUGAAAUCUGCAUCCGCCCAUGGGUCAGUCUUGAUUCUUUUGGCUUAACAAAGUAGCAAUGAAGCAGUUUGCUGUUCAAUGAGACUACUUUUCACAUUUGAAGAAGAGUCUAUUGUUGUUGUAUCGAGGCCUUUAUAGCAUAAUUCAUACCUUUACAAAUGAGGAGAUUAUUUACCCACAAUUCCACAAUUUGUGUAAAGAUAAAAUGAAUCUUUAUGAGAUUUUAAACCCUGGAUUGACGAACAUUGCACCGAUUUUGCUCGAAAUAGUGUUCAAUAAAAAAACCCAGACAUAGGAAUUUAAAUUCUCACCUGCCAGACAUUAUGAUUCCACUCACAUCUUGAGGAUUGUAAAGUGUGUCUUUCUAAACAUGCACAGAUUACAAACUUAAGCCGAGAAAUUAACACGAUAUACUAAAAUUUUACAAAAUUAAUGAUUUAUGUUCGAAGAUUGCUACCUCAAAGAUGGUGGUAUCGAAUUUAAUGAUUGAUGGCAGGGCUUUACUUGCUAAAUACGCUUCUGCUUCAAUAUUCAAAUGUUCAUAUCAAACUUCCACAUAACUUGAAUACAACUUAGACAUGAAAAAUAAAAUAAAAAUGAUUAUCAAUAAAUUUUGUUUUUUUCUAUGUUGGGUCCAAAUUUAUACAUAUACCUCUGAUAUCAUCACAAGUUAAAUAUGUUGGGGAAAAAUCAGGUUUUUAAAUUUUUUAUAAAACCUUUUGAAGAUCGCUCUCAUAUAAUAUAUAAGAAUUUGUAAUCUAAAAAUCGUACCUUGAAAAUCCAAUUUGACUUUUUCCUUUGAAGUGAUUUAGGCUCCUAGAUCAUGAUCCGCCACCACCACUCCUUUUGGAUCACGAUCCGUCACCACCACGCUUAUUAGAUCACGAACUGUCACCAAUGAUCUUCCAGGUUAUGACUCAAGUUCGAUCUGCACUUGACGUGUGGGCGCCUUUAUCACUACCAAAGCAACUAGCACGAGAAAAUUUUUUUCUCAACAAUAGAGAGAAAAAUCUUUUUCUCUGAUCUGUAUAAAGUGGCUUCUUUUUUUUCUUUAGAGAAAAUAAGCCUUUUAUAUCACCCUUUAGUGAAAACCCUAGGCUCCAAAUAAUCAAAAAACAAAACUCACCUUAUUUGCUUUUUCAAUAGGGGACCCAUAUUGUAAAAUAACAUAAGGCCCCUUACACAAAAGCUAAUUAAAUGGAGCCUCCCACUAAAUGAUAUAUUUAGGCUUUUGACCCAAAUAGCUAGUUAUCUUACUUAUUAGUCCAGUAGUGAUGCAGUCAAUUAAAUGAGCUAACCCGGGGAUCAUUUGGGAACAUACAAUAGUGGCUACAAUAAUUAGGCCUGUAAUUAAACUAGCUCAAUUAUUUAAUUCCAAAUCUACUCCACUAAAAGAUUGGAACUGACUUCCAUAAUUGUAUGCUCGAAUAAUAAUUCGUCCCAAGCCACAUUGAUUUCUUUACUGCACAAUCAUUUAUACCACAUCGUUAAUUAAAUUGAUAUCUCAACUGUCCAAUCAAUUUAAUAACAUCUUAUUCCUUGAUACUUACUAGUUUUCUCUAAUGAUCAUUUUCAACAUACUAAAUAUGUUGACACACUCUAGCUAGAGAAUUCUAUGAUUAAGUGCCGAAAACCCAUCAAGAGAUGUGUUGUACAAAUUUUAUAUUGUUAAUCUAUAACUCCAAUACUCAUAAAUGCUCCCACCAAGAUACUGGGUAAUCUAGACUACAAGUAUGUGUCAUGCCCAUUGGUAACUCAAAUGGAAUAACAAUUACAAUCAUGAAAUCAUAAUUAACUCAAGAUUAAGAUUAUAGUAAAAUCAAUGCCUAUGAGAUUUAAUAAGUCUGACAGUUAUUACAAAGUUAAUUAAAUCUCAUAUGUGAUCAUGUUCAAUGUAGUUGUACUACAUCAAUAAAUUCAUACAUGAUUAAGACAAAUCAUUCAAUGAAUUUAUUACAGUCUAUACCUAAAUAAAGUGCCCAACUUUAUUUAUCAACUGCGAACUAAAUUUAUUUAAUCAUAAGAUAACUUGUAUUUAUGUCUUCUGUGAAUCCACAUGGUGAUCACAUAAAUACAUAUAAUCUGAUUAAAUGGACUUUAAUACAAAUAUUAAUGCAAUUAAGAUAUUUGAAUAAAAUACCUCAUUUAUUUUAUUAAUCAGAAAAAUUGUUUAUUACAAUUAAAUAAACACAUAUGCUUUUAAAGAGUAUAUUUUUCCAACAAAAUAAUACACACUAACAAUGUGCAGGGAGUUCAAACCUUAAAAUCCCUUGUAGCACUAAAGAGAACAUUUUCAUUAAAUACAACGCUUAGUAGAACUUUGGCCUCCCAGUGGUAACCCGGGAUUUUGGUUUGAGUGAGGCCAUAAUGAUCGAAUUAACCAAUAACCCCCACCGCGGUGUUGCUUAUCACAUUUUGGUGAUCAAUGGUAUUGAUUAAUCACCAAGAAUGGUCUUUGUACUUAGUAUAUUUAGCACCUUAUGAGACCAUAAUGAUAUUGGUAAAUUAAUUGACUAACCAACAGUAGAAUAUUGUUACGAAAAGGUUAUCAUUUUAAGUGUUUUUCACUACUAUCAAAAACAAUUUCAGAUAAGUCAAAAAUGUUUAUUAAAGCAUAGACAAGCAGUAACAAUACUUUUUCUUAAAAAAAGAUUAAGUUCUUUUCUAGGAUCUAUUGCCAUCCCUCUUCUGGGAUUGCUUUUGCUGAAAAGCGCUUUUUUAGAUACGAUUUCUUUUUUAAAGUGUUUAGAGAAUGUUUUUGUAUAAUGCAAUAUUGAGUAAAAGAAUUUCGUAUAACUGUUUUUACUAAAUGCUUUGUGUUUUCUUGUUUAGUCUUUUUUUUUUUUUUUUUAUUCUUGUCUCUUGUGUAAAAGAAUUUCCUCUUUUUUUUAAAAAAAAAAAAAUUGCUCUUCGAAAUAGCUUCCAUCUUUAUAGUCAAGUUUUACAAAAUAAUCCUAAUUAAAUGCAUUUUUUUUUUCUGAAAAUACUCUUAACAUAUGCUACAAGGCCAAAAGGGUAACAAAUGAUGAGAUUACAAAACCAUUGAGGCAGCCUCAAUUCCUCCCAUUGGUAAAAUAUCAAGUUUGCUUAUUUCAAAUUCAAAAGCACAAUAAAGAAUCAUCAAUCGACCCCACCAAAUUUUUAAAUAUCACUCAAAUUCAAAAGCAUAAUAAAGAAUCAUCAAUCGACCCCACCAAAUUUUUAAAGAUCACUCAAAUCAUUCGUGUGAACAUGAUUUCGAAGUAUUUAAAAUGCUUGAUAAAAUGUUAACAAGGAGUUAUAUAAGUAGUUUGAUUAUCAACAAGACCUUUGAGUACCACUGGGGCUUUCCUUGUUAUACUAUUCUUCUCACUCAUUCUUCUGCAAACAGUGCUUACUAUGAUACCUUCAGCCGAUUUUCAAGGCCAUUGCGGUCUUGUUAAAUGGUACUAAUAUUCAUGAAGGUUUUAUGCUAAUUUAUCUCUGUCUUGAUAAUAGCCCAUGGGAUUGGUAUUAUACGUUAAUGGACCGACCAUAUUAUAAUAUAUAGUCUAGGGGUUGUUUGGCACCCCUCAUUACACCCCACGCUUGGUGCAGCAAGUGGCUGCACUAGCUAAACACGAUGCCGAAUUAGCUUUUCCCUUUUUUAAUAAUAAUAAAAAAUAAAUGUAACUUUUUAAUUUAAUAUAAUAUUAUAUAAUAUAAAUAUUUCAUUUUUUAUUUUUAUAUUAUUAUUAUAUAAAAUUAAUAAAUUUAUAAUUUAGUAUUCAAUAAUAUUACAUUAAAUUUUAAUUUUAUUAUGUUAAAAUAUAACUAAAUUAUGUGUUAUUUAAUUAUAUUAUAAUAAUUAAUAUGUAAAAUUGAUUAAUAUUCAAUAAGUUAAUACAACUAAUAAUAAAUACCUAAACACUAUAUGAAAAUAAAAAAUAUGACAUAAUAUUGAUUAUUUAAUUACAUUAUAGUAAUUAAUAUAUAAAAAUUGAUUAUUAUUCAAAAAUUUAAUAAAACUAAUAAUAAGUACUUAAAUAAUAUAUAAAAUAUUAUAUAAUAUUACAUAAUUUAAUUAUAUUACAAUAAUUAAUAUAUAAAAAUAUUUUUUAAAUAAUUUAAUUUAACUAAUAAUAAAUAUUAAAAUACGAAUAAAUUUGAAUAAUAUAAAUUUAAAAUUAAUAGUAAUAAUAUAAAUAAUGUAUAAAAUAUUAUUACAUAUACUACAGAACUCUUACUUGGAUUAUUUAGCACAAUUCAUUUUGUGAGUGAAUACAUUAUUGCAAUUAUUUUGUGAUUAUCUUGUGGUAUGUACAAGCUUUUAUUCUAUCAUCAUAAGAUGACUUUUGAACUAAUCUUGGAGGUUUUAAUUAUUCAUUUAUGUUGUUAUACUAGUUAGAGAUUAAUUGUUUAAAUUAUUUGGUUCGCUUUUAUUGCAUAUGUUAUAUAUUUAGAAAAUACUAAAAAAUAAAUGUUAUGCUUCCGAAAAUAUAUUUAAGGUUAUAAGCUUUGAUUUUUAUGAAGAAUUAUGAUAUUUUUACACAUUUAUACUUAAAAAUGUUAAAUUUCUAAAAUUCAAGACUCCUACAUUUAGUAUUUUUCUAAGUACUAACAAAUACUAUUUUCUAAAUAUAUAAUUUAUAUUAAUCACAAAAAAUUAAUACAAUACAAUGCAUCACCAAAUAUAAUAUAAUUCUAAAUUAAUACAGUACAUUGUAGCACCAAACUUUAUACAACAUUAUUAUAAUACAGUGCUAAUGCAAUAGAGUAUAAUACAAUACACCUGCAUUAAAAUAAUGCAAUACAACAUAAUAACAUAUAGUGUGCCAAAUGCAUGCUUAAUGAAAAUUAUACGAAAUAUUAUUAUUGUUGUUGUUUACCAUAAAACCGAAUCAAGUUGCCAAUGGGUGAUGCAAAUGAGGGGAAAAACCACAGCUUGGUAGUUUUAGAAAGCCAUUAUUUCAAGAGAAGGUGCAAUUAGCUGAUGGUAUAUGGCAAGUUGCACCUAAUAGCCUAAGAACAAAGGCUGCAAAUCUAAACAGAAACAAAAGGAAGAAAGGUGUAGUGCAGCAUGUGUCAAGAAACACUAGGCACGCAACGGCAAUACACAAAAACAGUCAUCCAAUGUUUCAUCUCUUUGGCAGAUUAUGUGACAUGUACUUGCCUCCAUCCGGUUGGAUUCCAUAUUGGAUUGAUGAUGAUGCAUUUCAGCUAAAAGGUAUUGCAGCCCACGUUGGGAAAAUAGAAUAUGAUGCAAUGCUGACGAUGAAAGUGAUAGGAGUUAACGCUAUUGAAGUAUAUAUUGCAUAAGAGAAUUUUGUUUUUCUUUAUGCUUUAAUUAAUUUUUAUGAUGUUGCAAUACUUUUCUAAUGACAACUUUUGGUAUUUUGCAUCUACUGUUUCAUGUUGUUGUAUAACUCAAUUAUCCCAAACAAGAAAGGAAUAAGACCAUUUGGAUUCAUAUGUCUAGGUUUUGUAUCACCCCAUCCUAGACAAAUACCAGACAUUUCCCAUCCCAACAGAGUAAAAGGUGUGUGCAAAUGCUUGAAAAAAGCCCGUAAAGGACAAUUCUUGUUCAUGCCAUACAAUCCUAAGUCUGGAAAUUUCAAAGUACAAUCAAGUGUUCUUAUCAUUAUUCAUUUAUUUUAUCUUGUCUUUCAUAAUUGUCGCUUUGUUUUCUUUGCUUUUCUCUAUUUUAACUUCCAUUGGGUUUUGGUUGUGAUUGAUGUGGUGAAAAAAGAAGUGUUUUAUUUGGAUCCCAAGGGGUACAAUGCUUCUGAUCCUAAUUUAGAAUAGCUCAUUAAAUUGUAUAUAUUUCUUUCCAGCUCAUAAUCCUUAUAUUCUCACUUUCUCUAAUGUAUUUUUGAUACUUUAACCAAUGUACUUUAUCAUAUAGUGCUAUGACACUGUUCUCAGCUGAAGAUUAUAAGGAAGAUGGAAUUAUGGCUCUAAGAUGAGAUUUGUGAAGGUAAACAAAUUACCUUAACUAAAAUGUUGUGUACCUAUCACUUUAAGCCUAAAAUCAAAUACAUUUAUAUAUUUUGUUUUUGGUUUAUAAUUGUCAAUAGACCCCUCAACAGCUGGGAUGCAUGAAAUGUGGCUAGUACAACUUGAGGUUUAUGAAAGACAUUAUAGCAGACCUUAGUUUGCUGAUGAAUAAUGUGAGUUAGUGAUGAAUAAUAUCAUAUGAAUGGUUUAUACCAUAUGUACUGCAUUGUUAUGGAACUUUGACAAUGUUGAUUUUAUAGUUUUCAGUUCCAUAGAAAGGUUGUAUAAACUCAGGCUGAGAUAGAUGAAGUUCGUUUAGAGUGGGUGAACCAUUGUUCUGAAAUCAUUAACGCAGCAAAAUAUGGUUAGUUUGAAUCUAAAACUAUACACAAACGUUUUUAUUACUUCUUAUAUAUUAUAAUUGGUUAGAGACAAUUUGAUUGUACACUCGAAUGAGUUAACCUCCUUAAUUGAGAUUAGUUAACUAUUGGAUCAUGAAUCACGUGUGUCAUUCCCUGAAUCUAUGGAGCAAAUGCAUUCUCUCUUUGACAAUUCAAAGUAUUUUAGACAAAGUGGCAAUAAUAGUGACUUGGCUAGCCACCCAGGUUUCUUGAACUAAGGCUAAUCUUCUAUUUGAACAACAAACAACUGCAGGCAGAGUUCUUAUCUUGAUAACAACAUUGCUAUUUAGAGAUGAGAUUGGUAAUAAUAGAGAAACUUGGUAGGUGCAUAUCAAUCUAUCCAUGGUAGUUGUAGAUGAAUUUGAAUAAUGAGGUAAAUUUUAAGGCAAAAAUUAAAAUAACAAUAAAGUUAAUAACUGAAAACAGUAAAAUACAAACAAGUUGAAUGAAAUAGCACAUGCCACUUAGUUAAUGGAAUCGGUUCUUGUAAUUGUAAGAGAAGAAAUAUAAUUGAAUUAUUCUUUUGAUCGAUUCAUAUAUCAUGUGAACAUAUGGUCUAUGUGUGUUUGGCAGUAAAUUUCUAUGCUUUCCAUUCAAACCAAAGCUUGCUUUUUAUUUUCAUACUUGCAGAAAAGUAAUUUUAUUUUUAUGUGUACCAUUUUGGUUUCAGCAAGGAAUUAAGAUAAGUUGCAAAUGAAACCUGAAGUUUUAUUUUAGUAGAUAAAUGUUUAUAAUGAUAUGUUGGCUAUACUCAUUGGUGUUGCACAUGCAAACUGAGUUUAAAUUUGUAAUGAUUCUGUUGUAUUUAAAACCUAAGAGUUUUACUAUAAUAGUUAAUUCUUUAUAAUGAUAGUGCUCGGUAUAUUCAUUUGAUGUUGCACAUGCAGGUUGAAAGAAACCGUUGAACUUGGGAGUUUGAUUGGGUAUUUGUUGAAAAUACCCAAUCAGUGGACGGUAUGUGUCUGGAUAAGGCUACUUUCUUUCUUUCUUUUUUUUUUUAAUUUUAUUUUUCACUUGCGUCCUUUCCACUUAACAAAACUUGUAUGUGACCGAUGAGUGGAUAGUCAUUUGGUGGUGGGCAUUCUGUCCAAAACACUACUAAAUUCAACUUAACCGAAUUGUUUCGGUUUAGAAAUCGGGUUGUGGUUUUGGUAUGUAUUGAGAAGCUCGACGACCCGACCCGAAUCAUCCGAUUCGUGAGUCAAUAUCUGAAACCCAAAAAAAAAAUCUUAAUCUAGCACACUGUUGAGAUACAAAUUUUUAUGCCCAAUUUGUACAAGAAAUUUUUUUCCAUUUUAAAUAUUACAUAAAUGCCAUUUAAAACUUACAAAAAUGUCGGUUAAAUUCCUUUUUUUAAUUCUAUUGUACAUAAACCAAGAUAGCUUAAACAUGUUUCAAACAUUUUUAUCAAUAAAAGCAACAUGACCCAAGGGGGCCUGAAUAAUGCGAUACAUGCACUUUAAAGGUUUAUAUAUAUAUAUAUAUAUAUAUAACUAAUAAUAAAAUAAAAUAUUGACAUGGUUCGGAUAAUAAUUAAUUAUUAAUUUUUUACUGAUCUCUAACAAGAUUAAAAAUAUUUUCGUCGGGAUAAUCAUACGUGUCUGAAAAAGAGAAACGGUUAAUAUUUUCUUGCCACAAAAUCAUGCAAGUCAUUUGAAAACUAGACAUUUUCAGUAAUAUUUAUUUUCCAAUUAAGAAUUCAUUAUAUAUAUAUAUAUAUAUUUAACAUGUAAAGAAACCCAUCAAUGUAUGCAUGAUUAUGGCUUUGAUUGCCUUUGAUGGAAGAUUGAUUGUUAAUCGAUUGUCUUGAUACAACGCUACUCUAUGAUUAUAUUGUGUAGUCCACAAAAUAUCCUCUUUUGUGCCACGUCGAAUGUGAAGCACGUGGUGAAAUUUUAAUAUUAAAAUUAAUUAAAAAUAUAUAUAUAAAGCCCGCGUGAACUGAAAGGCAAACAACCUCUCUAUCCACAACAACUAUUAAACUAAUGAGAGCAUGCAACAAAAUUUGCAUAAACCCCACCUCUAAUAUUUCAAAAUUACUGAAUCACCCACCGGAGUUUAAGACACAGCUGAUGACAUGAGAGAGAGAGAGAGAGAGCUGGCAAUAAAAGCAUAAAGUUCAGCUCCAUUAACGAUCUUUAUGAUACCUGCAUUACAGCAUUAAGUCAUUGGGUUUGGCUACAAUGCCGUUGGCAUUCUAGCCAGCACCAUGCCGAGCUCUCAAAAAGAGAGCCCGGUUGUCUUUGGUUGCCAUUUGGCAACCAAAGACUUGGUGCAGGCGGUUAACAGACCGGUUGCACCUUUUUUAAAAAUAAAUAAAUAAAUACAAUAUAAAAAUGAAAAAAAUUAAAUAAAAUGUAAUUUUUUUUUAUAAUAUAAUUAAUAGCAAAAGAUAAAGAAAUUGAAUAAUAUAAUACAAUAUAAUAUAAUUAAAUAAAACAAUAAAGCAAUUUAAAAUGAAAAAAAUAGUAUUUCAUGUUUAGCGUCCGUUGUUGAAUGUCCGACGGUAGGAUUUCAUAUUUGACGUCAGAUGUUGCAUGUUUUGGAUAAACCCAAAAUAAAGAAUAUUCUCCAAUAUUCUCGUCCGUUUCAUGUUUGACGUCCAUGUUGCGAACUUUACGUGAUAAGUUGUAUAUUUCAUGUGAAGUGUUGCUAGUUUCAUGUUUAACGUCAGUUGUUGUAUGUCCGACGGUAGGAUUUCAUAUUUGACGUAUAUGUUGCAUGUUUUGGAUAAAGCCAAAAUAAAGAAUAUUCUCGAAUAUUCUCGCCCGUUUCAUGUUUGACGUCCAUGUUGCGAACUUUGCGUGAUAAGUUGUAUAUUUCACGUGAGGUGUUGCAAGUUUCAUAUUUUACGUCAGUUGUUGCAUGUCCGAUGGUAGGAUUUCAUGUUUGACGUCAUAUGUUGCAUGUUUUGGAUAAAGCCAAAAUAAAGAAUAUUCUCGAAUAUUCUCGCCCGUUCCAUGUUUGACGUCCAUGUUGCGAACUUUACGUGAUAAGUUGUAUAUUUCACGUGAGGUGUGGCAAGUUUCAUGUUUAACGUUAGUUGUUGCAUGUCCGAUGGUAGGAUUUCGUGUUUGACGUACGAUGUUGCAUGUUUUAGAUAAAGCCAAAAUAAAGAAUAUUCUCGAAUAUUCUCACCCGUUUCAUGUUUGACGUCCAUGUUGCGAACUUUACGUGAUAAGUUGUAUAUUUCACGUGAAGUGUUGCAAGUUUCAUGUUUGACGUCAGUUGUUGCAUGUCCGAUGGUAGGAUUUCAUGUUUGACGUAUGAUGUUGCAUGUUUUGGAUAAAGCCAAAAUAAAGAAUAUUCUCGAAUAUUCUCACCCGUUUCAUGUUUGACGUCCAUGUUGCGCACUUUACGUGAUAAGUUGUAUAUUUCAUAUGAGGUAUUGCAAGUUUCAUGUUUAAUGUCAGUUGUUGCAUGUCCGACGGUAGGAUUUCAUGUUUGACGUCAGAUGUUGCAUGUUUUGGAUAAAGCCAAAAUAAAGAAUAUUCUCGAGUAUUCCCACCCGUUUCAUGUUUGACGUCGAAGUUGCGAACUUUACGAGAUAAGUUGUAUAUUUCGCGUACAGUGUUGCAGGUUGCAUGUUUAACGUCUGUUGUUGCAUGUCCGACGUCCCGCUUGCAUGUUUGAUGUUAGAUGUUGCAUGUUUUAGAUAAAUCCAAAAUAAAGAAUAUUCUCGAAUAUUCUCACCCGUUUCAUGUUUGACGUCGAAGUAGCGAACUUUACGUGAUAAGUUGCAUAUUUCGCGUGAAGUGUUGCAAGUUUCAUAUUUAACGUCAGUUGUUGCAUGUCGGACGUAACGGCUGCAUGUUUGACGUUAGAUGUUGCAUGUCUUGAAUAAAGUCAAAAUAAAGAAUAUUCCCGAAUAUUCUCGCCCGUUUCAUGUUUGACGUUGAAAUUGCAUACUUUAUGUGAUAUGUUGCAUAUUUGACGUGAACUAUUGCAGGUUUCAUGUUUUAUGUCAGUUGUUGCAUGUCGGACGUCACAGUUGCAUGUUUGAUUUUAGAUGUUGCAUGUCUUGAAUAAAGCCAAAAUAAAGAAUAUUCUUGAAUAUUCUUUUCCGUUUCAUGUUUGACGUGGAAGUUGUGAACUUUACGUGAUAAGUUGCAUAUUUCACGUGAAGUGUUGCAAGUUUCAUGUUUAACAUCAGUUGUUGCAUGUCGGACGUAACGGCUUCAUGUUUAACAUUAGAUGUUGCAUGUCUUGAAUAAAGGCAAAAUAAAGAAUAUUCCCGAAUAUUCUCGCCCGUUUCAUGUUUGACGUCGAAAUUGCAUACUUUAUGUGAUAAGUUGCUUAUUUGACGUGAACUGUUGCAAGUUUUAUGUUUUACGUCAGUUGUUGCAUGUCGGACGUCACGGUUUCAUGUUUGACUUUAGAUAUUGUAUGUCCUGAAUAAAGCCAAAAUAAAGAAUAUUCCCGUAUAUUUUUCAGAGUAAUUCUAGAAAUAACGGUUAGCCGUUAUCAGAUAAUGGUUGACCGUUAUCUUCCAGAAUCAAAUUAGUAGUUACACUAAUUUCUAGAAGAUAAUGGUGAACCGUCAUUAAAUAACGGCUCACCGUUAUCGUCCAGAAUCAUUUUCGACGAUAAGGGUGAAUCGAUUUUGGAUUACGGCUAACCGUUAUCUUCCAGAAUCAUUCCGGAGGGAUAUGGAUGUGAAUUAUAUUCACCCAUACUUUGGUCUUGGAUGGUUGAUAUGAAUUUGAAUAUUUGAUAAUCCAUAUAUUAUGUGAUCAAUUUAUUGCUAAUAUGGAUAUGAAAUAUUUUAUCUCAUAUUUGAUGUUAUUAAUUUAUUAAUUGUAAUAUGGAUGGGAAUUAUAUUAACCCAAAGGCUAAAUAUGAGUAUUCCAUAGAAUAAUAGCAAGUUACAUUUCUAUCAAGCAUUUGACAAAUAUUUAAUUUUCUAUCAAGCUGAUUAAUAUAAAAAAAAUAUCAAACACUUAUAUUCAUAACUAAAUACAAAAUAAUAGUGCAUUUCAAAAUUCCUUGACAAUUCAAAUGAUAAUUUAUAAUUAAACUUAUUUUUAAUAUUUUUUAAUUAUUAAUUAAAUUUAAUUAAGCCAAUCUAUUAAGUUUUAAUUUUUUAUUAUUAUUAACUAAGGUUAAUUAAGUGAAUCUAUUAAGAAACAAAUAUGAAAAUGUUGCCUUAGCGUUAAAAUUAUUUGGUAAUUCAAGUGAUUAUUGUUUGAUACUCCAAGUAAUAAUUUAUCAAUUUAACUAUUAUUUGAACCAUUUAUUUUGUAAUUUGUUUAAUUUUUCAAGCGAAAACUAACUACGAUGACAAUUUUAUAUUACCAAACAACAAAAAUGUUAAGUUCCAUUGGUAAUUUUUAAAUUUUUUAUUCUGCAUAAAGGGUCAAAUUCAUUGUUGCAAUUUACUAAGGAAAGAGUCUCUUAUAAUUGAAUUAAGCUCAUAAAAGGAAUGCGUAUUGAUAAAAACUAUAGAUUAUAUAACUAAAUUGCAAAAAUUAAAUUGGGCAAGACAAGUAAGUUUAAUACUACAAGGAAGCAAUCAAAACUAGCAACACAUAUAUGGCAUGUGCAUUAGUUUAGCAUUAUUAAUAUCUAAAUUGAUAGCAAAUACCCAAAAUAAGAUCACAUUUUCUUCGGCUAUUCUUCUAGUAUUGUAGAAAAUUUGUAGAAGAUCAUGAAAAAGGGGGGGGGGGGGGAAAUAACUUUUUCCAAACUAUAAAAUGGAUACCCUAAAAUAAGUGCUUAUUUUGACAUAAUCAAGCAAUAAAUUGUAAAAACGUACAAAUAUAUCAUAGCUGGAAUUAAAGAAGCCAUAACAAGAAUAUUCCCCGUAGAUAACUCAUCUAGGGAAGAGAUUGUUUAUGAUAUAAAAUUUUAGUGGUAACAAUCAGAUUAAUAAGCAUAAGCAUUGACAAAAGUAUCAAGUCAAGUUGCGAUAAAAACCUAAUGACUAACUGGAGUAGAUUCAUCUAACACACUAAAAUGCCUAUAAAAUUGUCGAAAUCCAUCAUUCACAUGCAGAGUUGCAGGAAGCUUUAGCAUGUCAUGUUGGCUAUUGAGCUUGGCAACAUCAAUGGGAGUCUUGCGAUCCAUGUUCUGCAGAGUUCUGUGGUAACAGAAGAUAAUAUAGUAGAAAGAAUUAAUCAUAUAGCAUUUUAUAAAAUAGAGACGGGAGUUAAAACAAUAUUGGAUGUUGGCUUACACAGCAGCACCGUUCUUCAACAGAGGGGCUACACAUUCCUUCUAGUCAUAAUUAGCUACAUAAUGUAAGGUAGUACUUGUUCUUAUCCACAGCAUCCACAUUUGCUCCAGCCUCAAGUAGGAGUUGAGCACAUUCCACCUAAAGCAUUCAAGUGCAUUUGAUUAACUCCAUGUCAUAAACUUGGCCAAUUUGCCAAGGAAGUUUUCAAUAAAAAACUAACUAGAAAGUGGUCCUAAUUAUCCCUAGGAGAUGAAUAAUUGAUGCCAUAAACCAUAGAAGUUAGCUGAAACUGUCACUAGAAAGCCCCAGUUAGCACAAAUACUAGUUUGCGAUUGGCUUUAUUAGCACUUCCUCAACUAAAUAACCAAAAACACAAAACGUUAUGUAAUAUUUAAUUCUAUCCAAAUCAUACGCCCUGCCUUUAAAACUCAAACAAAAAGGAACAAGAAAAAUAAGUAAGAAUGGGUAAAGCUCAGAUUGUUUUACCUCACCAUAUCCGCAGGCAAAAUGCAACGUUGUCCUUCCUUCUAAAUCUUCCUCAUCCUUAUUAGCACUGGCUGCUAGUUUAUUUUUCAUACCCUAAUUGAAGAGCAGUAAGAAAAAAUUAAACUUUUAGCAAGAUACUAGAAAAAAGUACAUUGCAUCAAAUGUAUACACUAAAUCAACUUCAGUAGUGUUAGCACAACAUAAAACUAGAAACAAGAAUUUCUGUUAAAUAAUAGUGACAGAAAAAAAUUUACAAAUUUUGUUUUGGUUGAUUGAAUAAGCAGAACAUGUUAUUUUUCCACAACAAGUUGCAUUGCAUAAAAGAAAAAGAACAUUAGAGAAUCAAUAAAUCCAAUAUUUUGAAGAGAACUUAGAGAUUUGGCCUCCAUAUACUCUUGAAUAGCCUUGCAAGAUGCAUAAGAUUAGUUCACAUCCAGUCCCAAUUCAGGCACAAUAUAAUGGCUACACCUAAUUAAACAAAUUAAAAAGAAAAAUCACAAAAAAUAAAGAAUAAUGCUAGUGAUAUACAAAAUACCAGUCAUUAAAUAAUAAUUUCACCUCUCCUUGAUGAUAAAUAUUAAAAACGGAUGGAUGCCGUUGGGACUCAAAUAAGCAUCACUCAUAAACAAAUAAAAAUCUCGAGAACGCAAGUGAGGAAAGGAAAAAUGAUCAAAGAUAAUAGAAAAAACGAGGACUUACUAGUUAGCAUCAAAACACUAGGUCCUUUACAUGACGAGAACAGAGGAGUUACCUCGAGCCACACUGAUCUUCUUGCAACUCAUCUGUGCUGCUCUUCCUGUCCUAGAAUGACUCCAAACAUAAACCUCAACUCUUUUUUUGGUUUCAUUCCAGGAUACGCCACUACAUAGAUUUUUAAAGAUUGCUCUGCAACCCCAAAAUAAUUAACUCAAAAUUCACAACCAAAAAAAAAAAAAAAAGCCGGACCCAGAACAAUGGGUAAGUUCUUACCAAAUUAUUGAGCGCCCAUCUUUAGUAUUCCUAGCAAAGAGUGUAGAGCUCAAAACAAGCAAACAACACCUAAAACCAAACAAGAAAAAAUUAGGGUACCUGUUGUGCAAAAUUUUAAUGUACUCGCAAGCGCACGAAUCUAUUGUAGUAUAGAUCAAUGGUGACGAGUGUCGAUCCCACGAGGAGGUGGAUUUUAAUUGUGUAUAGAAUUAAUUUUGCAAAUGGUUGAUUGGAUCUGUGGUGGAAAUGAUUUGGAAUAUGCUAAAACUUAAAUUAAAAUGGCGAGAAUAAAUUGAAGAGAAUUCUAUUGAAAUGACGUACUUGGGUAUCUGGAUCCGUAUCAACAUGCAUCAUGGGCUAAAUAAUCUGUAUUAAUGCCAAUUAAAUCAUGAGGGGGGAAUCCACACCUCAUGAACCACGCUCUAAUCGAUAUGGUGCUAAGGGCUUAUCGUGCCAAAUAAUAAUAACCUUAUACUAGAGAGCCGGUGUAACCAAGGCGGUAUCUAGACAAGAUCAGUAUUAUUUGUCGACGAGAAGUCAAAACAUCCACAAAAACUAGAGGGGAAGAGAAAAUAAAUUUACCAAAUUAAGCCCAUGACACAUGUUGAGACUUCACCUUCAACCCAAGCUUGAAAGGAAAUUAGCUACUCAUAAUUGAACUAGGGGUAAAAUAGGAAUUUAUUAAAAUACAAAGAAAAUACAAGAUGGAGAAGGAAUUACAGAAAAUGGAUCCCAAAAAUGGAUUCAGAGAUAUCAAAUUAGGGGGGGGAGGCCCCCUUUUUAUAGAUACAUGGAGUAAAUCAUGGCCAUCGGAUUAAAAACAGUUUGGACGCUCAGGAUUGCGCCACGUCAUCAGUCAACAGUCCACGGUUUGACCACGCGGAUGAACAGUAACACGGUUUGACCCGGAUGAACAGUAACGCGGUUUGGUUGAAAAUAAUCCUGUGUGAUGCAUGCACCGUACGCGAGAUUUUUCGUCCACUGAUAUGCUGCCACGUCACCGUCAACAGUACAUAAGAAUUUUAGUCCAACAGGAUCGUGACACCUCAUCAGUCAAUGCCACAUCAUCGGUCAAUGCCACGUCAUCGAUCCGUCUUUGUGAACAGUGUCGUGAACAGUAACGUAGACAGUACCGUAUACGUGAAUAGUACCGUACAUGUGAAUAGUGCCAUUUUUCCUUUUAUGCUCCUCCUAAGGUUUUCGACCGUCCUGAGUUCAAAAGUGAUGUCCGUUUUGCCGUCUGAUCUCUCCUUUAUUGUGAAAUGACUAUAAUGCCCCUAAAAUACAUAAAAUACUUAAUUAAAAUAACACACACGUAAUUACAUCACAAGAAGGUUAAAUACAUAAAAGUAAGGGUUGUUAGUAAGACUUGAAAUGUAAAAUGACGGUUUUCUCCUUUAUAAAUAUGCAUUUUCUAACACUCAACACACCCCCCAACCAGCUUAUUGCUAGUCCCUAGCAAAUAAAGCGAAAACAAAAUUCAAAUUCAAAAUGAUUUUUUUUUUUUUUUUUUUUUUUUGAAACACUCGUGUUUAUUCAAUCAGAUUAAUGAUAGCAAUCAAAUAAAAGUAUAAGCAUUAUCUCCAGUCUAAAGCAACAUCACACCCACAUCAACCAUCCACAUGAAUUAGCCCAGUAGACUUUGUUAUAGCUACUUUCAAGAAUGACAUGUCAAACCCCAAAAUCUCACUGGAAGUAGUGACACUCUCACAAAGAAAUUAAAACCCAAUAAACAUAGUCACUCCAAUGAAUGGUAAUUGAGAGAGAAAAUAAUAAAGAAAUGAUAUCACAUGCUCUCACCAAGAUGAAAUAAAUAUGCCCUCAGCUUAGAAAUAAUACGAUCUCAAGUCAAAUAAAAUGUUAGUCAACCCACUUUAUUUAUCUUCUUUUUUUUUUUUUUUUUUAUUAUUAUGCAUCACUACAUCUUUUUAGCCCAUAUAACUAGCUUCUACUUCAAACUAUAGUUCCCUAAAAUCAAGAAGGACUUUUAUUAGGACGUAACGUAGGCUAGGGAUAUGGCUAACAAAGAAAGGAAAUAAGGAAAACAAAGUGUAUGUUUGAGAAAAAUGCAGAAUUUUUUUUUUUUUUUUUUUUUUUUUGCUUUUAUUUGGCAUAACUUCACUGAACAACAUAAUUAUUUACAUUUUCUCAAACAUAAAUAGGUGAUGGAACUUAAAAGACAUUGGGUAAUACUCCAAAUCGGAGUGGGUCAAGAUGAUAAGUUGACAAAGAAAAGGUUUUUGUUCUUUUUUUUUUUUUUUUUUUUUUUUUUUUUUUUUUUUUUUUUUUUAAAGGCUCAAAAGGGGUAACUAUGGAUAUUUAAUAAAAGGGAUGGCUAGAAAGGCUCAAACGGAUCAAAGAUGGCCUUUCCAUCGUCUUUUAGGGCUCUAAAUAAUUAUCCAUAUCUACUAGUUAGAUGGGCCUCCCAAUGUAGCAACACACAUUUUUUUCUUUUUUUUUUUUUUUUUAAUUUUACCAUAUUUUUUUUUUUUUUAAAGGGUUAACUUAAAAGAAAUCUAGAGAUCUUGUAUAAAAUAAUAAACUGCUAAGCUGUAUAGAGAAUGGGCAAAAGGGUUACUCUCCAAGAAAAUGAUAGGCUCAACUACUCACUUGGCACUUAUUUAUGACAUGUUCAUUCCUUCAAGCAACUCAUAUUUGUCUCCGACAUCAACAUGUAAAGUAGCAAACAUAGCGUAACAUCACUUAAGACCAAAGAUAAUACAAAUACUAAAAUUUGAAAUUAAUCAUGUCAUCCAAUGUUAAAACAAAUAACACAAUUUUUUUUUUUUUUUUUUUUAAACAACAUUCUACCCCCCAACCUAUUCUAAACAUGAAAGGAAAAUAUGCAUGCAGAAAUGUGAAAAUGAUGUAGAAAAAUUAAUUAGAAAAAGAAUUUUUUUUUUUUUAAACUAAGAAGAUGCGUUUCUAGAGGCACUACACUCCAUAUUCAGCCAUCUUCGACUCAAAAAUUUGAAACUACAUAUUUAUAAAGGAGAAAAAGGAAGAAAACAGGUUUUUUUUUUUUUUUUUUUU